AAUUUAUGUGGCGGGAGUUUAGUUUUUGCUUUUCUGCCUAUGUAUGUAUGAUUUGAAAUGGACAGUUCAAUUUGCUAUAUAUAAAUUUGUAGUUGAAGAGUUCGAAGGAGAGGUGAAUUAGAAAACAAUGGGGAGAAGAGUGACGGAGUUGAGGAGUUGAGGAGUUGAGAGUUAACGAGGUAUACUUGAACUUCUGUAUGAUGUUCCUGAUAUUGGACAAAAUCUUUGGAUUUCAAAUGUUUGAAUUUGAAUCGGACAAAAUCUUUGGAAUAUUUCAGCUCAAAUCGGUCGGAAUCGGAUGUUCCUAUCCAAGUUGCACCCAUACUCACGCCAAAACCAAAACCCUUAAAAUUUGUAAAGAAAAAAAAAACUCUUCCCACUCAUCACUCACGCCAAAACCAAAAUACUCGUUUCAUUCAAACAACACGACUUAGGGCUGAUUUGGUAUUGAUGUGUUUUGAAAAAAAAGCUGCUUCUGCUAUGUUGUGAGAAUAAGCGACUGUGAAAUAAAGCUGUAGAGUAUUUGGUAAAUUUUUUUGUAAAAAUGCUUUUGAAAAAAAAAAGCAGUAUUAUAGUGUUUGGUAAACUUUUAUAUAAAACAAAUGUGAAAAAAAGCCGGUUUUUCAAAGCUGGGUUUUGCAGCUUCUUGUUUUGGUUUUUUUCACCCAAAACUGUGAAAAAAAACUGAAGCUGAAUGUUUACCAAACACAAAAAAGCUCCUAACUUUUUUUCAUACCAGCUUUUGUUUUAAUCACCUCAAUCCCAAACUGCACCUUACUCCCUCCAAACCCUCCAAUCCCAAACUUCAUAUGGAACCAUUAUUUUCAAUAUUUACUUGUGUUAUACGUUUGGAGAAAUUUUGAUUCGAGAAAAUGUUCGACAUACCAGGACAGAAAAGUUUGCUGAAAUUUCGGUGUCCAUAAGCGGAAAAUAAGAGCACGUUUCGGUCAGCACUAACUGAGUACAAACGAAAAUAUGUUCUCUAAACCGGACUUCCACACAAGCUUCCGGUCUUCUUGUCUACCGAAAGCAGCUUUUAUAUUUGACAGCUGACUGCUGCAAACAACUGGUGUUACUUCAAUACUUUUCCUGUUAAUCUCUCUAACAUAGAAAAAUUCUUAAAUUUUAAGCUAGAAGACAUGAUAUGUGUACAUUAAAGGAUGGCACUGACUUGGAAGUCUUUGGACGAUCGUACCAGUGUCGAUUCUCAUAGCAUUAAGGAUAGCCUCGACAACACGGUUGUCAUCUCGAAGGGCACGGGAGUAGCUGUCAUUAAACGAGGAAGAUGUAGAUGUUAUUGGCCUUGGUUUUGAGUGGUGAGGUGGACCAUUGACUUGUAAGUCUUGUUUUUGUUUUCUUAUCAGAGACUCGGAAUUUUCAUAACAGCAACAUUAUGGUCUACGAUUCCAUGUCCAAAUCUUUCACCUCUAAGUGUUUCCAUUACGGCACAUAAUUUGGAACAUCUAAAAGAGGAGAAGGAAAUUGUUAUUAACAUUUCAAAAAUCUUAUUCUACACUCCUCACAAGUGUAUUUUUCUUUCUAAUUCUAGAAAGUUUUGUCACAUCCCGACUCGAUUCUGCCGUAGCACGAUAUUGUCUAUUGUGGGUCCCAACUACGCCCUCAUGGUUUUGUUUCUGGGAACUCAAACAAGAACUUUUUAGUGGAUCACCCAUCAUAGGAUUGCUCUCGCCCAAUCUCGCUUAACUUUGGAGUUCCUAUGGAAUCCGAAACCAGUGAGUUCCCAAAAUGCCACGUGCUAAAGGAGGUGAGCAUGUACAUAUAAGGCAUAGAGGAUCCUCACCCCUGGGCAAUGUGGGAUCUAACAAGUUUAGAGUGUCAAAUGAGAUUUUUGAAGUGCUAAUAACAAUUCCCGAAGAGAAAAUCUCCUAUAUAUACAUGGCAGUUUUCUCUUUUAAUACUGCAGACUCAUUUUUUGUACUACAAAUCAUCCCAUUGCAUGCUCACAUUCGAAAUAUGGGUAUUUGAGAUUGGUAUAACUCCUCAUCUAGUCUCUGAGAUUUAAAAUUUAUAGAACUAGUACUUGAGUUUGUCCACCGUCAAUCAUUUCGUGAAAAAUGUUCGUUAAUAAGGAAAAUAGUCUCAAUUUUUUUUCAAAUCAUUUUGACCCGUUAUUUAUUAAAUUGAAGGUAUUUUGUUAUGUUUGUUCUUAUUUAACAGAAAUUUUCUUACAAAAAACUAAAAUGAUGACGGUGGACAAACUCACAGACCAUUUCUAUCAUUUUAAAUUUUAGAUAUCUAAUGAGAAGUUCUGUCAAUCUUAGAACUAAAAAGCCGUAAAAAAUGGCCUUUUGUAGUCUUUAGUCAAUAAUGGUGGGCUACAGUUGCAAAACCCCAGCACACUUCCUCUUGCUUUCCUUUAAUCAAUGGAAUAUUGUGAACAAUGAAACUCAUCAAACUUCCCGCUGCUUGCCUUUAGUCAACUUAUCUUCCAUGAAAAGAGCAUCUCCUCCACUCUAUAUAAAACCAUGUCUUUCCUUGUAGCAGAAACAGAAAAACCUAAACCUUCAAGAGAUUCCUAAAACCCUUCCGACGAAAACGAAGAUGAUGGGAGAAAUGUGGGCUCAAAUGGGCUCGGUGAUUGCGAGUGUCAUGUUCGUUAAUGCCAUAGUUCAACAAUACCUUCCCCCCCAUCUUCGGUACCAUGUAGGAAGAUACACUCAAAAACUAGUGGGCUUUGUCUACCCUUACAUCCAAAUCAUCUUUGAUGAAUUCACCAAUGAUUUUCGCAAGCGAAGCGAAAUCUAUUCCGCCAUCCAGAGCUACCUCAGUGCGAAAUCUUCCACUCGGGCUAAGCGGUUAAAAGCUCAUGAAGUCAAGGACAGCAAGUCUCUGGUCCUUGGCAUGGAUGACAAUGAAGAAGUGACUGAUGAAUUUCAAGGCGUUAAGCUUUCAUGGGUUUUGAGGAAACAAACGGCGAAUCAGACUUCAUUUUCUUUCUAUCCUCAGUCUGAUGAGAAGAAACAUUAUAGGCUGACGUUCCACAGACGCCAUAGAGAUAUCAUCACGAGGUCUUACCUUGAUCAUGUGAUUAAAGAAGGGAAAGAGUUAUUGGUGAGCAACAGGCAACGAAAGCUCUAUAUCAACAAUCCUACACAGGAUUGGCAUCCCUACAGGGGGACAAAGUGGAGCCAUGUGGCGUUUGAGCACCCGGCAUCAUUUGAAACCCUAGCAAUGGACCCGAAAAUGAAGGAGGAAAUCAUCAGUGACCUCAUCAAGUUCAGAAAGGGAAAGGAGUACUAUGCGAAAAUCGGGAAGCCUUGGAAGCGGGGUUAUCUCCUUUACGGGCCACCAGGCACUGGAAAGUCUACCAUGGUUGCUGCCAUGUCUAAUUUCAUGGAUUAUGAUGUCUAUGAUCUUGAGUUAACGACGGUGAAGGACAACACUGAGCUGAGGAAGCUACUGAUUGACACGCCGAGUAAGUCUAUAAUUGUGAUUGAGGACAUUGAUUGCUCGCUUGAUCUUACAGGACAGCGAAAGAAGAAGAAGGAGAAGGAUGAGGAGGACAAGGAAGAAAAUAAGGAUCCAGUUCGAAAAAUGAGGGAAGGUCAAGAAAACCCACAGAGCAAGGUGACUCUUUCGGGGCUGCUAAACUUUAUCGAUGGGAUUUGGUCAGCUUGUGGAGGGGAGAGAUUGAUUGUGUUUACGACUAAUUAUGUGGAGAAACUUGAUCCUGCGCUCAUUAGAAGAGGAAGGAUGGACAAACACAUAGAAUUGUCCUACUGCUGCUUCGAAGCAUUCAAAGUGCUUGCUAGGAAUUAUUUGGAUUUGGAUUCACACGAGUUGUUUGAAACGAUUGCUCGUUUGUUGGGUGAAACCAAUAUGACUCCUGCUGAUGUCGCUGAGAACUUGAUGCCUAAGUCUGUUAGGCAGGAUGCUAAAUCUUGUUUGAAGAACUUGAUCGAAGCUCUUGAGGCUGCGAAGGAGGAGGCAAGAGUGAAGGCCGAGGAAGAAGCAAAGUCAAAGGCAGAGGAAGAGGCAAAACUGAAGAUAGAGAAAGAAGAAAAAGAGAAAGACCUGCCAAAAGUUGAAGAGAAAUGCAAUGGAAAACAAGUUGAAACGGGCGAAGAAAACAGAGUUAGCGCUUGAAGAUGAACGAAAGAGAGUGAAAUCAUAUGUAUGAAUUUCAACCUUGCUUAAAUUGUAUUUUGUAGAGUCUCAUCAGUGUGUGUUUUUCCUUAAUGUGUACUAAGAAUAAUUUCAUGGGGCUGUACUAAUUAAGCGUUUCGAUCAUCAAGGGCAUAAGUAACCUGUACCGCAAGGAAAAAAUGUCUAUUUCUUUGAAUAAGUUUAACUAAGUAACUCUAAUCUGUGUUUUAUCAAAAUAUCCUUAGUUAAUUAAGUUCUUUCGUAUCUUAUUUUGUUUCUUAAAGUGAAAUUUUCUCACUUAACAACUAAUUGUAUGUUGCAAGAAACUAAGACUGAUUGAUCCACAGUAGACAGACAUGAUGAUGAUGAUGGGAGAAAUGUGGGUUCAACCGGACGCGGAGAUUUGCUAGUGUGAUGCUUCAUGCUUGUUUAUGCCAAAUUUCUGCAUUUUUUCCCAUCGCUUUCGAGGCAUAGAGACUGAAUCCGCCCGCCAUUGUAGAUGAUCAGAAUGCUUAGUAUAUUCAUACAAAGUAAUCACUGUGGUGCUUCAUGCUUGUUUACGCUAAAUUUUAAGUAUUUUCCCUUCUCUAAGAAAAAAUUAUUUAUGUAAAGCUAUGAAGUAUACAUCAUUUCUCAACAAAAUACAGAGGCCAAACAAGAAAGCAAAGUUUAAACAUGACUCCAGCAGACAUGUUUGCUCAUCUGGGAUCCGCAGUUGGCAGUUUGAUGUUUGCGUGGUCUAUCAUCCCACAAUACCUUCCUUACAGCCUUCGAAGCCAGACUAAGAAAUACUCUCAAAGAUUGGAGGGUUUCGUCUACCCUUACAUCCAAAUCACAUUCGAUGAAUUCAUUGGAGAGCGUCUCAAGCGCAAUGAACCUUAUUCCUCCAUUGAGAAAUAUCUAAGCUCCAAAUCUUUACGCAAGCAAAGCGCCUAAAGGCCGACAUAAAAAACUAACAGUCCCUUGCUUUUAGCCUGGAUGACUAUCAAGAGGUCACCGACAAGUUCCAAGUGUCACGGGAUGACUCUUUAAGCCUUCCGCCCAUGCGGCACUUAGACUUGAAUACCUCGAUGAACAAGCUAAGUAAGUCUUCGAAGCCUCGCUUCCCCGGAUCGAAUCACAAAGAAAGCUAAGAUAGCUUGGAGAAUGCUAAAAUCACUUAGAACAUGGGAGAAAGGAAGCUUUGUAUUGAAACUUAAGAGAACUUUACAAUUGCUUACAAUUCUUGGAUGCCUUGGCCAAAUGGCCUUGCCUCCUAUUUAUAGGCCUAAGUUACCUCCUCAAUGGAGGGUUCUAGAAUUCCCUACUUACAUCCAAAAAUAUCUAGCAUAGUUCUAGAUACAACUUGCCUAAUCUAGAUUGUUCUAGGUGAGGCUUAAAUUUGUACACUUGUGUGGAAUGUUCUGGAAUGCCCUAGAUUAUCUUGAACGCUCCGCCAUGUUCUUGAUUUUUCCGGGAUGUUCCAGAAGCUUCCAUGAAGACAAGGCUUUAUGGGCUUAGAUAUAUGAUGUCUUGGGCGAUUUCUUUGUUUUUAACAUAUGGCCCGUGACAUCCUCCCCCACUUAAGCCGUCGACGUCCUCGUCAACUCUUGCCUCUCGAAUGUCUGAAUCAAGUCCUUAUAUUGCCAUAAGGACGUCUCUUUCUCCCAUGUUGCUUCGGAGUAUGGUAGCCCCUUCCAUUUGACAAAGUACUCCAUAUGCUUUGGUUGUCUUGGUCGCACCACGACACGCUUGGCUUCAAUGCUCUCCGCUUCUUUGUCAAAUGCCUCCGUCAUUAAAGGGGGUGCUCGAUGAGACUCACCUCGGCUUGGUUCCUCAUCGUCUGCAUGAUAAGGCUUCAAGUUGCUCACAUGGAACACCGGGUGAAACUUGAGGCGGGGUGGGAGUUCCACACCAUACGCGGCUUUGCCAACCUUCUUGAUGAUAGGGAAUGGUCCCUCAUAUUUCCGCAACAAGCUCUUGUGCAAGCCACGAGUACUCUUGUGCUGAGACGCAUUGAGCUUCACAAAGACUUGGUUGCCAGUUUGGAACUCCACAUUCAUUCGCUUGCGAUCCGCCCAUUUCUUCAUCUUCUUUGAAGCCUUCUCCAAAUGAGCUCGAGCAAGUUCGUGGGCUAAUUGCCACUCCUUAGCGGUUUUGAAAGCGGCUGGACUAUUCCCCGUGUAGCCAGUCACGACCGUGUUCGGGGUCAAGGGUUGUUGCCCUAUAGCCAACUUGAACGGACUUUUCCCCGUCGACUCCGAACGUUGCAAGUUAUAAGAGAAUUGGGCAACAUCAAGUAACUUAGCCCAAUCUCGUUGAUUGGCACUAACAUAGUGCCGCAAAUAAGUCUCCAACAAUCCAUUAACCCGCUCCGUUUGUCCAUCAGUUUGUGGAUGAAAAGCUGUGGAGAAGUCUAACUUUGAGCCAAGUAGCUUGAAGAGCUCCUUCCAAAAUCUACCCGUGAAACGAGCAUCUCGAUCACUGACUAUGCUCCUCGGAACACCCCAAUACUUCACCACAUGCUUUAGAAACAAGCGUGCAGCUACUUCGGCUGUGCACUCCAUAGGUGCGGGUAUGAAAGUGGCAUACUUGGUGAAUCUAUCGACCACGACGAAGAUAGAUCCACAUCCAUCAGACUUAGGCAAAUGUGUGAUGAAAUCCAUGGUUAAACACUCCCAUGGUCUUGAUGGGGUGGGAAAUGGUUCCAACAGUCAUCCCGGUUGCUUUUGUUCCACUUUGUCUUGUUGGCACACAAGACAAGUCUUCACGUAUGAAUCUACAUCAUCCCGCAUUUGUGGCCAAUAAUAAGCAUCGCUCACCAAAGCCAACGUGCGGUGAGUGCCAGGAUGUCCUGCCCACAUUGAGUCAUGGCACUCCUUAAGGAUUUCUUUCCUUAAGCUUCCUCACUUUGGGACAUAGAUCCGUUUGCCCUUGGUGUAUAGCAAGCCGUCCUCAAGCCAAAACCUUCUUGUCUUCCCAUCCUUGACAAACUCCACAAUGUUCUUGGCUUGGACGUCAUGUGAUAAACCUUCUCGGACACGGCCCAAGAGAUGGCUUUGCGGCUUGAGUACCGUAGCCAUUAACUUUACUCGUCUACUUAGAGCAUCGGCCACCACGUUCUCCUUUCCUUGCUUGUACUCUAGCUUGUAAUCAAACUCCGCUAAGAACUCUUGCCACCUUGCUUGCUUAGGUGUAAGCUUUUGUUGGGUUUGAAAGUAGCUAGCGGCAACGUUGUCCGUCUUGAUGAUGAAUGGGGUACCAAGCAAGUAAUGCCUCCAAACUCUAAGGCAAUGGACGAUGGCGGUCAUCUCCUUUUCAUGGGUCGUGUACCUCUUCUCGGCAUUGUUUAGCUUGCGACUUUCAUAGGCUAUCGGAUGUCCCUCUUGCAUCAACACUCCUCCUAUGGCAAAGUCGGAAGCAUCAGCGUGCAACUCGAAUGGCUUGCUAAGGUCGGGCAACCUUAGUACAGGCUCCUCCAUUAGGGCCUUCUUCAACCUCUCAAAGGCCUCUUGACACCGGUCCGUCCAUUCCCAUGCCUUGUUCUUCUUAAGAAGGUCUGUUAAGGGUGCUGCUAUGGCUGAAUACCCUUUUAUGAAUCUCCGAUAGUAGUUGGCUAACCCCAGAAAGGAUCGUAGUGUUGGUACCUUGGUCGGUGGUUCCCACUCUUGAAUGGCCUUGAUCUUGCCCUUUUCCAUCAUAAGUUUCCCCUCCUUUAUCUUGUGGCCAAGAAAUUCUACUUCUUUUGUGGCAAAUGAGCAUUUCUCCUUCUUGACAUAGAGUUCAUGCUCCCGAAGGGUCUUGAACACUAUGCGCAAGUGCUUGACGUGCUCAUCCAAUGUCUUGCUAUAGACAACGAUAUCAUCAAUGUAAACCACAACAAACUUGUCAAGAUAAGGAUGGAAUACCUUGUUCAUCAAUGUGCAGAAUGUUGCGGGGGCAUUGGUCAGACCAAAUGGCAUGACUUUAUACUCGAACGAUCUAUAUCUGGUCACCAUCGCCGUCUUUGAUUCGUCUCCAGGGGCUAUCCUCACUUGGUAGUAUCCCGAUCGAAGAUCUAACUUUGUGAAGUACCUUGCUUCACCAAGUUGAUCGAAUAAGUCGGCGAUCAACGGAAGUGGGUACUUGUUCUUGAUGGUAAUCUUGUUCAAUGCUCUAUAGUCGAUGCACAACCUUAGGCUACCUUCUUUCUUGCGUUGGAACAAGACGGGUGCACCAUAUGGGGACUUGGAGGGUUGGAUGUAGCCAGCAUCAAGUAGUUCGUUGAGUUGCUUCCUCAAUUCCUCCAACUCGGGUGGCGACAUCCUAUAAGGUGAUUUGGAGGGAGGCUUAGCACCAGGCUCCAACUCAAUCGCAUGGUCGACCUCUUUCCUUGGUGGCAACUUCUUUGGCAGUUCCUUAGGUAUCACGUCCGUAAACUCCACAAGAACGUCUUCCACUUGUUUCGGCAAAGGCCCGUGCUUCUCCUCCCCUUCAUUCAACAUUAGGGUUGCAAGAAAUGUGGCCUCGCCUUUCUUCCAAGACUUGGCAAAUUGAAUUGCCGACAAGUGCUGGGUACACUUCUUGGCUUGCCUUUCCAAUGGCACCAGGCAAGGUUGUCUUCCGUCGGCCAGGAUACAGAAAAUAUUGUAGAAGGGAAUGGGAAAGGCUCGUACCUUGUCCAUGAACUCUAACCCAAUGACUACUCCAUAGUCGUCCAUCUUGACUACAGUGAAGUCGAUCUUUCCCUUCCAUGUGCCAAUGUCUACUUGUACAUUGCGCACAACUCCAACAAUGGGGGUGGCAGCGGAAUUUACCGUCUUCACGCUACCAGGCUCCUUUGUGACUCAGAGACCAAGCCUUGUGGCUUUCUCCGACGUCAUGAAGUUGUGUGUUGCUUCUAUGUCCACCAACACACGCGUCGUCUUGUCACCAGUCUUGACGUCGACGAACAAUGAUCCUCCCCCAAUUUGAGCCUUAGGUUGUGGAAGGGUUGUCUGGAUGGCAUUCAGUAGACGGAUGCAUCCCAUCGUUGCAUCGUUACUCUCUUCGGCCUUGUCCUCCUUGAAAGCCAUGGCCUUAAGGGCAUUCUUUUGUGGGCAAUCUCGCAUCAUGUGAGGGCCGUCGCAUAGGUAACAAGUGGGUUGCCAAGACUUACCUUUGCUUUUGUCAUGCUUAUCGGCUUUCUUCUCCUUCGGUUUGCUUGUCUCGGCCUUGUCCUUCGGCUUAUGUUCUCCCCCACUUCUCUCAUGAUUACCCCUCUUCCCCGUGGACUUGAAAUCACCUUGGUGGCUUGAUUUAAACUCAAUCAAGGAUUCGGCGGCGGCAAUGGCAUCAGACAAUGUUUGCACGUGUCUCCUUUGUAGUUCGAGUUUUGCCCAAUUUUGCAGUCCACUCAUGAAGUACAUGAGCUUGUCUUCCUCUAACAUGUUGGGCACCUCGAAUAACAAGCUCACGAAGGUGUUGACAUAGUCUUUGACGCUCCCCGUUUGCUUGAGCCACCUUAGUUUCUCCUUGGCUUCGUACUUGGCAUUUUGGGGAUAGAAGUGCAACAUAAGAUCUUUCUUAAAUUCAUCCCAAGUGGUGAGGGAGAACGUACCUUGGUCAAUCUCCAUGCUCCGGCGACGCCACCACAUAAGGGCAUUGUCAGCUAAGAACAUGGUUGCCGUUGAGAUUUUGGACUCGUCAUCUUCAAGCUUCAGGUACUUGAAGUAUCGCUCCACGUUCCACACGAAUGUGUCGAGCUCCUUUGCUUCCCUUUUCCCAUUAUAGGAUUUGGGUUUAAAGGAGUCGAUUACCUUGGAGUCCAACGCCUUGAUUUCCCUCGGCCCUUGCACGAAUUGCUUCACGACUGCUUCUUUACAAAACGCCACAUCUCCCUUAAGUUCCCUUGUGUCCUUUAUCUCUUUUUGAAGUGCCACAAACCUUGCCUCUAUGUUGUCAAGGUGAACCUGGACUUCCCUCCGCAUCUUGUCUGCCAUGGUGUUGAGAGCGCCAAAGAGCUCAUCUCGUAGCCCUUCCACCAAGCCACGCAGUUCAUCCUUACCAUUGUCCACCAUGGUUUGGAUUUCCUCCUUGUCGACAACGUCCUCAUCAAGUCGAGUAUCGAACUCGAGUAUGGUUCGUUCCACCUUCUCGAGUCGCUCUUCCAUGGUCUCCAUCGAUGCUUGCAAGUCCUUUAACUUUGGCUUGCUCUUGGCAACAUCUUGGACCUCGGCAGUACGCUCCCUUAGGUCGGAGACUCCGGACACCAUCUCUCCACUUGCCAUAUCCUACUUUCCUUCAAGUGAUUCACGAGCUAGGCUCUGAUACUAGCUGUCACGGGAUGACUCUUUAAGCCUUCCGCCCGUGCGGCACUUAGACUUGAAUACCUCGAUGAACAAGUUAAGUAAGCCUUCGAAGCCUCGCUUCCCCGGAUCAAACCAUAAAGAAAGCUAAGAUAGCUUGGAGAAUGCUAAAUCCACUUAGAAGAUGGGAGAAAGGAAGCUUUGUAUUGAAACUUAAGAGAACUUUACAAUUGCUUACAAUUCUUGGAUGCCUUGGCCAAAUGGCCUUGCCUCCUAUUUAUAGGCCUAAGUUACCUCCUCAAUGGAGGGUUCUAGAAUUCCCUACUUACAUCCAAAAAUAUCUAGCAUAGUUCUAGAUACAACUUGCCUAAUCUAGAUUGUUCUAGGUGAGGCUUAAAUUUGUACACUUGUGUGGAAUGUUCCGGAAUGCCCUAAAUUAUCUUGAACGCUCCGCCAUGUUCUUGAUUUUUCCGGGAUGUUCCAGAAGCUUCCAUGAAGACAAGGCUUUAUGGGCUUAGAUAUAUGAUGUCUUGGGCGAUUUCUUUGUUUUUAACAUAUGGCCCGUGACACAAGGACUCAGUUUCUUGUGGGUUUCUGGGACAAACGUGUUGAAAAGAUAGACGUAUUCUUUCUACCCUGUUGGUGAGAAAGGUACUACAAGCUCAUUUCCAUAAACGGCACGGGGAUCUCGUAAUAUGUCCAUACUUUACUCAAAUCUUGAAAGAAAGCAAGGCUAUGAAGGUGGUAAACCGGCAAAGAAAGAUUUAUUCGAACAAUGGUUCACAUUGGAGCCAUGUCGUGUUUGAGCACCCCGCUACAUUUCAGACACUUGCCAUGGAGCUGGAGAAGAAGAAGGACAUUAUUGACGACCUAAUGGCAUUCACCAUAGCAGAAAACUAGUAUGCAAGGAUUGGAAGGGCAUGGCAGCGGGGAUAUCUCCUUUACGGCCCUCCAGGUACUGGAAAGUCCACCACGAUUUCUGCCAUGACUGAUCUUUUGGGCUAUCAUAUUUAUGAUCUUGAACUCACUGCAGUUAAAGACAACACUGAGCUGAGGGGGCUUCUGAUUGAAACAACGAGCAAGUCUAUUACUGUAAUUGAAGACAUCGAUUGUUCACUUGAUAUUGCGGGACCGAGGAGGAAGAGAAAAGAUAAAGGGGAAGAGGAGGAAGAGAAAGAUCCAAUGGACAAGCUUGCAGAACAAGAAAGAUAAACCAAAACCAGCCGGGUUAAUAUUUCCAGGCUUCUGAUUUUUAUUGAUGGGCUAUGGUCAGCUUGCAGCGGAUGGGGGAUCAUUGUCAUCACAACUAAUCAUGUGGAGCAACUCGAUCCAGCACUUGUCCGGAAAGGAAGGAUGUACAAGCACAUAGAAUUGUUGUACUGCAAGUUCGAAGCAUUCAAGGUGCUGGUGGGGAACUACCUUAGACUUCAAUCACACGAUUUGUUUUCCACAAUUGUACGCUGCCGGAGGAAAACUGAUAGGACUCCAGCUGAUGUUGCAGAACCUUUGAUGCCUAAGACAAAUCCUUAGGAUGCUUAAAUCUGCCUACAUAAUCUGAUCGAAGCACUCGAAAAAGAAAAAGAGAAUGGAAGGUUGAAAGCCAAGGAAGAAGGGAAAAGGAGAAAUCAUCACCUAAAGAGGAAGAAAAUGAUUGUGAUACAGGAUCAUCUGAUGAGCAAUAAAAAGAGAGCAAGAAAAUAGGUUUAGAAUUGGUUAAAAAGCUUGUUUCCUAAAAGUUGUAUGUAUUAUUCUAAAACCAAAUUCCUCUCCUUUCCGAGGUAUUUACUCAUUCGAGUUUGAAGAAAAUGGUGCCGAAAUCUGAUGUAGAGGAUGUUGAGUCUUGUUUGAAGAACUCGAUCGAAGCUCUUGAGGCUGCGUAGGUGGAGGCGAGAAUCAAGGCUUAGGUAAAAACAAGCAAAAAGGCAGAGGAAGAAGAAAAAUUGAAAACAGAGAAAGAAGUGAAGUCGAAGGCAGUGGAAGAAGCAGAUUCGAAGGCAGAUAGUGAAAUGUAACGGGACAUCAGCUUAGCUUCAUAUGACCAAGUAAACCCUCAUUUGUGCAACUUUUAUCCGUGUUUUUUUAGGAAAAUAAGCUUAUAAUUUUCUCAAUUAACAAUUUAAAAAGGUCCAUUGUCCCACCUAGUUCGUUGGUUUAACCAACGAUCUGGAUGUGAUCUAUCUGUUAGGAAUAUAAUAGAACCUAUAUGUAAUUAAAGGUUUUACUUUACUUAGCUGUUAAGCUAAUUGUACCUAUUUAUAUGAUAUUGUAUUCUUUCGGACUGUAAGAUGAAUUCAUUCAAUCAAUACACUUCUCUUUCUAGAAUCCUCUCUCUCUCUCUCUCUACCUUUACCUUUUCUCUCACAGAAUCAUAAGUUUCUACAUGGUAUCUUCGCCGAUGUCUAACGACCUCGAUCCACCGCUUCCGUCUUCUUGAAUUUUCUCACCCUUUCUCUUCUCCCAAACAGAUCUUAUCUGCCUGACCUUCUUCAAUUUCUUAAAAUUUCUUCUCCACUCUUGCUUCUCUGAUGGCGACUGGUGUGAAUUCUGCGGAUCUUUCUUCUCCGGCUGGUUCUUCUGGUUCUAAUGUCGCGCCCAAUGCGUUCAAUCCGUCUCUUUCUUCGAUCACUGUUCAGAAUAUCACUGGCAUGAUUGCAACGAAGCUUACUCGCCACAACUACAUCACUUGGCGUAGUCUCUUUCUUCCUGUUCUGAAACGAUUCAAGCUUUUAGGGCUUGUCAAUGGAACUGAUGUGUGUCCUCCUCCAUUUGUGACUGAUUCGUCCGGAUCUCAAGUUUCUAAUCCUGCAUUUGAGACUUGGUGAUCGUGAUCAAAUCUUGAUGAUUUGGAUUAAUUCAACAUUAUCUGAAGAUCUCCUUCCAUUGAUGGUUGGCAUGGACGAUUCCAGAUCUCUCUGGCAAUCUCUCGAACGUUGGUUUUCUGGUGCAUCUCGUACUCACAUUCACAGCCUUCGUUCGAAGAUUCAGACUAUCCAAAAAGGAGACUCUUCAAUGACUGAUUACCUCAACUCUCUUAAGGAAAUCUCUGAUAAACUUGCCGCGGCUGGCGAACCAAUUUCUGACUCAGAUCUUGUGGCCUACAUUCUUUCUGGUCUCUCUACUGAGUAUGAAUCAUUUAUUGAUUCUAUUGAAACACGAUCUGACUUUGUCAAUCCUGAUGAGCUGCAUGGAUUACUCCUGAGUAAAGAGAUUUCUCUUCUGAAACGCAAAUCCAGAAAACCGUCUUCUUCUUCAGCAUCUUUUCAUGCUUAUACGGCUCAACCUGGUUCCAACAAUUUCAGAGGCCGUGGUCGAUUUCAGAACAAAAAUCGCUACAAUUCGAAUCGCAAUUUUGGAGGAAAUCGUCAUUACAACAACACUUCUGGAAGUCUUCUUGGUCCUGGUCCUAAUUCCAGAUCCACAUUCUCUGGUCAGAAUUUCACCAAUUCCUUUUCUGGCCGCUCUCUUCAGUGCCAAUUAUGUCUCAAAUUUGGUCAUGAAGCUCUCAACUGUGAGAAGCUCCUUCAGUUUGCAUCUCAAAGAUCACCUCAUGGACCUCAUGUUGGCAUGACGGCUGCGACUUCUCCUCCACCGAGCUAUUGGUUAACUGAUAGUGGAGCCUCUCAUCAUGUGACACCUGAUCCAUCAUCUCUUAAUUCUGCAAUUCCCUACAAUGGCAGUGAUCAGUUGUUUGUUGGUAAUGGUAAAGGUCUGUGCAUUUCUCAUACUGGUUCUGCCUUAAUUCGUACUUUCAAUGCUACAUUUAAGCUCAAUGAUGUGUUGUUGGUUCCCAAAGCAUCCCAUAAUCUGUUAUCCGUUUACAAAUUUGUCUAUGACAAUUGGGCUUCUCUGACUUUUGAUCCUUUUGGGUUCUAUAUCAAGGACCUAAGAACUGGAAAGAUGCUUUUCCAGGGCCUCUGUGAAGAUGGCUUAUAUCCUUUCUACUGGACUGCAUCCAAUAAAUCCUCAGGCAUUGCUCUCUCGCCUACGGCAUUGAUGAUAGCUAAGGCAGAUGUUCAUCUCUGGCAUAAAAGACUCGGCCACCCAUCGAGCUUAGUUUUACAUAAUGUUGUCCAUAAACAUCAGCUACCUGUUAUUGGUUCUGUCAAUUCAGGGUCCAUUUGUACUGAUUGUAAGAUGGGGAAGGCAUCUAGAUUACCAUUUUCUACUUUGCCUUGUACUUCCACUAGGCCUUUUCACUUACUGCAUACAGAUGUUUGGGGUCCUUCUCCCACUUUUUCAUGUACUGGUUUCAAGUAUUACCUCAUUUUGGUCGAUGACUACACUAAAUACAGCUGGCUUUAUCCUAUGGUUUAUAAGUCUGAUGUUUACUCCACUUUCAAGACUUUUGUUCUCAAAGUUACAAAUUUCUUUUCUUGCAAGAUUCAAUGUCUCAGGUCAGAUUCAGGGGGUGAGUUCUUAAGCAAGAAUUUUCAGACUUUUCUCAAUAAACAUGGUAUUACACAUCAGUUAAGUUGUCCGCAUACACCUGAACAAAACGGCUGCGCAGAGAGGAAGCACAGGCAUGUUGUUGAAAUGGGUCGGACUCUUCUCUUUCAGAGUGGAAUGGCACCAAAAUUCUGGGUUGAGGCUUUUCAGACUGCUGUCUACAUUAUAAAUAGACUGCCUCCUCAAGCAUCUCCUACUAGCCCUUGGGAAAAAUUUUCAAUGCUGUACCUCAGUAUCACACUCUCAAAGCCUUUGGCUGUGCAUGCUACCCAUGGCUGCAGCCCUAUUCGUCAACUAAACUUGAUCCGAAUAGCAAGUUGUGUGUUUUCCUCGGCUAUAGUCUCAAUCAUUGUGGCUAUCGGUGUUUUGAUCCUGUGGCUAACAAAGUGUAUAUCUCACGGCAUGUUACUUUUGAUGAACACCUGUUCCCGUUUAAGCAAGGCUUGUUCUCUGCCUCUCCUUUACCCCAGCGUCCUUCACCUCUCAGCUCUUCUCCUAUUACUGUCACUAUUCCUGUCUCCUCUUCACCAAAGACUUCACUGCGUACUUCACAGCUUGCUAGUCCUGCUGGUUUUUCACCAUAUCAAGCAUCUUCUGUACCUGACAGUACUCCACAUCAAACAUCUUCUGUACCUGACAGUAAUGCAUCCACAACUGCUACUUCUCCUCAGUCUACUCCCUGUUUACCAUCUGCUACUGUGCCUGCCCCUGCUCUACCUAAUUCGCACCCUAUGAUUACGAGAGCUAAGGCUGGAAUUCAUAAACCAAAGGUCUUCACAGCAACCAAACAUUCCCUUCAAGCCUCUGUUGAUUCUAUUGCUUGUCUUCCUUCCACACCUACAACCUUUUUACAAGCUUCCAAAAAUCCCAACUGGAUGCAAGCUAUGAAGGAUGAGUUUCAAGCAUUGAAAUCCACAGGCAAUUGGGAAUUGGUUCCGUUUCAGUCUCAUUUGAACUUGGUUGGUUGCAAAUGGGUCUUUCGACUCAAACAUAAACCUGAUGGCUCUAUUGAACGGUAUAAGGCUCGUCUUGUCGCCAAAGGUUUCCAUCAACAAGAGGGUCUUGACUUCUCUGAGACAUUCAGUCCCGUUGUAAAGCCUACUACUAUCCGUAUUCUCUUAUCCAUCGCUGUUUCCUAUGACUGGUUUGUCCAUCAGCUUGAUGUCAGUAAUGCCUUUUUGCAUGGUACAUUAAAGGAGGAUGUCUACAUGGUCCAGCCUCCUGGUUUUGUUAAUCAGUCCAAACCUACACAUGUCUGUAAACUCCAACGGUCACUCUAUGGUUUAAAAUAGGCACCUCGUGCCUGGUAUGAUGCUUUUCACAAGGCUAUCCUCUCUUUAGGUUUCUCCUCUUCACAUUCUGACUCCAGUCUGUUUAUAAAAAAGGAUUCUACCAUUACUUUCAUCUUAGUCUAUGUUGAUGAUAUCAUCAUCACUGGUAGUUCUACCACAGUUUGUCAAUCCAUUAUUACUCAGUUACAAACUAUGUUUCUUGUGAAAGACUUGGGUGAUAUUCACUACUUUCUCGGUAUUGAGGUUCACUGAUCUGCCAAAGGUUUAUUUCUGCAUCAGUUCAAAUAUGCUCUUGAUUUGCUGAAGAAAUCUGAUAUGCUUGGUGUCAAGCCUUGCUCCACUCCUGUUGGUUCUGCGAAACUGGAUCACUCUGGUUCUCCUCUUUCUGAUCCUUCCUUUUAUCGCUCCACUGUUGGAGCCUUGCAGUAUCUCACAUGGACUCGGCCUGAUUUGGCUUUUGCUGUUAACCAAGUAUGUCAACAUAUGCAUUCUCCUAGGACAGUCCACUUACAGGCAGUUAAAUGGAUCAUUCGAUAUUUGAAGGGUACCCUUCAUUUCGGUCUUUGGCUAACAAAAGGUCCUCACUACCUCACUGCAUGGUCUGAUGCUGACUGGGCUGGCUGUCCUGUUGACAGAAGAUCCACCAGUGGCUACUGUGUUUUUCUUGGACCGAAUCUCAUUUCCUGGAGUGCAAAGAAGCAAUGCACUGUUGCUCGAUCGUCUACUGAAGCUGAGUACAGGUCUCUAGCUCAUACAGCUGCUGAACUCAGUUGGGUUUGUCAAGUAUUGCAGGAUCUUUCCUUUCCUCUUCUCAAAACUCCUGCGAUUUUCUGUGAUAAUAAAAGUGCAAUUGCACUAGCCUUCAAUCCUGUAUUCAUGCUAGGACGAAGCAUGUUGAAAUAGACUAUCACUAUAUUCGUGAGAAGGUUCUCUGUGGCAAAGUCAGUGUGCAUCAUGUUGCUUCUCUUCUUCAAAUUGCAGAUAUUUUCACUAAGUCUUUGCCCUCUGAUAGAUUUGCCGCCUUGGCUUCCAAGCUUUCAGUUCGACCUCCUCCCUUCACCUUGAGGGGGUGUGUUAGGAAUAUAAUAGAACCUAUAUGUAAUUAAAGGUUUUACUUUACUUAGCUGUUAAGCUAAUUGUACCUAUUUAUAUGAUAUUGUAUUCUUUCGGACUGUAAGAUGAAUUCAUUCAAUCAAUACACUUCUCUUUCUAGAAUCCUCUCUCUCUCUCUACCUUUACCUUUUCUCUCAUAGAAUCAUAAGUUUCUACACUAUCAGCAGCGGCAUUCUUCCUUGCUCGUUCCUAGGAACUCGGUAACGUGGCCAGUAAGUCAGCGAGCAUUGAGGCAGGCAGACAGAUAUUAUUAACUGCUUUCAGUCGGUAAGGAAAAGAAUGCUGAUUUCACCGAUUAUCCGUACUUGACGCUUUGGACGAGUAAUUUAAAACCUCAGUUCACUAUCAUACCGUUUGGUAUGUGGGACGGGACAGAACGGAGUGAGACGAGGCGUUCCGUCCCACGUUUGGUGUGCCUAAAACGGGUGCAACGCGCUGUUCCACAUAAUGAAUUUUGGGUGAAUUUUCGUUCCGCCUCACCCCCUGGAACGACUCGUUCCACAUCCGUGGAACACAAAAUUAUAACCUCUCUGUCUCCUUCUUCCUCCUUGUUUCCAUCCGAGGGCAUCUUUGCUCCCUCUCCGUUCUGUCCCGUUCCGUCUGCAUACCAAACGAUACCCUUCUUCGAUUACCGCUUCGAGUCUUAAGGGUAAUUGUCUGCAAUUUCCAUCAGAAGUGUGAUUGGUUUCCUUGUUUUUCUUUGGCUUGCAUGUAAGUUGCAAUUAACUGAUUGUUCAACAUCAGACGAGCAUGACGAUAACCGAAGAAAUGUGAGUUCAACUGGACAUGACGAUUGCCAGGGUGAUGCAUCAAGCUUGUUUGUGCCAAGUUUCUGCGUGUUUUCCCCAUCGCUUUCGGGACAUAGAGACGAAUCCACCAGCUUUGUAGAUGAUCAGAAUGCUUAAGAUAUUCACUUUAAAUAAUCAGCGUGAUGUUUCACGCCUGUUUAUGUUAAGUUUCUACGUACUUUCCAUAUCGUUUUCGGAGCAUGACGACAAAACCACCAGGCAGUGGCGGAUGAUCAGAAUGCUUAAUUUAUUGACUAACCAAUACCAACUCCACUCCACCCAACUCUUCUUAAACAAAUUAUAAUUAUAUAAUCGGGAUAGCAUUGGUAUCAGUGUGGUUAGUAGUGACCACUUCGCUUGUCCGCAUCUGUAAAUUACAGAGGCCAAGCAAGGAAAGCAAGGUUAGACAUCAGUUGAAACGAGUGAAGAAAACAGAGUCAGCCCUGGGAGGCACAGGACUGAAAUUAUCAGUAUAUAGUUUCUACCUUAUUUCUUCCAUUUUGCACCCAGAUCAAUGUGUGUUUAUCUUAACAAUGUAAUAAGAAUUGAGGUGGAUGGAUUCACCGCUACCAUGGUCCCCUAAAUACAAGGUUACGAAAAUAAAAUCUUACACGUGAAUUUAUAUUUGAUGGUACAAAGUAUUACAGUAACGAUGAACCUGUUUCUUAAAAAUCUCUCUAAAAACACAAAAUAAGAGAACAGGAGGAAGGCGUAACUGAUCAAGGAGCCUCCUGAGAAAGGAUAAGAAGGUGAAAGUAAAUGCACCAAGGCUUACGGUUACUCAUUAAUAUUUCCUUACUAGUCCGGCUAUGAAACAAACGUCUGCUCUACAUCUCAUCAAGUUAUGUGUUGAUAACAUAUUUUAUUACCAAACAUUUGGGUUCAUGAUUUACUCUUGGACCAUACUAAAAGGAAAGUACCAAGACAGUAUGUGCGUGAUGCUGAACUGAAAGACUAGGAUGACAUCAUUGCAAUAUGACGUCAUAGAACUAAUACAGUUUCCAAUUUUUAAACAAAAUAAUAAUUUCCAUUUGGUUUUACUUUAACUUAACCUACUGAGCAAGUAAUCGAGUCAAUUUUUGGACCGGAUUGUUUAAAUGUAUUCCAAUAAUGUUAUUCUUAUCAUAUUUUUGUACCACAAUUAUAUAUCACCUUUGGUGGUAUCUAAUGUGGACAACCACAUCAUUUAAAUUAAUUAGCAUUUAAUUUCAAAAUGUUAAUCAAUAAUUAAUAAAAAGAUUGUUAAUUAAAUGAUGAUUGUGGUAUACAAGAAGUAUUCUUCUGCCACCUAAAAUUAUUUAGGUGUUUUAAUUAAUAAAAAAAUUGAAAUUAAAUGAUGUAGCUUGUCCAACUCAUCUGCCACCUAAGAUGGUAAAAAAAUGUGGUAUAAAAUUGUGGUAAGAAUAGCAUUACUCAAUGUAUUCACACAGAAUAAUCAAUGCCAACUCACCCAAAACCCCCUUUCAAUUAAAUAUAUUUUAAUUUUUAAUUUAAUCUCCACAAAAUUAUACAAAUUCUCACCCAAACUAGUAUAUUGGAUCAAGAACUUCAAGUUAAGGGGGUAAUCCGGAUUAAUCUCAUGAGAUGGAAAUGAUUGAGAUAGUGAUCGGGUAUGGAUUCAUUUUGUGCCUUGUCUUUUUUUCUAAGGAAGUGAAUCAUACAAAUCGAGUGAUUUGUCACGCUUCAGGUCAAGGACAGAUUGGCUAUCAAUCGAUGUACCAGGCCGUCCAACUGAGGCGGCACACCCUUCAGGAUGUUAACUUGACUUCUAUUAGGUACAUAUAUCUAUGCAGACAUGUUUGUAGCUGGUAUAUGGUCUCGUCACUUUAGCUAGAUCAGAGAAAUGCGUUUGGAGCAACAUUCUGAAAGUUAGAAUACAUUGCAUGUGCUUAUUAUACUUAUGCGGUACGGGGAUUGAGAUGAAGCACAGUGGGCAACGUCCCCGCCAAUUCGCGUCAUUCUUCAGGAACGUUAACAUUCUUAUCUACUCCAAACGGUGGGAAGAUUAUCUUAUCAAAGUGACAAACUGCAAAAUAUAAGCAGUAAAGAGAUAGCUUACAAGGGCUCAUAAAGAUCUUAAAGAAGAAUCGUAAUUGACAUAGAUUCAAAUCUUGAUGUGAGGACCCAUAUCGGUAAGAGAGAAAUAACGAGAUUUCAAUAUAUGUUUAUCCACUGGUCCACUUGUUAGGUUUUGUUUUCUUUGAUUGCUCUUGCUUUUGUUGGAUGGAUUAAGGUUAACACAAAUGGGUUUUCUAAAUAAAUUGUCAUGUGGAUAGUGGUGGUGUUUUUCGUGACUCCAAUAGUUUUUUUUAUGAGUGUUUUCCUCAUCUUUGUAUGUGUGACAACCUGUCCCACUUAAGUUUACAGGUUUUACAGAACGAAAGAAGCAGGGUUGUAAUUUUCCCAUUGGUUGUGGGUUUUGGUUUAAAUAUUGUUUUAUUUGGUGCUAAAUGGUGUGCCUUGUGGGCCCCUUUCCUUUUUUGGUUCCCCAGUUUUCCCCUCCUCCUGUCUGUGGUUGCCACGUGUCCCCCACACAACUCCCAGAUCCCUCUCUUCUCUCCUUCCCAAGCUCUCUCUCUCACGACUCAUUCACUUUCUCUCCCUCGCAGACAUCUAUCUCUCAGCUCUCUCUUCCCCAAGGUGCCAACCCACACAUACACAUCCAUACACACCAACCUUCGAACCCCAGGACCGAAAGGUGUAGCGCCAUGGAAACCGGUGCGAAGGCGAGUUUCCAACGGUGGUAAGUUCUGAGAAUCACCUAAAACUUCUUGAUUCGUGCUUUGGGUUGUAUUUCUAGUUUUUCUAAGACUUUUGGUAGAAGUUUGGUGCAGGAAACAUCAUUGGAACUUAAACCCAAUUUCCAGCGAGAACCCGGCGGAUUUCAAGUCAUUUUUCGGCCAAUUCCUGCCAUUUCACGGUCUCCAAUAGGUAUUUUUCAACUCCUUAUUCUUUGGGCUUCAAAUUGAUAUAAAGUUUGACUAAGUUUAAUGGUGUGUUGGAGAUGACCGGAGCUUGGAAGCUCCGGCUUUCUCAUUCGUGUUGUUCAGCCUUCUUCCCUAACGAGAAACAAAAUCAGGCCCUUGGCCCGCUAAAACCUAAAAACCCAAACCUUUUUAUUUGUUAAACCCUUUUUAUUUAAACCAUUCAGACCUGGGCCUUAGGGCCGUUUAGAACUAAGGGCUUCAGCCCACUAGCCCAACCCAAACCCAAAUGUUAGAAUUAACCCCAGGUCUUGGGCCUUAUUGACAUGGGCCUUCAUCCCAAGCCCAGGAACCCUUGAACCCAAAGUCUAGGCCCAAGGACCCUUAGCCCAAUCCAGAUGUUGACCCAAGCCCAACCCGAUGAAACAUUCUCUGGAAUAUUCCCAUGUGACUUUUUGUUGAUUUUUUCGAAAUUUACCCGUGACCCUUCUUAGGGUAAUUUGACAUCCUGAAUUCGUUUUUGAUAUCCGUUUUCCCAAAUUCAAUCGUUUGAAUAGAGUUGUAUUAAUUGUACCCUUUAUGUGCUUGAGGUUAACUAUUUGUGGUGUUUCCGUCUUUACUAGUUUGCUUGGCUCUUCGGCAGCGAACUAUCUGUAAGUAGACCCCUUCUAAAUGCACGUGAGAAACAUGAUUUUAAUGAUUACAUUUUAUGAAAUAUUAGGCUUACUAAGAAUAUUUUGAAUUACCAUAUUUUAUCGAACUGAUGUUCUUUGUAGUAUAUAUGAUGGAUGACUAUAUACUGCUUACGAACAUGCUUUUACACACUUCUUUAUAGUAUAGAUGAUGGAUGACUUUAUACUAUGAAGUUGUUUUUGAGAUAUAUGUACCUAUGUUUGGAAAGACUAUGUUCAAUGGUUUUGUGCGUAUCUAGUGGUCAUUGUUCUGCCUAGGGGUGAUGAUACUUAAAUUGCCUACGGACUGGCGUGCGCAGGGCACUGUUCUGUGCAUAUGGAAGAUGAUACUUAUAUUGCCUUCGGGCGGGCGUGUGUUGGGCACUGUUUUGUGCAGAAGAGAGAUACUGAUACCACUAGUUAGCACACUAUAUGCGAGAUACUUUUAUGAAGGUCUUAUGGCAUGCUAGGGUUUUCAGAAAACCUAUUACAUAUUAUGCUAUUGAGUUUUUAUAAAACUUUAGGGGUUAGUAUGUUGAUAACUGUUUCAGUAUUAUGUAUAUAUCAACUUGGUUCACUUAUGUUUGUUUUGCACCCCCUCAGGACUUAGAAUCGAGGCAUACAAUCCCGGCGUCAAGGCACUUCCGCAUCGGCAUCUUCGAGUCCUCUUGGUGUAGGACCUAUUUCUUGUACUCAUUCAAUUUUAUGUUAUUUCUUUUUAGGGUUCUAGUUAGUUGUAUGCUCUGAACACGUUUCUCAUUUGCAUAUUAAUUAGAUUUAAAUUUGUAAGUCCUAUUUAUUUCUUGUUCUCAUGCAUUCUAAUAUGGUUUCGUCACCCUCAGGUGUCGGCCAACACGUACCUACCCUGGUGUUUGGGAGAAUAUCAAGGUUGGGCGUGUCACUAUGCAUUGAAAUUUUGAAAUUUCAUGUUUACAAUCUUCUUGUCCAAGUGCAAUUGUAGCUGAGAUUGUUGUUGUGAUCAAGGCAAUUCAGAUUGCGUGAGAUAAAGAGUGACAACACAUUUGGUUAGAGACAGAUUCUAUGCAUGUCGUUCACCCUUUAUCAGCUCGCUUCAUGGAUGUCCCAUGGUUUCUCAAAGUUUCUUGGGCAAAUUGUUUAUGAUAUUGCUCACUUGCGCUUGCGUGUUUUGCAUAAUUUUAGGGAAGAAAAUUGUUUGGCGGAUGCUUUUGCUAAUUCUAGGGGAAUGAAUAGUAGUUUUACGUGGGGGGACUUGAUAGCUGAUUUUGCAAAUGCGUCUUAUAGAAGAGACCGCAUUGGCUUCAUGUCUUUCGUUCGAGGUAAUUUUUUUUAUAUGGUUUGUAGCUUGUCGCUUGGUUGCAAUUCGUGGCGGCAUUUAAGUUUUGGUUUAGAGGAGUUCCUACAUCCCCCUCUUUUUUUGUAUUCUUCAAGUUUUAAGAGGUGGUCAAGUUUUUGUUCCUUCAUCGUCUUGCGUUCUGAGGGGUAAGAUUUUUGCCCCUUGACUAGGUAUAACUUUAAUUUUUCUUAUCAAUAAAAUUUUCUCGUACGAUCUAGGUUCCAUGGAAAACAAAAGGUUUGUUUUAUUUUCUUUGUUUAUCAUACAUGGUUAAUUGCUUUUGUCACUUGAUUCAUAAGCUCUGAUUAAUUACCCUUGAUUAUUAGGAUAGAGCUUCAGUAAUAUGUCAUUUAGUAAUAUGGUAUAUUUCACUCCACUUGUUUGGAAGUUUUAGAUUAGAAUCUUUUGAAUGAGGUGAAGAACAAAUAGAAUUUGCUACAAAAGCCGGCUAACAGGGGUAUUCUUGUCGAAUUUGUUACGAAAGUAUUAUAACAAGAAAAUUGUAUGACUUAGAUUAGAUCCCAUUCUUUAUGUAAAUAUAUCAAUUCUUCAACAAAAAAUAAAAAAAAUCGUGAUAUAAAAUGUAAUUUUUAAAUGUUUUUUAUGUGGAUUUUAAAGAAAAAACAAAUUUGUCCAGCUCACCCAACUUUGUCGUUACGUCCCUCCAGAACCUCUUCUUUUUCAUGGCGGGCCGCCUUUGGAGAAUUCCACCGAACUUCCUCUUGCUUUCCUUUAGUCAAUUAAAUAUUGUAAACAACUGAAACUUAUCUUCCAAGAAACGAGCAUCUCCUCCCCUAUAUAAAACCAUGUCUUUCAUCGUAGCAGAAACAAAAAAAACCUAAACCUUCAAGAGCUUCCGAAAACCCUUCCGACGAAAACGAAGAUGAUGGGAGAAAUGUGGGCUCAAACGGGCUCGGUGAUUGCGAGCGUGAUGUUCGUUGCUGCCAUAUUCCAACAAUACCUUCCUCGCCAACUUCGGUACCAUGUCGAAAGAUACACUCAAAAAUUAGUGAGCUUUGUCUACCCUUACAUCCAAAUCUCUUUUGAUGAAUUCACCAAUGAUUUUCGCAAGCGAAGUGAAAUCUAUUCCGCCAUCCAGAGCUAUCUCAGCGCGAAGUCUUCCACCCGGGCUAAGCGGUUAAAAGCUCAUGAUGUCAAGGACAGCAAGUCUGUAGUCCUUGGCAUGGAUGACAGUGAAGAAGUGACUGAUGAAUUUCAAGGCAUUAAUCUUUCAUGGGCUUCGAGGAAACGAACGAAGAAUCAGACUUCAUUUUCUUUCUAUCCUCAGGCUGAUGAGAAGAAUCAUUAUACGCUGACGUUCCACAGACGCCAUCGAGAUAUCAUCACGGGGUCUUACCUUGAUUAUGUGAUAAAAGAAGGGAAGGCGAUAUCGGUGAGCAACAGGCAACGAAGGCUCUAUAUCAACAAUCCUACACAGAAUUGGUACUCCUACAGGGGGACAAAGUGGAGCCAUGUAGUGUUUGAGCACCCGGCAUCAUUUGAAACCCUAGCAAUGGACCCGAAAAAGAAGGAGGAAAUCGUCAAUGACCUCAUCAUGUUCAGAAAGGGAAAGGAGUACUAUGCAAAAAUCGGGAAGCCUUGGAAGCGGGGUUAUCUACUUUACGGGCCACCAGGCACUGGAAAGUCUACCAUGGUUGCUGCCAUGUCUAAUCUCAUGGAUUAUGAUGUCUAUGAUCUUGAAUUAACGACGGUGAAGGACAACACUGAGCUGAGGAAGCUACUGAUUGACACACCGAGUAAGUCUAUACUUGUGAUUGAGGACAUUGAUUGCUCGCUUGAUCUUACAGGACAGCGAAAGAAGAAGAAGGAGAAGGAUGAGGAGGACAAGGAAGAAAAUAAGGAUCCAGUUCGAAAAAUGAGGGAAGAUCAAGAAAACACACAGAGCAAGGUCACUCUUUCGGGGCUGCUAAACUUUAUCGAUGGGAUUUGGUCAGCUUGCGGAGGGGAGAGACUGAUCGUGUUCACUACUAAUUAUGUGGAGAAACUUGAUCCUGCGCUCAUUAGAAGAGGAAGGAUGGACAAACACAUAGAGUUGUCCUACUGCUGCUUCGAAGCAUUCAAAGUGCUUGCUAGGAAUUAUUUGGAUUUGGAUUCACAAGAGCUGUUUGAAACGAUUGCUCGUUUGUUGGGCGAAACCAAUAUGACUCCUGCUGAUGUCGCUGAGAACUUGAUGCCUAAGUCAGUUAUACCCGAUUCUGAAUCUUGUUUGAAGAACUUGAUCGAAGCUCUUGAGGCUGCGAAGGAGGAGGCAAGAGUGAAGGCCGAGGAAGAAGCAAAAUCAAAGGCAGAGGAAGAGGCAAAACUGAAGGCAGUGGAAGCGGCAAAACUGUGAUAGGUUGUAUUAUGUGCUUAGUGUGUAAAUUAGAAUGGUUAGGAUUGUGACAUGUGUCAAAUUGUUGGUUGAUGUGUAAAGUUAGUUGACAUGUGUCAUAUUACUGGUUGAUGUGUGAAUUUAGUUAACAUGUGUCAUAUUGUGAUUGGUUGGUGUGUAAAGUUAGUUACAACUGUAUAGGAUGGUAUAACCUAUUGAUGUCACUUUGGCUUGUAAUCAUUAGCGUGAAAGAAGUAAUGAAAAAUAGUUAUGGAGCUCUUUCUCUCUCUUCCUCUCGAGUCUGCUCUCUCUUUACAUUUCUGUUCUUGAUUCUUCCAUUGUUCAACAAUCUGAAAGGAAGAGAAAGAACAGAAAGAGAAAGACCAGUCUGCUAAAGUCGAAGAGAAAUGUAAUGGAACUUAAGUUGAAACACGCGAAGAUAUCGUACAAAAAAGAAUGAAAUUAUCUAUAUCUUUUUAUAAAAAGGGAACAAGCUGGUGGCUUCGCCACGGCAAUCCACCUUUCGGGGGCCAAAAAGACUCAUACAGGUAUUUCAGUCCCUCUUGACCCCAAGUGAAGUUAUUUGUAUAAAUUUCAACCUUUCUUAAUUUGUACCUUGUACAGUCUGAUCAGUGUGCGGUUUUCCUUUAUAUGUAAUAAGAAUCAUUUUAUUGGGUUGUAAUAAAUAAAUAAAUUAAUGUAUGGCACAUAAGUAACCUGUGCCGCAAGGAAAUCGUUCAGAAAAAGCUUUUUAUGAAGAACAAUUGUGAUCUCUACAAUAAAAAUCCAUAACUCGAUUAAAAACGCUGCGAUCAGCGACAGAAGAUUUUGCACAUCAGUUUCUACAGGCAGGAAUUUCAUCACCGGAAGAAAGCAUGAGUCGAAAUGGAAGACUAAAGUUCCGGCCUAUACGUAAAAAACUAAAAAAAUGAAAAAGAAGAGUGAAGGAAAGGCCACGAAACAAGUCCGAACCUUCCAGGUUCACCAUCCAUGACACACAUUGACAUCAUUCGGUAGCAUAUCGGUGUCGAUAUUGUCUCUGCACUGCUUUGUUAGAUGCGUCAUGUGAGUAUACGUCCUGCAGCGGACGUGGUUAGUGGUUACUGCAAUUGACAUUGACUUUUGCUCUUAAUUUGGAUGAUCGUAGCAUGAAUAAUAUAUUAGCAAAGAAGUCGGGAAAUUUACGGAGAAGGUCUCCAGGAACUUGUCAUUCUGAUUGCCAAAACUUAACCUUAGCAAAAUAAACAAAAACAAAAUGAACUGGCCCUGACUAUAAAUAAUGAGAAGUUGAAGCUAUGAGCAGGUUACCCUAUAUGUGAAACCCAAUGGCCAAAGGUUCUCCACGUCACCUCGUUUUGUGUCGUCCACGUGUUUGGCUUGAAAAUUUGUCACUAGGGAACGUGUUGAGAAUGAGUCUGGCAUUUACAGGAGAAGAGACCUUAUAUGAGCUUAUAAGGAAUUGAGCCAAUUCUCAUAUUACCAAUUGUUUUUAUGGUGGAAUACAUUUUCUUCAAAUGUCUAUAAAAGCUCACUAAUACAAUUAUCUCAUAAAAUAUUUUCUAAUUAAUCUACCCGAAACGUUCUUAUUUAUUGAAAAUGCAAACUCCCUUUUUUGUUUUCGUUCUCUAAAAACACUCCCAAAAUACGUUACCAAACAGACCCUAAACAUCUUCGAGUACAUGCUAGCUAAGCUUUAAUUUGCAACUACUACCUUUUAUUUCCUCUUUUUUUUUUUUUUAAUAACAAUAUCUGUACCAAAGGUCUAAGUCAAAAACAUGAAAAACUUGUGGGCAGCAGAGCACAGCAAGAACAUGAGCCAGAAUGUUAAAAACCCCACAAGACACAAGUUCAACAACAUUUCUUGUCAUUGCUAUAUAUUUUUGUUGAACUGUGAACAAGUUCCUGAGAAGAACUAGGUGGAAGUAAGUAUACUAUCUCUAGCUAUUGAUAAUUUCUUUACUUACAAAACAUUCAUGUUCUUGAUUUACUUUCUGAACAAUUAAACGGCAUUUUCAUUUCCGUUAAUACAAGGAAACUACUUGUGUCUCUUUAAAAGCAGUCAUUCUUACUUACAAAUCACAAUUUGAUGUGAGUAAAAAAGGUUCCUUCUGUGUUUUUAAUUGGUUAUUUAUGCACAUGUAUUGAACUUUGAUUUACAGGAAGGAGAUCCGAGAAAGUAUACAAGAAAAAAUGCGUAUGAUGGGAGAAAUGUGGGCAAAAUUAGGCUCGAUGGUUGCGAGUGUGAUGUUCAUGAGUGCCGUAUUUCGAGACUUCCUUCCGGUGCAACUUCGAAAUCAUGUCGAACUAUACAUCCAUAAACUAGCGAACUUUUUCGACCCUUACGUGCAAAUUACAUUUGAUGAGCACACCAAUCAGUUUCGCAAACAAAGUGAAGUCUAUUCCGCCAUCCAGAGCUACCUCAGCACCAAGUUUUCUGCCCGAGUGAGGCGGCUCAAGGCUCAUGAUGUCAAGAACAGCAAGUCUCUAGUCCUUAGCAUGGAUGACAACGAAGAAAUCACCGAUGAAUUUCAAGGCAUUACGUUUUCGUGGGCUUCGGUGAAACGAAUGGCGAACCAGACUUCAUUUUCUAUCUACCCUCAAUCUAAUGAGAAGAAAUGUUAUAAGCUGACGUUCCACAGACGCUAUCGAGAUAUCAUGACGGGGUCUUACCUUGAUCAUGUGAUAAAAGAGGGGAAGGCGAUAUCGGCAAGCAACAGGCAAAGAAAGCUUUACAUCAACAAUCCUGCAGAGGAUUGGAAUUCAUACCGAGGGACGAAAUGGAGCCACAUUGUUUUUGAGCACCCGGCAACAUUUGAAAGCCUAGCAAUGGACCCGAAAAAGAAGGAAGAAAUCAUCAAUGACCUCAUCAAGUUCAGUAAGGGAAAAGAGUACUAUGCAAAAAUCGGGAAGGCAUGGAAGCGGGGUUAUCUCCUCUACGGGCCACCAGGAACUGGAAAGUCUACCAUGAUUGCUGCCAUUUCUAACCUCAUGAACUACGAUGUCUAUGAUCUUGAACUAACGCAGGUUAAGGACAACACUGAGCUGAGGAAGCUUCUGAUAGACACGCCGAGUAAGUCUAUAAUUGUGAUUGAGGACAUUGAUUGCUCGCUUGAUCUUACCGGACAGCGAAAGAAGAAAAAGGAUGAGGAGGACAAGGAAGAAAAGGAUUCAGUUCGGAAAAAGAGGGAAGAUCAAGAAAACAAACCGAGCAAGGUGACUCUUUCGGGGCUGCUAAACGUUAUCGAUGGGAUUUGGUCAGCUUGUGGAGGGGAGAGACUGAUCGUGUUUACGACUAAUUAUGUGGACAAGCUCGAUCCUGCACUCAUCAGAAGAGGAAGGAUGGACAAGCACAUAGAAUUGUCCUACUGCUGCUUUGAAGCAUUCAAAGUUCUUGCUAGGAAUUAUUUGGGUUUGGAGACGCACGAAUUGUUUGAAAGGAUUGGGCGUUUGUUGGGGGAAACGGAUAUGACACCUGCUGAUGUUGCAGAGAAUUUGAUGCCGAAAUCUGAUGUAGAGGAUGCUGAGUCUUGUUUGAAGAACUUGAUCGAAGCUCUCGAGGCUGCGAAGGAGGAGGCAAAGAUCAAGGCCGAGGAAGAAGCUCAACAGAAGGCAGAGAAAGACGAAAAUUUGAAUGCAGAGAAAGAAGCAUAACCAAAGGCAGAGGAAGAAGAAGAUUCGGAAGCACAGAAAGAUGAGCCCGAAGUGAAACGGAACGGAACAUCAGCUUAGCUUGAUAGGAAAAAUGUCUAUUUCUUCGAAUAAUUUUAACCUAGUAAAGUCUCAUUUGUGCAACUAGUAUCUGUGUUUUUUUAGGAAAAAUAAGCUUAUAAGUUUCUCAAUUAACAACUAUUUGUCUGCAAUUUCCAUCAGGAGUGUGAUUAGUUUCCUUGUUUUUCUUUGGCUUGCAUGUAAGUUGCAGUUAACUGAUUGUUCAACAGCAGACGAACAUGACAGAUGACUGGAGAAAUGUGGGUUCAACUGGCCGCGGCGAUUGCCAGGGUGAAGCUUCAUCGCUUGUUUCUGUUAAAUUUCUAUGUACUUUCCAUAUCGUUUUCGGGGUAUGGCGACGAAACCACCAGGCAACGGUCGACGAUCAGAAUGCUUAAUUUAUUCACUAACCAAUACCAACUCCACUCUACCCCACCCUUCUUUAACAAAAUAGAAUUAUAUAAUCAGAAUAGUACCGAUAUCAGUGUAGUUAAUAGUGGACCGCUUGCCCACGUGUAAACACAAGGCCAAGCAAGAAAAGCGAAGUUAAAACAUUGACUCCAGUAGACAUAAGUUGAAUAGAGUGAAGAAAACAGUCAGCCCUUGAAGGCAAAGAGACUGGAAUUAUCAGUAUAAUUUCUACCUUAUUUCUUGUAUUGCUAUCUACACAUUAUUUUUACCUCUUACUCAUAUUUCUUAAUUUUCGGCUGUCGGAUCAAAAAAAUCGAAAAUGAUCAAAUAACAGAAAUUAACAAAGAUGUGAGAAGUAAAAAUAUAUGUGUGGAUAACAUCACCCUAUUUCUUCCAUUUUGCGCCCUGAUCAAUGUGCGUUUAUCUUAACAAUGUAAGAAUUUAGGUGGAAUGAGUUCACGGCUACCGUAUCCCCUACAUACAAGGUUUCGAAGAUAAAAAUAUUACGCAUAGUAUUAAUGGUUUGAAAUAUCACAAUGACGAUGAACCUGUUUCUUAAAAAUCUCUCUAAAAACACAAAGCAUGAGAAAGGAUAAGAAGGUGAAAUGUAAAUGCAGCAAGGGUUAUUGAAAGUAAGUAUCAGUAAUUAAGAGCAUGUUUGGUAUUGAAUUUGAGUCCAUUCUUUUUAAUUCAAAAACAAUUUUUGAGUUUCAAUUGCAUAAUUUGCGUUUGGUUGGAGCAUUUCCAAAAAGUCAACUCAAAACUAACUCAAGAAUUAGCAUGUUGCUUAAAAACACAAAACUUCUGUUUUCACACUUUUUUUUCAAUCGACAUCAUUGUUGGGGAAAAAUGGGGCUGAUUUAAACACAAAACACCACGGAUUCAAACUCUUUUACGGCCGCUAGAGCUUUGAUAACUUGUGGGAUUGAAAGUCAAAAAUUGUUUUAAGAAUUCCCAAGUUCCAUAACAAACAAGUUUUCGGAUUGCAAUGGUUGUACUUAAGAAAUCACGUUUUAAAAAACCAUCAUAAAUUUUGUUAAAAUCUUGGAAUAGAAUACCGAACCGACCCUAAAUAUUGGAUAAUGUUACUAAUUAAUAUUUCCUUAUUGAUCCGGCUGUGAAACAAACGUGACUUAAAUACACAAUUUUCAUGAUCUGGUUCAUGACCAUACUACUAGGAAAGUACCAAGAAAGUGUGUGUGAUGCUUAACUGAAGCAUGAUGAUGACAUCCCAGAUGUCAUCAUUGUCACAUUACGUCAUAGAACUAAUAAUAAUUUCCACAAAAAAUUAAUUUAAAUUUCGAUUAUGGUUAACUUAACUUAACCUCUUAAGCAAAGAGGAUUCGUUUCGGAUUUACUUUGUGAGGAUUUUAAGGAUCUUCAUAUCUUAAUCGUGCAUCGUAUAUUAUGCGGUCAGUUUUCAUCAGGUACUAUUAUGUUUAAUUUUAAUAAAAAAAUAAAUAAUUUCUAAUUACACGAUGAACGAUGAAUGACUAAAAUAUGAAAAUCCCUAAAAUUCCCACGAUUUGGAUCCGCAUGGAAUCCAAAUCGAAUCCAAAUCCAUCUUAAGCAAGUAAACGAGGCCACGACACGACUCCUCCACGUCCACGGUCCACACACGAACACCGACUAUUUGCAUUGAGACAAAUCCACGGGUCAAUUUUUGGACCGGAUUGUUUGAAUGUAUUCACGCAGAAUAAUCAAUGCCAACGCACCCCAAAACCCCUUUUCAAUUAAAAAUAUUUUAAUUUUUAACUUAAAUCUCCACAAAAUUAUAUAAAUUCCGACAUUUCUGGCAAGAAAACACGGAAGAAAUCCAAGAAGAAGCAAAAAGUUGCAACCUUUGAGCCCCCAAAACAUGUUUCCGGCAACCAUUUUUGCCAACUUCGGAUCGGCGAUCGGCGGGUUAAUGUUCGUGUGGGCGAUAUUCCAGCAGUACUUCCCCUACGAGCUUCGAAGGCAUGUCGAAAAGUACUCGCAGAGAAUGGUGGGAUAUGUGUAUCCUUACAUUCAGAUCACUUUCAAUGAGUUCACCGGGGAGCGGCUGAUGCGCAGCGAGGCUUACUCCGCCAUCGAGAACUACCUGAGCUCCAAGUCCUCCACGCAAGCGAAGCGCCUCAAGGGCGACAUCAAGAACAACCAGUCGCUUGUUCUGAGCAUGGACGAUCACGAGGAAGUGGAUGACGAGUUCAAGGGAGUCAAAGUGUGGUGGGCGUCCGGGAAGUACAUAGCGAAGCAGCAGACAGUCUCGUACGUUCCGGUGAACGAUGAGAGGAGGUACUACAAGCUCACUUUUCACAAAUGGCAGAGGGAGCAGAUCAUUGGACCCUACCUUAGCCAUGUCCUGAAGGAGGGGAAGGCCAUUAGGGUUAGAAACCGGCAGAGGAAGCUUUACACGAACAAUGGCUCCCACUGGAGCCAUGUGGUGUUUGAGCACCCUGCAACAUUUGAGACUCUGGCUAUGGAGGUGGAGAAGAAGCAGGACAUUGUCGAUGAUCUGAUGGCGUUCAGCAAGGCUGAGGAGUUUUAUGCGCGGAUUGGGCGGGCUUGGAAGAGGGGUUACCUUUUGUAUGGGCCGCCGGGGACUGGGAAAUCCACCAUGAUCGCCGCCAUGGCCAAUCUUUUGGAGUAUGAUCUUUAUGACCUCGAGCUGACCGCGGUUAAGGACAACACCGAGCUGAGGAGGCUGCUGAUUGAGACGACAAGUAAGUCGAUUAUUGUGAUUGAGGACAUCGAUUGUUCGCUUGAUCUCACGGGGCAGAGGAAGCAGAGGAAGGAGAAAGGGGAGGAGCAGGGGGAAGGGAGGGAUCCGAAGGAGAAGAUGGGGAAGGAGGAUGGGGAGGCGAAACCGAGCCAGGUUACUCUUUCCGGGCUGCUGAAUUUCAUCGACGGGCUGUGGUCAGCGUGCCGCGGAGAGAGGCUCAUUGUGUUCACAACGAACUACGUGGAGAAGCUUGAUGCUGCAUUGAUCAGGAAAGGAAGGAUGGAUAAGCACAUUGAAUUGUCAUACUGUAACUACGAAUCCUUCAAGGUGCUGGCUAGGAACUACCUCAAGCUCGAAUCACACCGCUUGUUUCCGGAAAUUGGAGCGUUGCUUGGGGAAGUUAAGAUGACUCCGGCUGAUGUUGCAGAGCAUUUGAUGCCCAAGAAACUUUCCGGGGAUGUCGAAAUCUGCCUGCACAGUCUGUUCCAAGCUCUCCAGAAGGAAAAGGAGAGUGGAGGAUUGAAGGCUGAGGAAGAAGCGAAAGAGGAGAAAUCGCCAUUGGCUGCAGAAUCACCAUCAUCUAACAAAAAAUGAAGUGAUUGCAAGCAAGAAAGAAAAAAAAAAAAAGGAUUUUCGAUUUGGGGGACAAAAGGGCUUUGUAUGUGUAAAGCAUUUCUGUAUACUGCCAAUGUGGUCCUAGAUAUAUAUCCAAAACACCUAUAAUUGUGUCGAGGUUUGACAAGGAAAUUGUUGAGCGUGUAACGCUCAUGUUUACGGAAAAUCUGUCUUGUAAUUGGUUGUACAUCCGUUGGUCGAGAGACUUACAACCCGACAAGGGAUCUCUCUCUCUCGAACCAGGGAUAUACAAUCGGGCAUAGCUAAGAUUUUAAGAAUCCCUCCUGUCCACACGGAAUUAACUAGCAGCGGCAUUUCAACAAACACCUGGUGGACACUCAGUUACUAGUGAAAAAUGUGCAAUUUGCACCAGAACGCAAUCCAAAAGAAGCACAAAGCUUCGACACGAAUCACAAGGAGCAACGCAAGAUUCCAAUAAAAAGAAAUCGACCGAAGACGGUAACAAUUUUGGGCUGAGUAGAUGGAACUCGCAUGAAACCGAGUGGUUGAUUUCUGUUUAUAUGCGUUAAUUGUGCAGGCAGGAGGAGGAGUACAGCUUGAAGCUGGUCCAAAUGUGUUAUGUAUCUUAUUGGGCCUGGUGUCCAUAAUGCACUCUUCUGCACGGCCUGUUACUUUCUUGUGUCCAGUUCACAUGUAACGACCCGGCAUAUUUUUUUGGGCUUACCACACCACCCUUUGAAGUCCAGUUCACAUGCCUAAUUAAUUUGGGUAUUGGGAUACAACUUUUUUUUUUUUAAAGAAAAUUUACUGUUAUUAAGAGAAGAUGGGAGAUUUUAAAACUAUUACAUUAAUUUAUGAGAGGAGAAGUUUCGCAGCGGUGACGCAUGGGUAGAAACCAACAUCAUUUCUACUAGGAUAUUGAACCACAUGCAUAAUACAACUCUUAAAAAUGAUAAGUUAAGGUAGUAAAUUAUUAUGGUCGAUCAAAUAUCCUCACCAUUUUAAAGUAAAUAUAUUGUUUUAUUCGAAAAAUAAAUUUAUUAAAUAUUUGUAUCAAAAAAUAAUUCUUUAAAAAGAUUGAGGAAUUUAAAAUCUCUACUAAUUAAUAAAACACUCAUUGUCAACUAAAAUUCUAUAAAAUUAUUAGUUUAACCCUCUGAUUAAAACAUAACAUGAGUAAAAAAUAUGGGUCAUAAAUGUAAUUUCACACAAUCAAAUUUUAUUGUUUUUUAACCUCACUUACAUGUAAUCCUAACAUAUCUCUAAUUAAAAAAUAAAUAAAAAAUAAAAAAUAAAUUUCCCACUCCCCACAUUCUCUAUCACUCUCUUCCUCUCUCCUUCUAUUUCAAAAACAAAAAUAAAAAAAAUUUCUCAUACAUUUUGUAUGUGCCCAUAUGCUAGUAAAGAUAAAAUAAAGGCAACAUAUAAAAGGAAAAAUAAGAAGAAUAAAUUACUUAAAACUAAUAAACAAAACAAUUAUAAUUAUAAAUAUAAAAAUUAUAAAUACAUUAACAAAAAAAAUAAACAAGAAAAAGACCAUCGCGUCUUCUUAAUUUCUCGUUAUGUUUUUUUCUUUCGAACUCUUGUCUUGCGACUCCUUCCUCAGCAACAAUGGAUAGUUGUACAAACCUCCGCAACCUGUGAAUUCAUAAACAUGGGGUCUUGACUCCGACAAGCAGUGUGUGCAAACCUCUUCGUGACGAAUGAUAUAGUUGUACACAUGCAUGCAGCCUCAGAAAGAGGGUGUAGGGGGUACUUGUCACAGGAGAAUGAUAUAAGUUGCGUUUCGAUAUAUCUCAAUUUUUGUCAUCUCUCAUGCGACAGGUAUCCAAAGUCUUUAAUAUAUCUCUUCUUCCUUAAUAUUGUUUGAUCUCUCUUCAGUGUCUCCUCGUGGCUUCACAAGAUGCUAUGUAUUUAUAAGCAGGGCUGGCUAGCCAGAAGGCCUUUUAUUAUACAGUAUUAUUUUGAAGAAACUUCCAUGAAUUUCGCAUUGCAUGCAUGCAUGAUCCUGCAAGGUGUCAGGGUGUUCAUCCUUCAUUUGGUAAUUCCACGUUUUUCAUGACUUCGUGUGUGUGUGUUCAUCCUUCAUUUGGUAAUGAUCCACGUUUUUCAUGACUUCGGGUGUGUGUGUGUAUAACCUUGAACUUGUAAUUCGCUGUCAAUUUAUUCCUUAAACUUUUAUUUUAGCUUAUUACCCCUUUAAACUUUUAUUAAUAGUCGAUUACCAUCCCGAAAUUUGAUUUCCAAAUUUUCCUUCCAUUUCUCUGUUAAAAGCUAUCACUUGGCCAAAUACACCCUCCGUGGAUGAAGGUAAAAGGGUAAUAUCAAUAUACCACCUCAGCCUCUUCUUCCAGCACCCAAAACACUGAAUUUCACCUGUUGAAUUAUAAGUCUCUAGCUGAUUGAGUAUUAGAAAUAAGAUGAGGUUAAAUGUGUAUUCACUUGUGCUAAGAAUGCCAAGUGUGAAGUUCUUAUGUGUAAAAAAGGCCAUGAGUGCCAUGUGAGUUUUUUCUUUUAUUAUUACAUGUUUAGAUGUGUGGCUGUGAUUAAAGCUAGGAGAGAGAAUGAAUCCAACAGUCACUAACAACUAUAUUCCUCACCUCACGACUUGUGUGAGGGUGGGUGUGCAUAUCAGUAUAAUCAAAGAAGCACCUCUGUGACUUGCAGAGUAAGAAGCUGCCAUUUUCCAAUCUUCUUUUUCACUAUGUACCUCUUCACUCCUUCUUCUUUGAAUUCAUUCAGCAAGACAAAAAUAUCAACGUUUCUUAACAUGGCCUCAGAGCCUAGUUUCGAUUAGAUCUGGGUGUGUUCUGUGAACUCAAACAUCACCGUUUCUGGAUUCGGUGAAGUUUGCCGGAGUCUGUCUGUGAUCUAAGAACUACGUGUUUCUGGAUUCACACAAGCUCACGAUGGCUGGAUCUGGGAGUGCUGAAGUGAGGAUCCCGAUCUUCUCCGGUGAGAACUACGAGUUCUGGAGAAUCAAAAUGGUUACCAUUUUCAAGUCAUAUGGACUGUGGAAUCUGGUGGAAAAAGGGAUUUCGGUUUCCGAUUCGAAGAAGAAGAAAGCUAAGACUGAUGAAGAUACAGAUGUUGAUGCUGACGAUGAUAAGAAAAUGGCUGCAAUCUUCAUGAAAGAUGCAAAAGCUCUCGGAAUCAUUCAAAGCGCAGUCUCCGAUCAGAUCUUCCCUCGAAUCGCAAACGCAGACUCAGCAAAAAUGGCAUGGGAUCUGUUAUAUGGCGAAUAUCACGGUGGGGAUCAUGUAAGAUCUGUGAAACUCCAAAAUCUUAGACGAGAAUUUGAAUACACUAGAAUGCCUGAUGAUGAAUCCUUGACUGGGUAUCUUACUCGUUUAAAUGAUCUGAUUAAUCAAAUGAAGACGUUUGGUGAAACUCUGUCAAAUGAGAGAUUAGUUCAGAAGGUGUUAAUCAGUCUCACUAAGAUAUAUGAUCCUAUAUGCUUAGUGAUAGAAAACACCAAAUGUUUAGAAUAUGUUGAACUGCAAGAGGUACUAGCUAUAUUGAAGAGUCAAGAGCAGAGGUUUGAUUUGCAUUCCUCUGAUGCAACUGAGAUAGCAUUUUCUUAUCUUACUGUUAAUUCAAAAGGGCAGAAUCGAAGUUAUGCUCAGUCUAGUACUUUUAAACCACAGAGAAAUUGGAAUCAAAAUGGUAAGAAGUGGGAUUCAAAACCAAAGUUUCAGCAAAAAUCAUUCACAAAUGUUGCACAGAAUAGUACUUCCUCACAGGUUAUGGGUCAAGAGAGUGUAAAACCUCAAUGUAAAAUGUGUUCAAAGUUUCAUUAUGGUGAAUGUAGAUAUAAGGGGAAAUCCAAGUGCCAUAACUGUGAUAGAUUUGGACAUUGGGCCAGAGAGUGUACUAUUGGAAAGUCUGUUCAAAAGGCAAACUGUACAAGUCAAAUGGAAGUGACAGGAAACCUAUUUUAUGCAAAUUGUGCAGUUGCUGAGACUAAGGUUAAUGGAGAUUGGUACAUAGAUAGUGGCUGCAGUAAUCAUAUGACAGGAAAUGUUGAACUUCUUGUUGAUGUGAAUACAAAUGUUGCAGGGAAAGUUCAAAUGCCAACAGGAGUGUUAGUUAAUGUGGCAGGAAUGGGAUCACUGAAAAUUGAAACUAACAGAGGGAGAAAAUACAUCAGAGAAGUCAUGUACUUACCUGGUUUGAAAGAGAAUCUAUUAAGUGUAGGACAAAUGGAUGAGCACGGAUAUUAUCUUGUGUUUGGUGGACAUAUGUGUACUGUUUUUUAUGGUCAUUAUCUGGAAUGUCAAAUUAUUCGUGUAAAAAUGAAAGAAAACAGGUGCUAUCCUCUAUCUCUAAGGCCUGAGAAACAACUUGUGUUGAAGACUAGUUUUGCUCAUUGUUCUCUGACUUGGCACAGAAGAUUAGGUCACCUAAACUUUGGUGGAAUCAAGCAAUUGAAGGAUAAAGACAUGGUUCAUGGUCUACCAUAUCUAGAUGAGUAUGACAGAGUUUGUGAAGGCUGUCAAUAUGGUAAGCAACACAGAGAAAGCUUUCCUAGUGGUCAAGCACAAAGAGCAAGUGCUCCACUUGAAUUGGUUCAUGUUGAUUUGUGUGGACCGAUGAGAAAUGAGUCUACAGGAGGAAACAAGUAUUUCAUGUUGCUUGUAGAUGAUGCAACCAGGAUGAUAUGGGUGUAUUUUCUUAGAUUCAAAUCUGAAGCUCUUACUUGUUUUAAGAAAUUCAAGGCCAUGACUGAGUUGCAAAGUGGUAUGAGAGUAAAAUGUGUAAAGAGUGAUAGAGGAGGGGAGUUCUUAUCAAAUGAAUUCAAUCAAUACUGUGACACAUAAGGAAUCCAAAGACAACUGUCUCUCUCUUACACUCCACAGCAAAAUGGAGUGGUUGAAAGAAAAAACAGAACUGUGAUUGAAAUGGCCAAGUCUAUGCUUCAUGACAAAGGAAUGCCUUACCAUAUGUGGGCAGAAGCUGUGCACACUGCAGUCUACAUAUUAAACAGGUGUCUUACCAAAUCACUUGAUAGCAUAACACCUUUUGAAGCUUACAGCAAAAGGAAACCAGGUAUUGCCCAUUUGAAGGUUUUUGGCUCGGUUUGUUAUGUUCAUACUCCAUCCGAGCUAAGACACAAGCUAGAACCCAAAAGUAUAAAAGGAGUCUUUGUUGGAUAUGCAAAAUGUGAGAAAGGGUACAGAGUAUUUGAUCCAAUCUCUAAAAGACUGAUCUUGUCAAAAGAUGUUGUGUUCGAUGAAAACUCAGCUUGGGAUUGGCAAAGAAGCACAGAAAGACAUAUGUCACUGCCUAUUUAUGAAUUUGACUCUGUUGAUACACCAAGAAGUGAGAAUACAGAAAAUGACACUUAAGUUUCAAGUGGUUUAUCAUCUGGCAUACUGGAAGAAGCUGCAAGUGGUAUUGAUGAUACACAGAUCAAUUCACAGUCAAGUGCAGGUGUGAGUGACACUCAUUCAUUUGAUCAUACUCCAUUAAAAUGGAGAAAUCUGGAUGAUGUACUUGCUCAAUGUAAUAUGUGCAUUAUAGAACCAGAGAAAUAUGAAGAUGCGGCUAAGGAUGAGUCUUGGAUGAAUGCUAUGAAGGAUGAACUCUCCAUGAUUGAAAAGAAUGCAACCUGGGAGUUAGUAGACAGACCAAGUAACAAGCCUAUAAUUGGAGUAAAAUGGGUGUUUAAAACCAAACUCAACCUGGAUGGAACUGUGCAAAAGAACAAGGCAAGGCUUGUUGCAAAGGGAUAUGCCUAGAAACCAGGAAUAGACUACAAUGAGACCUUUGCUCCUGUUGCUCGGUUGGAUACAAUCAGAACCCUUAUAGCAUUGGCUGCACAAAAGAGUUGGAAACUCUAUCAACUUGAUGUCAAAUCUGCUUUUUUAAAUGGUGUUCUUGAAGAGGAGGUUUAUGUAGAGCAGCCUGAUGGUUUUGUAGCUAAAGGGGAGGAAGACAAAGUAUAUAAACUUCACAAAGCCUUGUAUGGUCUAAAACAGGCACCACGGGCCUGGUAUGGAGAGAUUGAUACAUAUUUCUCACAGUGUGGUUUUACAAGAAGUUUAAGUGAACCAACACUGUACAUCAAGGCAGAAGAGAAAGACAUUUUGAUUGUGUCGAUCUAUGUGGAUGACAUAAUCUAUACUGGGAGUAACAAGCAAAUGCUUGAAGAAUUUAAGGAAGACAUGAAACGAAAGUAUGAGAUGACUGAUUUGGGUCUUCUCCAUCAUUUCCUUGGAAUGGGAAUAAUUCAAACAACUUCAAGCAUUUUCAUCCACCAAAAGAAAUAUGCAAGCUCCUUAUUAGACAAAUUUGGUCUGAAAGAAUGCAAACCUGUGCUUACUCCACUUGUUGCAACUGAGAAGUUAACCACGGAUGAUGGAAGUGGUGCAGUAAGUGAAGAGUUAUACAGAAGUAUGGUGGGAAGUCUCCUAUAUCUCACUGCAACCAGGCCUAAUAUUAUGUAUGCAUCCAGUCUGUUAGCCAGAUUUAUGCACUGCCCUACCAGUAAGCAUGUUGGAACUGCUAAAAGAGUGCUAAGAUACAUUAAGGGCACCCUAAAUUAUGAUUUGGAAUAUGUGAAGGGUAAGAACUCAAUGUUAAUUGGGUUUUGUGACAGUGACUGGAGUGGAUCAAUUGAGGACAGUAAAAGUACUUCUGGUUAUGCCUUCUCUUUUGGCAGUGGAGUAUUCUCAUGGGCAUCCGUGAAGCAAAAUUGUGUAGCCCUUUCCACCGCAGAGGCAGAGUACAUCAGUGCUUCAGAAGCAACUACUCAAGCCAUUUGGUUGAGAUUUGUUCUUGAAGACUUUGGUGAAUUUCAAACCGAAGCCACUCCAGUGCACUGUGACAACACCUCAGCAAUUGCAAUCACCAAGAACUCUGUGUUCCAUCAAAAGACCAAACACAUUAACAGAAGAUACCAUUUCAUCAAGGAUGCACUGAAGGAUGGCAUCAUUUAUCUGGUGUACUGUCCAACUAAGGAGCAACUAGCUGAUAUUUUCACAAAACCUCUGCCUAAAGAUCGGUUCAAUUAUCUCAGGAGCAUGCUUGGAGUGAAAUCAGCUCAAGACUUAAAGGGGAGUGUUGAAUUAUAAUUCUCUAGCUGAUUUAGUAUUAGAAAUAAGAUGAGGUUAUGUGUAUUCACUUGUGCUAAGAAUGCCAAGUGUGAAGUUCUUAUGUGUAAAAAAGGCCAUGAGUGCCAUGUGAGUUUUUUCUUUUUAUUAUUACAUGUUUAGAUGUGUGGCUGUGAUUAAAGCUAGGAGAGAGAAUGAAUCCAACAGUCACUAACAACUAUAUUCCCCACCUCACGACUUGUGUGAUGGUGGGUGUGCAUAUCAGUAUAAUCAAAGAAGCACCUCUGUGACUUGCAGAGUAAGAAGCUGCCAUUUUCCAAUCUUCUUUUUCACUCUGUACCUCUUCACUCCUUCUUCUUUGAAUUCAUUCAGCAAGACAAAAAUAUCAACGUUUCUUAACACCCACAACCACCUCCCUCCUCCAAUCCUCUGGCGCCGGCAUGUCCGGCAUCGUCGCUUACAUGAUCUUCCAUACUUUUAUAUCCCUUGGCAUCCACUCCCUUUCCUCUCCCCUCUCAACCCCUUCACGGUGACAUCUGCCUCGUCAUCUGCGCCAAGGCCAAAGGUGCCAUUUUCAUCUUAGUCACCUCCGUCGAUGGUAGUGCCCUCGCCACCGUCUGCGAUAUGAACGUGCAUUUUCCAUUGAAGUGAGAGCUCUUCCUUUAGAUCUGCCCCGGUCACCUCCACCGCGAUUCCAAAAGGUCUUCAAUGGCACCGUCGCCAUUGCGCUCAUGGGCCCCAAAAAUCUCACCAAAUAUUAAUACGUGCCAAUCACCCCGAUGGUUGGACGAGCAAAUCCCUUCUUGGAGUUUUGAGACUCCUUGUCCCACACAGGGGAACAUAGGCUUCCCAAGAACCUUUAUGUAUGUUUUGUCUUCUACACUAGUUGUUAGGAUUUGGACCAUUUGGAAAUGAAUUGAAGGCUCGGGCCUUAUGAAUGUGUGGAUUAGGUUUGUAAAGUAUAGCCUAAUACAAUUAAUCUCUACUAAUUAAUAAAAUACUCAUUGUCAACCAAAACUCUAUGAAAUUACCAGUUUAAUCCUCUAAUUAAAACACAACAUGAAUAAGAUAUAUGAGGUAGAAAUAUAAUUUCACACAACCAAAUUUUGCAGCUUUUUUUUUUCAAAACCUUAUUUACAUGUAAUCCUAACAUAUCUCUAAUUAUCAAAAAUAAAAAAAAUAAAAACUUCCAACUCCCACGUUCUCUAUCACUCCCUUCCUCUCUCCUUCUAUUUCAAAAACAAAAAUAAAAAAAUUUCUCACACACUUUGUGUGUACUCAUAUGCUAGUAUUAAUUAAUCAAGACAAGGGCUUCUUGGAAGUUAAAAUUAAUCAAAUUCAUUAAUUUUAAUUUUGGAUUAUGUUUUUUUAAUUAACAUAUUAAUUAAAAAAACGUUUUGAUUAAGAGACAGUUUUUAGAAAGAGUUGUGUAUUUUCAAAUACGUUCAACACGUAUUUGAAAGGGUGUGAAACAACCAACAUAUUUGUAAUCUCAGUUUCCAAAUAGAAUCAUCUUUUCUUCCUCCUUCUCUUCCGCACAAAAUUUUCAGAGAGUAAACACACAAAACAAUUCGCUAUAAUUCUAUAAUCCAGUGCAGGUUGUAGAAUUAAGUAGUUGUAUCAUGGUCGAGCAUACGUUGUAGAACCACAAGCACAAUAGUGGGACUGAAAUACUGUUCGAAUGACAUAACUUUUGCGCUAGCCUCUACAUGAGGUUAAUCGAGUUAGUACUAUUUUAAUUCUUGUAUUUAUUUGUGUAUUUCAUUCUAUACAGCAAGUAUUUUUGGUUAAUAAAGUAUUAGAAUUUCAAGUUUUGUUAUUUCUGUUAUUUUUAUUUAUUUCUGAAUUGUUCUCCAACAUCCCUAAAUUUCAAGAUCUGAUCUUCAUUCUAUCCAAUUUCAGUUAUCCAAAUUCAAUCAUCUUCAAUCCAAAUGCUAGGUUUUUUUUUCUUCUGUCUUAAAUUUCAAUCAUCUUCAAUCCCUUUUUUGCUACGACUAUCUUGUGAAAUGAUAGUGCUUCAAAACGGUUGCGAAAUUAGCAUGUUGCUUGAAAAUUGGGGCACUGCAGUAUAGGGCUGACUGGGGAAGAAUUUGAAGGGUUAAAUUAUUCGAGGUUAGGGAAGAGUUUGAUCUGUUGUUGUUGCUUGCUUGUAACUUAGAAUGUAGAAUGUGCGCCCACCAAUUGUUUGUGUUUAUGUAUGUGAGAAAGUGGUGGGAUUGAAAGAAAAAAAAAUGUGUUUAAAAAUUCCAAAGUUCCAUAACAAACAAGUUUUUGGAUUGCAAGGGUUGUAAUUAAGAAAUCAUGUUUUUUUAAAACCAUCACAAAUUUUGAGUUAAAAUUUGAAAAUAGAAUACUAAAUAGACUCUAAAUGUUUAAUACAAUUACUAAUCAAUAUUUCGUUAUUGAGAAAAUUGUAGCAAUGAUCUCUCAACUUUAAUUUAAUUGGAGCAAUGAUCCAUCAACUAAAAAUCUAUGACUAUUGAUCCCUUAACUCAUCGAAAUGUGUAGUUAUAGUCAUUUUCAUCAACUCCGUUAAAAUUUUCGUCAAAAUAAGUCACGUGUCACUCAUAUGAGGCUGAAUCAAAAGGCAAAUAUAAAAAACUAAAUGAAAAAAAUUGUAGCAAUAAGCCCUCAAUUUUAACCCAAUUAGAUAAAUGGUCCAUCAACUUUAACCCAAUUGGAGCAAUGGUCCAUCAACUUUAAUCCAAUUAUAGCAAUGGUGUUUCCAACAUGAGUUAUUUCGACGGAAUUCUGAUGGAGUUGACAAAACAGACAAUAGCUGCGCUUUUUGAUGUGUUAAGGGAUCAAUAAUUAUGAAUUUUUAGUUGAUGGAUGAUUGCUAUAAUUGCGUUAAAAUUAAGAGAUCAUUGCUACAAUUUUCUCUUUUCUUAUUAAUCGGGUUAUGAAACAAACGUCACUUAGAUACAUGAUUUUCAUUGCCAGACAUUCUGGUUCAUGAUACUCUUGGACCAUACUAAAAGGAAAGUACCAAGAAAGUAUGUAUGAUGCUUAAUAUAAUCAAGGAAUUAAAUAUCGAUAUUAUCGGCGAAAUAUCGCCGAUAAUAUUGUUUUUUUGACCCGGCGAUAUUUGUUUUAGUAAAAAUAAAAUAUCUUUAAAAUAUCGCGAUAAUAUCGCUAAUAUCGCGAUAUUACCGAUAUUAGCGAUAUUAUCGCGAUAUUCGUCGUCGUCGCCGCCGCUGGGAGGUGAGAAAGGGAUCCAGAAACCAGAUCGAAGAAGAUGGAUCCAGAAACCAGAUCGAAGAAGAAGGAUCCAGAAACCAGAUCGAAGAAGAAGGAUCCAGAUCGAGGGAGAGACGAAGACGGAGAGACCGAGGGAGAGACGGAGACGGAGAGACCGAGGCAGAGAUGGAGACGGAGAGACCGAGGCAGAGACGGAGACGGAGAGACCGAGGCAGAGAGACCGAGGGAGAGACGGAGACGGAGAGACCGAGGCAGAGACGGAGACGGAGAGACCGAGGCAGAGACAGAGACGUAGAGACGGAGAUGGCGAUGAGGUGGUGUCGCCGUUGAUGUGGUGUGGAAGUGAGGGUGGGUUGUUCACGGGGAGAAGGAGAGAGUGCAGAGAUGCAGAGAGUGCAGAGAGUGCAGAGAGGGCGAAGAGGGAGAAUGAGGGUUGUUCACGGGGAGAAGGAGAGAGUGCAGAGAGUGCAGAGAGCGAUGAGGAGGUGUCGCCGUUGAAGUGGUGUGGAAGUGAGGGUGUGGCGUAUGGGUUGGUUCACGGGGAGAAGGAGAGAGUGCAGAGAGUGCAGAGAGAGAGCACGGUAGAGAUGAGAGAGUGAGGGAAAAGAGAUAUCUGAGAGAAAAGAGAGACGGGGACACAAAAGCAAGGUGGGCCCCCUGGGCACACCUAUUAAGAUCUAAAAAUAAUUUUAAAAGCAAGAUAAACUCAAACUUAGUGAAAAUACAAUUUAAAUUGGGGUGGGUGUAACAAUCUACCCCUCUUAAAAGAAUUUCGUCUCCGAAAUUUAAAAUCACUUACUAAACUUAAAUACUAGAAAAUAGGAAGAAGAAUAUAUGUAUAAAGAGAAAUCAAGUCCAAAUAAUUACAUCAUAUUAAAAUUUGAUUAAUUUUUUUUCAGUUACAUAUAUUCUAUAUGAUAAAUUUCUAUUUUAAAUCAAGUCCAAAUAAUUACAUCAUAUUAAAAUUUGAUUAUUUUUUUUUCAGUUACAUAUAUUCUAUAUGAUAAAUUUCUAUUUUAAAUCAAGUCCAAAUAAUUACAUCAUAUUAAAAUUUGAUUAUUUUUUUUUCAGUUACAUAUAUUAUAUAUGAUAAAUUUCUAUUUUAAAUCAAGUCCAAAUAAUUACAUCAUACUAAAAUUUGAUUAAUUUCUUUUCAAGUAUCUACUUUUGAACUACUCACCACGUUCACUCUAUGUGAUACUAAGUCACUCAUGUAUCUUACCAUACAAUGUAUAAAGUGUAAAAUAUUGUACUAAUUCAUUAUAUAUAAAUUAUUAUGGUGUGUUUAAACUUAUUUCAUUAAUUACUACAUAUUUUCUACACUUACAAUGUUUGCCAGCUCGCUAUAUAAUCAACUUAAAUCAGUUAAAUCCAUCAUGCAAUGCAUUUCCUUCCAAUUUUUUGUGAUAAACUAAUAGAUAAUUAACUAAAUAAACAUCCUGCAAAGUUUCAAUAAAAAUUUCCAAGUUUUUCUUACAAUUUCCGUGGUUUCCAUGUAAUUUUUAUCGAUAUCGAUAUUAUCUCGAUAUUUCCAUCGAUAUUUCCGUGUUUUCGAACUACCGAUAUUUCCGAUAUUACCGAUAUUUUCUUCCUUGAAUAUAAUCAUGAUGAUGACAUCAUUGUUGUAUGACGUCAUGAACUAAUAAUAAUUUCCAAUUUUUUUCCACACAAACACCGAAUUCUUUGCAUUGAGACAAAUCCACCGAUCAAUUUUUUGACCGGAUUGAUUGAAUGUAUUCGCACACAAUAAUCAAUGCCAAGUCACCCCAAAACCCCUUUUCCAUUAAAUAUAUUUUAAUUUUAAUUUUUAACUUAAUCUCCACAAAAAUUAUACAAAUUCCAACAUUUCUAGCAAAGAACACACAGAAGAAACCCAAGAAAAAGCAGAAAGUUCCAACCUUUGAGCCCCAAAACAUGGUUCCAUUAAAAAAAAUCGAUAGAAAAUCAUCGCAAGUGUUUCAAUGGUAAAAGCACGGACAUCGGUUCCUAAAAAGACAAAGAAAAUGUGAAAGAUCCUAGGUUUAAUGUUUUGAGUUGGUGAGUCUGCUUGACUGUGGCCACAAACAGGAUGAAAUCCCUCAUAACUUCUCCGAGCUCGAAAAAAUGGAUAACUGUGGUUUGCUAUCAGUUGGGCUGAGUAGACAGAACACACAUGAAACUAGGUUGUUGAUUACUGUUCAUACGUGUUAAAUGGGCAGGCAGCAGGAGUUCAACUUCAAGGUGGUCCGAAUGGGUUAUGUAUUUUAUUGGGCAGGAUGUCCACAAAGCAAACAUAUUUUUGUUGGGCUAACCGCACCACCCUUUGAAGUUCAAUUUCCAAUAAACAUGUCCAAUAUGCUAUUAGAUUCUUUAGUAUGAGUUUACAAAAGAUAAAAUGGAAUCAGUACCUCGAUUAAUUAGGCAUCUGCUAUACAGUAUUCAGAAAAAUUUUAGGGAACUUUAACGAAAAACCAUAUUUUUACACUAAAAAGUUAAUCUUGUCCAAUAUGCUAGCCGCACCACCCUUUGAAGUUCAAUGUCCAAUAUGCUAUUAGAUUCAGCAUGAGUAUACAAAAGAUCAAAUGGAAUCAAUACCUCAAUUAAUUAGGCAUCUGCUAUACCGUAUUUAGGAAGGGGUGUGAUAUCCACACACCCCAAAUUACUUCCCACACACCCCUUAUUAAUUUUUGUCCCUUGAUUUUCUUCAAUUCAUCCGAUCGGAUGGCCGAAAAUUAGAAGGAUGUGUGAGAAGUAAAAUGGGGUGUGUGGAUAUCACAUCCCUUUAGGAAAAUUUUAGGGAACUUUAAUGAAAAACUCCUGUUACUGUUUACUUUAACGAAAAAACCACAUUUUUACACUAAAAGUCAAUUUUAGUACUAUUCACUUUACCCUUUAUUUUGUAUUUAUUGUUAAAAUUCAAAGUUUUCAAGCUAUUUUCAUUAGUUUUUCUAAAAUUUUAAAUUGAUAAGAACCAAGUGGGUUGUGGUGAUGUCUGAAUUUGCACCUAUUUGUAUCUAUUUUGCAAUCAGUCCGCUAGUUUCUUUGAUCCCACUCGGUGUUCCAUUUUCAUUUGCUUCCAAUUGUAUGCAACCCUUAAAAUUGAUGAUUUAAGUUAUUGAAUUUUUUUUGCUGAUCGUCGUGUAGUUCGACCAAAUAUUCUCCCCCUUGUUUAUAUCGUUUUAUACAAAAAUUAGAUUUAUUCAAUCUUCGUAUAAAAAAAUCUUUGUAAAAAUUUGAGGAAAUUAAAAUAAAUGCAACAUAUAAAAGGCAGAAAUAAGAAGAAUAAAUUGGGAAAAAAAAUUAUUUUUUGUAAUUUUUCAUGUUUUAUAAUAAAAAUGGGUGACAUGGUUCAUAUGGCCCAACUAAAAUAUAUUAUAAAAAUAUAUAUAUAUAUACCUAUUAUAAUUUGAGUAAAAUUAUAAUAUUAAGUGGCAUUCUAUAAGUAAAUUAAAAUUUCCUCGUGAAGAGAAGCAGAAAAACAAGAAAAAUGCAUGCCAAAAAAAUUAUGUAGUAAAAAGAAAUAUAGAUGUGCGCAAAACGCCCAAGAAUACAUGUCCAAUUAUUAAUGAAUCACACAAAUAUAUAUGUACAUAAUAUGUAUAUUGUUGAUGAAGCUAGCUGCAACGUAUCAAUCUCAUAUAUAUGCAUAAAAGGAGAACGGAACAUGUUGUUAGUUUCAGCGCAGAUCGUUCCAUCUCUCCUGUGGCAUAAAGCCCUCAACCUCUUUUAUAUCUUCUUUGUUUCUCCAUUCAACGUGUUAAUGGCUUCAAGAGCCUAGAUAAACCCAUAUUUAUAGCCAUUAAGCUAGGCUAGUAUUUCUCUAUGUACUCAGAGUCGGAAAUGUUAUGGCAUGUUUGGUACUCUAUUUGAAUACAACAUUUUAAAUUCAAAAACAAUUUUCAAGUUUUAGGCCUUAAAAACUUGUUUGGUAGGACUAUUUUAAAAAACUAAACUCAAGACUAACUAAAAAAUAUAGUUUAUUAUCUAAAAACAAAAAAACAGUAUCUAAUAAGCUUUGAUUGGCCCAAACUUGGUAUGUCAAUUUAUUGUUCAUUCGUGAUUGUUGGGGACUCACCUACUGAAUCAAGCGAAUUAAAGCAGCCUUUAAUUAAUAGGAAAAUUAAUAAAAAAAGGCUUUAUUUAAGUUUUAACGAUAAAGACAAAAUAAAAGGUAAAGUGAAUAGUACCAGAAUUGACAUUUUAGUGUAAAAAUAUGAUUUUUCUUUAAAGUAAACAGUAUAUGGAGCUUUUCGUUAAAAUUCUCUUAAUUAAUUAUAUUAGUUGUAGAGUUAAGUUAAAAGGCACCUGUCAAAAGACAAGAAAAAAAAACAAAAAGAGAUAUAAUUGAGGACAGGGCCCUAAACCGAUCAAUAAUACAUCCGGACAUUAGAUGCAAAGUUGCAAACCCAAAAUAUGCGGACAAGGUAAAUUCAUCCAAACUGUACGUCAGAGUCACAUCUCUUUCGCAUGACCCAUGUCCCGAAAACUUAGGCCUUCAUGCUUCUUCAAUGUUCAAUACGCCUAUAUGUAUUUACGAGGUGUGGGCUUCCUUGGCUCCGCCCUCCCUUACGUGACCUUCUUUUGUGGAGUGUGUAGCGGCCAAUGGCGGGGGAAAUCCAUUUUCAAGGUGGUUAGAAAACUUUAUAAAUUUAUUAAAUCUUUGUAUCAAAAAAGUAAUUCUUUGAAAACAUGGAGGAAAUUAAAAUAAAGAUAAAAUCAAGGCAAAAUAUAAAAGGAGAAAUAAGAAGAAUAAAUUACUUAAAUUAAAACUAAUAAACAAAAAAAAUUAUAAUUAUAAAUAUAAAAAUUAUAAAACAAUAACUAAAAAAAAAAAAAAAAAACAAGAAAAAGACCAUUGCGUCUUCUUAAUUUCUUGUUUUUUUUUUGGGCUUUUCUAACUUUAAUCCUUGAAGAAGAUUGAAAUUUAAAAUAAAUUUGGUGUUAAAUUACAUAUUGAUUAUAGUCCCUUGAUGUAUCCUUAAUUCAAAAUAAUUAAUUUGUAUUUUAUUCAAUGUCUCUCAUUAAAUAUUUAAAUGUAUUAAUAUACACAUUUUAAUAUAUUUUUUGACCAAACAAAAGUUGUUUUAAUUCAUUAAUUUCAUUUAACAUUCUUCAAACUUGAAAAACUCAAUUAAUGUACCUAAAUGUUAAUACCGAAAUGUAUUAUAUUGAAUUAAUGUAUUUAAAUGUUAGUACCCAAAUGUAUUUAAAUGUAUGUACCCAAAUGUAUUAUAUUAAACUAAUGUACUGAAAUGUAUUAUAUUAAAUUAAUGUACCAAAAUGUUUGUAUCAAAAUGUGUGUACCUAAAUGUAUACACCAAAAUAUAUUAUAAUGAAUUUAAUGUACCUAAAUGAAGAAGACAAAGUAUAUCGAAAUAUAUUGUAAAAUAAAAAUUAGUUUAUCUAAAUGUUUACAACAAAAUAUAUUAUGAUGAAUGAAAUGAAAAUUAUAAUUAUAAUGAAACAAAAUUAAUACAUUAAAAUUAGGAAGAAAAAGAGAAAUAAUUAAAACAUCCAAAAAUAUAAUUAAUAAAUGAGGUGAUUAAUGUAUUAAGGUACUAAAAAUUAGAUUUUGAUCUUACUCAUGAUUUUAGUCUAAAAGUCAUCUUUACCAAAGAUUAAAAUGAAGUUUCAUAUAAAAUAAAAUGUAAAAGUGCAGAUUGUCAUAAGUAACCGUGCGGCAAUAGGCUAGUGCAGUAUACAGAAAAAUUUUAAAUUGAUAGAUUUUGCAAUUCACCUUGAACUUCAAACGCUGGUGUGAUUAGCCCAACAACAAAAUGUUGGGUCGUUGCAUGUGAACUGGAUACAGAAAAGUAACAGGCCGAGGAGUGCAUCAUGGGCAUAUAUAAUUAACUCAUAUCCAUUUUGAAGUUGAACUCCUGCUGCCUGCACAUUAACACAAAUGAUCAGAAAUCAACAACUCAGUUCCAUGUGUGAAUAACUUUCAGAGUGGGUGAGAGAGAGGGAUGGCAAAGAAAGAGAACGAGCUCGGGUAUGAGAAUUGUAUGUUCAACCCACCCAUACCUUGUACGUUUAUUAAUACUAAUCAUGAUGAGUUUUAUUGCCUUACAAGUAACACAAAGAUUAUAAUGAUUUGAUCUUCAACUUCUAUUGGGAUUCUAUUUAAGUUUACAUGUACACAAUCACAUUUCUAAAUAAACACACUAAUUACAACACUCCCCUUAAGUGUGUACAACUUAAGAAAUAGUCGUAUCAGGACUUAAGAAGAUAGCAUUUGUUGUCGUCAGUUCUCGACAAGUACAAAUAAUUGUUAACACAAGUCUCAAAGUAGGUGUGCAUAUCAAAAGAAAAUCAUAAAACCCUUUGCUGCGGUAUUAUAGUAGUCAAAGGAAAAAAAAGUGGUGAAUUAAAUGAAUUUCACAUAUUCAAGAUGAUCAUUAACGCAUAUAAGAGUAUGACUAGUCUAGAGUAAAUACCUCAUUAAAACCUCAUCAUAACCAGCUUAAAUUUACCUCUUUACCAUUUUUAAUUAAAAAAUAAAAAAAAUUCUACCGCGCAAUUAAAUAAUUGAAGAGAGAGAACUUUCGGCUGCAAUGAAGAUCGCUAAAUGCUUAUAAGUUAAAAGAAAAGUAGACACAAACUUAACUGAUAAGGAAUGUAUGAAUUGACAGUUGACACCACCACCACCCAGCAUGCUAGAUAAAGGGAGAAGCUCCCAACCCUAGAAAAUGAAAUCCUAAAGGUAUAAUAUCAUGCAAUCAUUGGUACCCAAAUCAAAUGGGAACACUGUUUAAUUGAUCAUAUGCUAUACAAGAAACUGUGCGUUCAGGGAUAACUGACACACAUACACACAUGUAGGAGCACAACACUGGAAAAAAAAAAUAUUGGUUAACAACAUAUACGUGCACAUAUAUGUACAUAUGUAAGUAUACAAAACCUUUAAGAGAAGAGAUUCUUAUUUUUUAUUUAAAUGAAGAUUAGUUGUGGGGUCCAUUCCACAUUGAACUUCAAUGAUAUGAACCGUCUAUUUUGUAAGUUUAAAUUCAUAGAUCAUCCUUACAAAAAUUGAAACCAAUCUGAAAUCAUUUGCCUAUUUAAUUAUCACGAUGAAAUUUCAAUGUUUUUUAGAGAACAAAGUAUUCGUUAAUUUCUUUGAACUCAGUUAGAUACAUCAAAUAUUUCCGAUAUGGCUAAUAUUUUUCAAGGAUGAUCUAUGAGGUGCAACUUAAAAAAUAGAUGGUUCGGAUCAUUAAAGUUUGAUGCGGUGUGAUCGUAUAACUAAUCCCUAUUUUUGUAAAAAUAAAAUAAAAUAGGAAUCUCUUUCCUUAAAUGCUUCAUAUAAGGUCAUCUCUAACCAAAAUGACUAAAUAUAGCCCCGUUUAGAAUUAUAGCCCUGCAAAAAAAAUUAUUUUUAAAAAUGAAUAGUGCAAGGCCAUACUCAUAUACCAACUCCAACCGAAAGGGCUAUAUUAGCCCUUAAUAAUUUAUUAGUUUGAAGUUUAUACUUUAAAUUUAUUAGUUUUUUUAAGUUAAAGUACCUUUGGAUGUUUUCAAAUAUAACCGUUGAAUUUGAAUCAAUCAUUGCAAUUGAGAAGUUGAGUCCCAAAAAAGGGUUAAGAGGGAGGCUACAUAUGGCCAGCCUGAUGUCCAUUUGGUCAAAUAAUGGCCUAGUGAGCUCAAUAGAAUAAUGGCACAUCCAUCUGUUGGAGAUGAAUUUUUGAAUAAAUCAUGUCAUUUUUUUUGUUUUUGAACAUUUAACCCUCUUCAUUGAAAAUAGCAUAAUUUCAAAACUAUUCUCACUAAAACUUAAAGUCAAACCAUAAUUAAACUAAGGGAAAAUAGGCUUUGCGGCUAUCUCCAAACAAUAGAUGGCUUGAAUAUUUAGCAAAAGAUAAUAGAAAAACACCAGUUCCAGGCUUAGAUGAUUUUUAAGUCCUAAUUAAUACUGCAAUCACAUGUUAAAUGACAAAACUUGCGGUGAACCUUGUGAACAGAAGAUCUUCAAUUAGCUCUUCAUCCUUCAGCCUUCAUCUGGUCAAGUAAUAAUAUGCCCUUCUCAGAAGAAAUCAUGUGCUUGAGUCCUUCACUAGCAAGCUAAUGAUCAACACCCCCGCCGACCAGGCCAUGCGUUUCUCCGUUGCCUAUGUAGAAGUGGACGUCACGGGUGGCCGGAUCUAGCAAAAAGGAGAGGAAAAACAUUUGCUAGGUACUUUUUUUUUUUUUUUUUUAACUUUUUCUUGUAUUUUUCGGCACAUUUUACAGACACAUACUUUCUGUCUUUUCGAUCCCUAGCAUGUAUAGAAGCACUUACCAUGAUCCUUUGAUCCAAGAAGAUAAGUUUAGUUCUUAAACAAAAUCUUACAGUACAGUAAUAUAAGCAUGAAGCAAAAACUCAAAACAGACGACAAAAUACAGAAAAAGGGUAAAGUUAUACUACUUCACCUGAUCUUUCUCCAAUCUUGCGAAGAAAUUAAACAUGGGCUUCCUUUCCGUGGAAUCAAAGCGUGAGAGGCUUCAGUCGAGGAGAGAUGAAGCUUGCUGGCCUGAAUUGGCUAGCUAUAUAAAGCUUGUAAUCGCAGCUACCAAUGUACAUGGCAUUCGGCGCCAUCUCACCUUCGACAGAAGUCCCUACGCUUUGAUAUUUUGAUCUCGCUUUUAGUACUAUUUUUCAAUCUGCUGGCUCCGAAAUCCUCAUGAUGCAGCUCUUAUAUCUAGGCAUGAAAGAGGCAGUAUAGUAUUUCUUCAUUUUCCUUUUUUUCUUUUUGUAAAGUGGUACUAGUACUGUAAUUCAUAAGGUACAAACAUAUAAACUCCAAAUUUCUCUCCCACAAAAAUUAUUAAAGCCUCAUGGUCAUGGAAAAUAUAUAACACAUAUUUAGUACAUCUUUAUUUAUAAAUACAUAUUAUAUAUAAACUUAAUGAAACGAAUAUAAACUAUGUGAUCGUAUGAUCUCAACAGUACUAUAUAUUUAUUUUUAAAUUUAAGACCUAACCCUAUAGGCUCAUACAUAUGAGUUGAUGAAUUAUUCAUGAAAUUUGUCAUUGCAAAACAGUUGUGAGAUGAAAUCGAUCUGCAAAACUACUGUUAUUAGUUGAUCAGUAAUAUAUCAUAUUUACUGCCCUAAUCUUUUGAUGUAAUCUUAAUGAUUUUUGAAACUUAAUUACUCCCAAGUACUGCAAUGUAUAUGUGUUUAGGCCCAAAAUAGUAGUUUGGGCCGAGUAUAGAAUCAUUCUCGGCCCGGAAGGCCUUGCGACAAGGGUGCUAUGGAUCGUUCAGUACGUGGGCCUCCAAACCUAGGUCGGCUAGGUCAUGACGUAAAACAGGUCGAGUCUUAGUGCAAUAAGGAGUCUCGGCAUGAUUAAUAACCCAAAAGCGAAUCUGGUUCAAUAAGGGACUAGGUUCACAGUCAUAAUGAAAGUAGGAUUGGUCGAGUCAGUGUUUGAUCAGGAGAAGAAGUCCUAGUCCGAAUAGGGUUUUAACCCGACCUUGGGGGAUCCGUUGCUAUAAAUAGAAGAGGCUGUGCAUCAUUCAAAGCCCCCUGCAAUUUAACAUACAACUGCCCUGCGCAAACUCUCUCAACAACUUUGAGAUUUUUAUUUUCUUUUCGCUGACACACCUUCCGUUGGCAUCAACAGCAAUGUGGAAGCAACCAGUGAUAUCUUAAGUCGGCAUAGAUAGUUCUAUCAUCGUAGAAUCAGUCGGUCUCGCAGUAUCUUCCGUUGGCAUCAACAGCACUGCGGCGAGGACGGUUGGUUACCUAUCAAAGUCUCGGUCGAGAAGGAUUUCCGGAUCCUUAUUGAUUGAGGUCAUCUCAUUAGCCUCCUCGGCGAAGUGAGGUGUUACAGUAUAUCGAGCUCGGCGCAUUGCACACCGAGUUAUUUUAUGAUUGGAUACUCCCAAGUGGGAUUUAGAGUUCGGCAUUCGGACGGCCGAACCACGUUCAUUAUUAAAACUUAUAUUUGCUUUGAGUAUUUGUGCCCUUACACUUUGGUGUCGAUUCGGCAUGAGUUUACUCUGACGAAUAACAUCACUGUGACUGAAUCCGACGACGACGACUCGUGAACUUCGUAAGAAUAGUAACCUUGUCUUCAGGUUCGAGAACCCAAGAGGCCGAGACGCGUUCCUUCCUCGGUCGCAAUCGCAAGACGCAGGAGUCAGCCGCGCACCCAACGCAACAUCAACAAAUUUACUCCUCGGCUGGGCUCGGCCGACGAGUUGGCACGCCCCGCAUUCACCGAAGGACGUAGUUAGCUUAUAGAUUACUCGGCCUGCGCGCCACGUAGGCUUGAUAGUUUCUAGGGUCAACAAUAUGAGAUCACCACCGAUUCCAUCAUCUAAUACGAAUUUAUUAUAUGUACAGCUCCAAAUAGAAUGAUCUUUUUUUUAAUCCACGUUUUAGUGUGGUUUUAGAUCAAUCACAUCAGAUUAUCAUAAUCACGAUGGGCCUAUUUUAAUCGACAAUUUAUGGCAUCCACAGUAGAUGCCUAACUAAAACAAUCAUACCUUGACAAAGGCAAGCAUAAGUAAUUGAUAGUAUAUUAUUCAGAUAAUCUACAACCAUAAGAUAAAAAUCAUGUCGGAAAAAAGAAAAAACCCAAAAUGUCAUAGCGAAAGAUCAAAAUUGUAGCACUUGUGUAGAGCUUUUUGGUCACAGGUGAGAUGGCUCACAGGUGAGAUGGCAACAAUUGCAUGCAGUUGCAGCACAAUUAAUGCCAUCUCUCUUGUGAGCAUAAAUCUCCCAACCUUUCUUAAUUCAUCAGUUCUCUAGAGAUGCCUCUCUGCCUCUCUCCCUCUCAAUGAAUUUGGAAAAUGCUGCAUUUUUCUUUAAUUGAAUAAAGAAAUUAGUACAUAUGCAUAAAGAAAUAAAGGGUUUCAUGUCACAGGAGAACAGAACAUGCUGCUAGUUAGAGCGCAGAUUGUUCCAUCUCUCAUGUGACAUAAAGCCCUCAACCUCUUUUAUAUCUUCUUUGUUUCUCUAUUCAACGUGUUAAUGGCUUCAAGAGCUUAGAUAACCCCAUAUUUAUAGCCAUGAAUAAUAAAGGGGUGAAAUGGUUGAUAUGUCCCAAAACUGGUUCUAUCAUAAAAAAUAAAGGGGUUUUCUAACUUUAAUUCUAGAAAAAAGAUUGAAAUUUAAAAUAAACCUGAUGUUAGAUUACAUAUUGAUUAUAGUCAUUUGAUGUGUCCUUAAUUUAAAAUAAUUAAUGUGUAUUUUAUUUAAUGUCUCCCAUUAAAUAUUUAAAUUUAUUAAUAUACGCAUUUUAAUUUAUUUUUUGACCAAACAAAAGUUGUUUUUAAUUUAUUAAUUUUAUUUAACAUUCUUCAAACUUGAAAAACUUAAUUAAUGUACCUAAAUGUUAGUACCGAAAUGUAUGUAUCGAAAUGUUAGUACCGAAAUGUAUGACCAAAUGUAUGCACCGAAAUGUGUGUGUGUGUGUGUCUAUAUAUAUAUCCUAUAUAUAUAUAUAUAUAUAUAUAUAUAUAUAUAUAUAACCUUGAACUUGUAAUUCACUGUCAAUUUAUUUCUUAAAAUUUUAUUUUAACCUAUUACCCCCUUAAACUUUUAUUAAUAGUCGAUUACCACCCGAGAUUUGAUUUCCAAUUUUUUCAUGGAUUUCUCUGUUAAAAUCUAUCACGUGGCUAAAUACACCCUACAUGGAUGAGGGUAAAAGGGUAAUAUCAACAUACCACAGCAGCUUCUUCUUCCAGCACCAAAACACUGAAUUUCACCCGCACCCACUCCUCCUCCAAUCCUCUUGCACCGGCAUGUCCGGCAUCGUCGCUUACAUGAUCUUCCAUACUUUUAUAUCCCUUGGCAUCCACUCCCUUUCCUUUCCCUCUCAACCCCUUCCACGGUGACAUCUGCCUCGUCAUCUGCAUCAAGGCCAAAGGCGCCAUUUUCAUCUUAGUCACCUCCGUCGAUGGUAGUACCCUCGCCACCGUCUGCGAUAUGAACGUGCAUUUGCCAUUGAAGUGAGAGCUCUUCCCUUCGAUAUGCUCCGGUCACCUCCACCGCGAUUCCAAAAGGUCUUCAAUGACACCGUCGCGAUCGCGCUCAUGGGCCCCAAAAAUCUCACCAAAUAUUAAUGCGUGCCAAUCCCUAAAUUUCAAGAUCUGAUCUUGAUUCUAUCCAAUUUCAGUCAUCCAAAUUCAAUCAUAUUCAAUCCAAAUGCUAGGUUUUUUUCUUCUAUCUUAAAUUUCAAUCAUCUUCAAUCCCUUUUUUUUUUAAGAUUAUCUUGUCAAAUGAUGGUGCUUCAGAACGGUCGAGAAAUUAGCAUGUUGCUUGAAAACACAAAUUUUGUAACAAUGUGCCUUCAAUUUUAACCCAAUUAAAUAAAUGGUCCAAUUACUUCAAUCUAAUUGGAGCAAUGAUCCUUCAACUUUAAUCCAAUUAUAGCAAUGGUCAUUUCAACAUGAGUUAUUUUGACAGAAUUUUGAUGGAGUUGACGAAACAGACCAUAGCUGUGUGUUUUGACGAGUUAAGUGAUCAAUAGUCAUCAAUUUUUAGUUAAGGAACAAUUACUCUAAUUGCGUUAAAGUUAAAAGGCCAUUGCUACAAUUUUCUCUUUCCUUAUUAUGAAACAAACGUCACUUAGAUACAUGAUUUUCAUUGCCAAACAUUCUGGUUCAUGAAACAUUACUCUUGGGACCAUACUAAAAGGAAUGUACCAAGAAAGUAUGUAAGGCUGCUUAACAUAAUCAUGAUGAUGACAUCAUUGUUAUAUGACGUCAUGAAAUAAUAAUUUCCAAUUUUUUUCCACACAAACACCGAAUUCUUUGCAGUGAGACAAAUCCACGGGUCAAUUUUUUGAUCGGAUUGUUUGAAGGGAACUUUAACGAAAAGCAUCCGGUACUGUUCAUUUUAACGAAAAACCACAUUUUUACACUAAAAAGUCAAUCCUGGUACUAUUCACUUUACCCUUUAUUUUGUCCUUAUCAUUCAAACUCAAAGUUUUCAAGCCAUUUUCAUUAGUUUUCCUUUGUUUGAAUGUAUUCGCACACAAUAAUCUAUGCCAAGUCACCCUAAAACCCCUUUUCAUUAAAUAUACUAGCAGAUGAGCAUACAUUUUAUGUGUGUAAAUAAUUUCAUUUUAGUUUUUGUUAUUGAUUAAGAAAUGUGAUUAGUUCUUAAAAUUUUAAAAAGAGUAUGGAAUAAUGAUGAUGAGACAAUUUCUAUUAAUAAGUGCAAAAUUUUCUUUAUAAUUACUAUUUUGUCCUCCUUAUGUAAAUAGUGUGUAUAAAAAGUGAGGGUAAAAUAGGAAAAAUAGAUAUAUGAUUGUCAUUUUCUAAAAAAAUGAGGGUAAAAUAGGAAAAAUAGGGAUAUGAUUGUCAUUUUGUCAAAAGUUACAAAAUUAAAGCCUCUUCAACCGCCCAUCUCCUCUCACGUUCUCCUCAAGUGCAACUGCUUCAGUUCAUUCAAACUAUCCAAAAAACAUCAUGAUUUUACUUACCUAUAUGAAAAAAUAAUGGUGGGACAAUCAUCACUCAAUCAAGGUCAAAAGUGAUCAAAAUAGGUAUUUAUCCAAAAAGUAUUUCAUCCAUCCUCAUCAAAUCCUCCCCACAAGGUAACCUCUAAAUAUUCAUUCAAAAUAGGAUUAAUUACCUAAAUUAAUUAAUUAUUUUAAUUUCCUAAUUGAUUGCAAGAUAUUAUGGUAACGUAAUAUCUUGCAAUUACACCCUAAAACCACAAAAUGUGGCUGUGGAUGCAAAUUUCCGCUUUCUUCUUCUUGGACAAAAUUGCACCUACAAAACAAUUAACACCUUAGGUCAAGGCCAAGAGCCUCACGCGCCCACGAUGAAUUGGGGGGCUUUGGCCGAAAAACCUCCGAUGCCAAAGGUAGAAUUUAGAGAGAAAAGUAUUUAGAGAGUUUUUGAGAGUUUUACAAGAGUGUGGACUUAGCUUUUUAGAAGAAAUAGGGUCCUAUAUAUAGGGAAUGAGGUGGCCGGCCCUUAGAGGAUUUUGUGUGAAAAUGGUGAUUAAUUUGGUGAUUAAUAGAUUAAUUAGGAAUUAAUCCAUUAAUUAGCCUAAUUAAUCUAAUUUGUAUGGAGGGUUUUGAAGGUUAUGGAAUGAGGAUGGAUGAGAUAAAUUUGAACUUGUUACCUAUUUUGGGUACUCCUGAUUUGGUUGAUGGAUGAUUCUCAACUGCUUGUAUGUAGGAGACCCGGUGUGCCUCGAGGGUAAAUUUGUCAUCUUCACCCAAAAAUCCACGUGUCACCUUGUGAUUAUUUUUGGCUCCACGGUGCCUAGUUCCCACCUCUCCAAAGAGGGCCGGCCACACCACUCCAUUUCUCAAAAAACUUAAGUUGAAUCCUCUUGCAAAAUUCUCUAAAUUCUCCAAACACUUUUCCCUCAAAAUUUUAACUUUGGCAUAGGAGGUUCUUCGGCCAAAGCCUCCCCUCCCCAUUCAUCGUGGGCACGUGAGACUCUUGGCGUUGACCUAAGGUGUUAAUUGUUUUUGUAUGUGCAUUUUUGUCCAAGAACAAAAAGGAAGAAAUUUGCAUCCACAGUAAUCACAUAAUCUGAAACAAGCAUAUGUAUAUUAUUGAUGAAGCUAGCUGCAACGGAUCAAUCUCAUAUAUAUGCGGAUCAAUCUCAUAUAUAUGCAUAAAAGGAGAACGGAACAUGCUGCUAGUUAGAGCGCAGAUCGUUCCAUCUCUCCUGUGACAUAAUGCCCUCAACCUCUUUUAUAUUUUCUUUGUUUCUCUAUUCAACGUAUAUUAAUGGCUUCAAGAGCUUAGAUAACCCCAUAUUUAUAGCCAUUAACCUAGGCCAGUAUUUCUCUAUGUACUAGGAGUCGGAAAUGUUAGGUUUUUUCACAAUGCAAGGAAAUUACUUAUACAAUACCACGAAGUUUGUUUUAAUUUGCAAGGAAUUUUCCUGUGAUUAGAUAAAGUGGGAUAAAUUGCAUACGCUAAUGAAGUAAUUAAUCAUUCUUUAAAAUUAAAUACGUUGUUUAAAGUUUGGAACAUUGGCCUUACCAUACACAUUAGAAACUCUAGUAAUUUCCAGGGGGUUCAUUUUCCCAUUGGAAAAUAAUAAAAAAAAAAAAUUACAAGCACAAUUUCCUCGAGACUUUCAUAUAAACCUCCAUGUCCAGUAAAAGAAAAGGAAAGAGAUGUUAGACUCUUGUUUUCUUUUCUAAUAUUGGUCGUAUAUUAGAACCGAUCCCAGAAUUUAACUUGUACAAGAGUAUUACUACAACAAAAUGCAUGGUUCAGCGAUGAAAAUUUCACUCAAGAAAUUAGAAAGUUCUCAUGACUAAAAGUUGUUGUGACAAUUUCGUCGUUAAACAUUUAUUUAAAAAUAAAAAUUAAUGUCGAAUCGUAAAUUGUAGUGACGCUAAUUUUUAAAUCAAUCACUUGCUUAAUUACCUAUAUCUGUCAAAGACUAAUGACAUACUUUAUAUUAAUCUUGGAAUCUAGCCAUCAGCCGGCCAAUCAUGUAUAUAUGAUACUUAAACUUUGGGGAGGGUCUUAGGAUUAAGAACAAGUGAGAGGGAGGUGAGAUCAAAGGUGAGGCAGGGUUAGCAUAAUAAAUUAUGAGGUAAAAAAAAGUUGGAGUUUCAUCAUAAAAUUAAGUGGCAAUAUGGUGAGUAGUCCCACCUCUUUAUAAUGUUUCUCCCUUUAUCGAUGUGAGACUCUUUUACCUUCACAUCCUCACACGCCCCAUAAACGACGCAUGGUGAAGUUUCAAGCCAAACACGUGGAUAACACGAAUUAGGUGAUGUGGAACACGUGUGGCCGUUGGGCUUCACACAUGAGCCAAUGUGCCAUGAUAUCAUGAAGAAAGUUGGGGUUCUACAAUAAAACCAAUUGACAAUAUAGGGAUUAGCCAACAUCUUAGCCUUGACAAAAAAAAAAACCUCUUAUUAUAAGCCCUUAUAAAGUUUCUCCUUUCACCGAUGUAAGACUCUUUUAUCAUGCACAUCCACAGAGAGUGGGGUUGUGGAUAUAUUUUGUAAUUUGGAGCCACACACACACGUAAUCUGAUUGCCGGACCACAGAAUUUCUUUCAACUUUAAAAGGAAAUGAUAGACAUCUCAACCCCUCCUCCACGGUGCUUCAUUUGUUAUGGACAGUGCUAAUUUUUGUGCUUAAUAUUCCACAUAUACGAUCUGUAAGCAAUCAUGCAGUCUGGUACAACAUUCCUCAAAUAGAUUAACAAGUACGUACGUAUUUUAUACACACACACACACUGAACGAAGUCACGAAAACAUAUGGAAUUACUAAAUGCAGGAGGUGAGGAACAUUUGUAGUCUCUCUUUCUAAAUUUAUACAUUUUCAAUCAGUUUUUUGUCCAAUGGGAAAGCAUGAACAACUAGUAAGAUUCCUAGCAAGAUCGUCAUGCAUGCACUGCGAAUUCAUGGCAGUUUCCUUAAAGUAAUAGCGUAGGAAAAACGGCCGACUAGCUAGCCAGCCCUGCUUAUAAAUAUAUUGCAAGGGCCCUUCUCUUGUGAAGCCAUGAGGAGACACUGAAGAGAGAUCAAACACUAUUACAGAAGAAGAGAUUUAUUAAAGACGUUGGAGGAGAUACCUGUCGCAGGAGAGAUGACAAAAGUUGCGAUAUAUUAUUUAUAGCAAUUAGAUAAUUAAUUGGGAUAUAUCGAGACGCAACUUAUAUCACUCUCCUGUAACAGAUGCCCCCUCCAACCUCUUUCUGAAGCGGCACGCAUAUGUGUAUUGAUCUGUCUGAUAAACAAGAGGAGGGGGAAGGCCAAUUAGUGAAGAAGUGGUAAACCAACUCUCUAUCAUUAUUUGUUAAUUGUUUUAAACAUACAUGAAACCCUUUAUUUCUUUAUGCAUAUGUACUAAUUUCUUUAUUCAAUUAAAGAAAAAUGCAGCAUUUUUCAAAUUCAUUGAGAAGGAGAGAGGCAGAGAGGCAUCUCUAGAGAACUGAUGAAUUAAGAAAGGUUGGGAGAUUUAUGCUCACAAGAGAGAUGGCACUAAUUGUGCUCCAACUGCAUGCAAUUGUUGCCAUCUCUCCUCCGACCAAAAAGCUCUACACAAGUGCUACAACUUUGAUCUUUCUCUAUGACAUUUUGGGUUUUUUUUGUUUUUCCGACAUGAUUUUUAUCUUGUGGUUGUAGAUUAUCUGAAUAAUAUACUAUCAAUUAAUUAUGCUUGUCUUUGUCAUGGUAUGAUUGUUUUAGUUAGGCAUCUACAUGUGGAUGCCAUACAUUGUUAAUUAAAAUAGGCCCAUCUUGAUUAAGAUAAUCUGAUGUGAUUGAUCUAUAACCACAUUAAAACGUGGAUUAAAAAAAAGAUCAUUCUAUUUGGAGCUUACAUAUAAUAAAUUCGUAUUAGAUGAUGGAAUUGGCGGUGAUCUCAUAUAUAUUGCAGUACUUGGAGUAAUUAAGUUUCAAAAAUCAUUCAGAUUACAUCAAAAGAUUAGGGCAGUAAAUAUGAUAUAUUACUGAUCAACUAAUAACAGUAGUUUUGCAGGUCGAUUUCAUCUCACAACUGUUUUGCAAUGACAAAUUUCAUGAAUAAUUCAUCAACUCAUAUGUAUGAGUCUAGGGUUAUGUCUUGAGUAUAAAAUAAAUAUAUAGUACUGUUGAGAUCAUAUGAUCACAUAGUUUAUAUUCGUUUCAUUAAGUUUAUAUAUAAUAUGUAUUUAUAAAUAAAGCUGUACUAAAUAUGUGUUAUAUAUUUUUCAUGACCAUGAAGCUUUAAUAAUUUUUGUGAGAGAAAUUUGGAGUUUAUAUGUUAAUUUGUACCUUAUGAAUUACAGUACUAGUACCACUUUACAGAAAGGAAAAUGAAGAAAUACUAUACUGCCUCUUUCAUGCCUAUAUAUAAAGCUGCAUCAUGAGGAUUUCGGAGCCAGCAGAUUGAAAAACAGUACUAAAAGCGAGAUCAAAAUAUCAAAGCGUAGGGACUUCUGUCGAAGGUGAGAUGGUGCCGAAGGCCAUGUAUAUUGGUAGCUGCGAUUACAAGCUUUAUAUAGCUAGUCAAUUCAGGCCAGCGAGCUUCAUCCCUCCUCGACUGAAGCCUCUCACGCUUUGAUUCCACGGAAAAGAAACCCAUGUUUAAUUUCUUCGCAAGAUUGGAGAAAGAUCAGGUGAAGUAGUAUUACUUUACCCUUUUUUUCGUAUUUUGACGUUGCGAUAUUACUGUACUGUAAGAUUUUGUUUAAGAACUAAACCAAUCUCCUUGGAUCAAAGGAUCAUGGUAAGUGCUUAUAUACAUGCUAGGGAUCGAAAAGACAGGAAGUAUAUGUGCCGAAAAAUACAAGAAAAAGUAAUAAAAAAAAAAAGUACCUAGCAAAUGUUUUUCCUCUCCUUUUUGCUAGAUCUGGCCACCUGCGACGUCCACUUCUACAUAGGCAACGGAGAAACGCACGGCCCGGUCGGUGGGGGUGUUGAUCAUUAGCUUGCUAGCUUGAAGGACUCAAGCACAGAUUUCUUCUGAGAAGGGUAUAUUACUUGUCCAGAUGAAGGCUGAAGGAUGAAGAGCUAAUUGAAGAUCUUCUGUUCACAAGGUUCACCGCAAGUUUUGUAAUUUAACAUGGAUUGCAGUACUAAUUAGGACUUAAAAAUCAUUUAAGCCUGCAACUGGUGUUUUUCUAUUAUCUUUUUCAAGCUUUGGAGAUGGCCUCAAAGCCUUUUCCCCUUAGUUUAAUUAUGGUUUGACUUCCACCAAAUUCAUCUAAUUUGGGAUUCGGACCGUUUAAAUUUGAUCUAACGGCUACAAAUAAGGAGAUCCUUUAAAAGUUAUAAUAACUGUAGCCGUUGGAUCAAAAUCCCACGUCCCGGAUCCCAAACUAGGUGGAUUUGGUGGAAAGGGAUCCAGAGAGGAUCCUUUUCCUGAACUUAGACCAUUUCCAAUGAAGAGGGGUAAAUGUUCAAAAGCCAAAAAAUGACAUGAUUUAUUCAAAAAUUCAUCUCCAACUGAUAACUGGGCUAUUAUUCUAUAGAGUCCACUAGGCCAUUAUUUGGCCAAAGGGACAUCGGGUUGGCCAAAUGUAGCCUCCCUCUUAGCCAUUUUUUAGGGCUCAGCUUCUCAAUUGCAAUGAUUGAUUCAAAUUCAACGGCUAUAUUUGAAAACAUCCAAAGGUAUUUUAACUAAAAUAACCAAUAAAUUUAAAGUAUAAACUUCAAACUAAUAAAUUAUUAAGGGGCUAAUAUAGCCCUUUCGGUUGAAGUUGGUAUAUGAGUAUGGUCUUACACUGUCUAUUUUUAAAAAUAAUUUUUUUGCAAGGCUAUAAUUCUAAACGGAGCUAUAUUUAAUCAUUUUGGUUGGAGAUGGCCUUAUAGGAAGCCUUUAAAGAAAGUGAUUCCUAUUUAUUAUUAUUAUUAUUUUUACAAAAAUGGGGAUUAGUUAUGCUACUACACCGCAUCAAACUUUAAUGAUCCAAACCAUCUAUUUUUUAAGUUUCACCUCAUAGAUCUAUUUUUUUUAAAUAAUUUUUUUGCAAGGCUAUAAUUCUAAACGGGGCUAUAUUUAAUUAUUUUGGUUGGAGAUGGCCUUAUAGGAAGCCUUUAAAGAAAGUGAUUCCUAUUUAUUAUUAUUAUUAUUUUUUUUUACAAAAAUGGGGAUUAGUUAUGAUACUACACCGCAUCAAAUUUUAAUGAUCCAAAUCAUCUAUUUUUUUAAGUUUCACCUCAUAGAUCAUCAUUGCAAAAUAUUAACUAUAUCGGAAAUAUUUGACACAUCUAACUGAGUUCAAAGAAAUUAACGAAUACUUUGUUCUCUAAGAAACAUCGAAAUUUCAUCAUGAUAAAUUAAAUAGGCAAAUGAUUUUGGAUUGACUUGAAUUUUUGUAAGGAUGAUUUAUGAAUCCAGACUUACAAAAUAGACGGUUCAUAUCGUUGAAGUUCGAUGUAAAAUGAGUCCCACAACUAAUCCUCAUUUUUAAGAAAAUAAGAAUCUCUUCUCUUAAAAGUUCUGCGUACUUACAUAUGUACAUAUAUGUGUACGUAUAUGUUGUAAAACAAUAUCUUUUUUUUUCCAGUGUUGUGUUCCGUACAUGUGUGUGUGUGAGAGAGAGAGUUAUCCCUGAACGCACAGUUUCUUGUAUAGCAUAUGAUUCUAUUAAAUGGUGAUCCAAUUUGAUUUGGGUACCAAUGAUUUCAUGAUAUAUACUUUUAGGAGUUUCUUUUUCUAGGGUUGGGAGCUUCUCUCUCUAUCUAGCAUGCUGGGUGGUGGUGGUGGUGUCAUGUGUCAAUUCAUACUCCUUAUCAGUUAAGUUUUUGUUUACUUUUUUGUUAACUUAUAAGCAUUUAGCUGAUCUUCAUUGCAGCCGAAAGUUUUCUCUCUUUAAUUAUUUCAGUGCGCGGUAAUUUUUUUUUUAAAUUAAUAGAUGGUAAAGAGGUAAAUCUAAGCUGGUCAUGAUGAAGUUUUAACGAGGCAUUUACUCUAGACUAGUCAUACUCUUGUAUUCGCUAAUGAUCAUCUUGAAUAUGUGAAACAUUGAUCUCCUACAUUUAAUUAACUUUUUUUCUUCCUUUGACUACUAUAAUACCACAGCAAGGGGUUUUAUGAUUUUCUUUUGAUAUGCACCUCUACUUUGAGACUCGUGUUAGCAACUAUUUGUACUUGUUGAGAACUGACGACAACAACUGUUAUCUUUUAAUAAUAAAGUCCUGAUUCGACUACUUCUUAAGUUGUACACACUUAAGGGGAGUGUUGUAAUUAGUGUGUUUAUUUAGAAAUGUGAUUGUGUACAUGUAAACUUAAAUAGAAUUCCAAUAGGAGUUGAAGAUCAAAUCAUUAUAAGUUUUGUGUUACUUGUAAGGCAAUCAGGAUUAGUAUUAAUAAACGUACAAGGUGUGGGUUGAACAUACAGUUCUCAUACCCGAGCUUGUUCUCUUUCUUUGCCAUCCCUCUCUCUCACCCACUCUGAAAGUUAUUCUCACAUGGAACUGAGUUGUUGAUUUCUGAUCAUAUGUGUUAAUGUGCAGGCAGCAGAAGUUCAACUUCAAAGUGGAAAUGAGUUAUGUAUAUGUCCAUGAUGCACUCUUCGGCAUGUUACUUUUCUGUAUCCAGUUCACAUGUAACGACCCAACAUUUUGUUGUCGGGCUAGUUGUUAGGAGUAUUAUAUGAAUAGCUAAGAUGUUGCCAAAUGUCAAGAGAUUAGUAUUGCAGUUAUAAGGCUGUUAUAAGAUAGCUUAGUUAGGAAGCUGUCAAAGAUAGUAUAAAUAUCCUUUGUAAUGAAACAGUUGGGUAAAGGAUAAGAAAUAUACAAUACAAUUCAGAAAUAUCUUGCUCUCUAAGUAUUCUUUCAAUCUCAUAUCUCUCUUCCUAUCAAUCUUCUUCUUAUCUGAUAUAUGUGUAGAUUGGUUUACAUGGUAUCUUCGCUGGAAAAAGUAUAAAGCUUUAUGGUGUAUCAAUCUGGGAUUUUUGUAUAUGCUUCCGCUUCUGAUCGCACAUAUAUGUGCUUCUCUCUUCUGUCUAUUACUUCUUGAUUUGGGGCGUUUCUGAUCGAAUUAAGGCUCUUCAAUCUGUGUUUGAUUUUCUGCACACCAAGUGUUCGACGUUUGUUCUCUGUCAAUCCCGGUGAAGCAAUUCCAUCAAAAUGAUGACCGUCUCUCAGUUGCAAAUCUUACAAUCGUCUAUUACAUCUCUUAUUUCCUCUGUUUCUACGUCCGUAGCCAUGAAGUUGGACGAUACCAAUUACUUGACUUGGCAUUUUCAGAUGCAGCUUUUGUUGGAAGGCUAUGGCAUUAUGAGGUUUGUUGAUGGGUCUACUCCUUGUCCUUCUCGAUUUUCUGAUGUGAUUUCUGGGGAUUCUGAAGUUGUUUCUGGUUGUUCUACUGCACAAGUUGAAUCUGAUGCAUACAAGAUUUGGAAAAUGCAUGACAGAGCGUUGAUGCAGCUCAUUUCUGCAACUCUUUUGGCUCCUGCAAUUUCUUGUGCAAUAGGGAGUAUCAGUUCUUUGGAUUUAUGGACUCGUCUGAAAGACCAAUUUUCCACAGUUUCUCGAACCAGCAUUUUCCAAAUGAAAUCUGAGCUACAAACUAUCAAGAAAGGUAAUGAUUCCGUCACUUUGUAUCUUCAAAUGAUUAAGGAGGCUCGAGAUUAUUUGUCUGCUGCUGGUGUCUAUUUUGAGGAUGAUGAUAUUGUAAUUCUUACGUUAACUGGUUUACCUUCUGAGUUCAAUACCAUUCGGUCAGUCAUUAGGGGUCGAGAUACUGUUAUUUCAUUAAAAGAUCUUCGUUCUCAACUACUUGCUGAAGAAGCAAUGCUUGAAAAUAUGAAUGCUACCCCUAUGCUUACUGAUUUGGUUGCUCAACAGUCUGGUUUUCCUUCAAAGAAUUCUGGUGGUUUUUCAUCUCAGCAUCCUAACUCAAACUAUCAGUAUAAUAGUUCUCGAGGUUUCAAUAACAAGAAUAAAGGCAGGGAUCGGUUUAAUUCUAAUAACAGGUUUGGAACCAACAAGCAAUUCUUCUCCAAUUCUGGCCCUGGAAUCUUAGGAAACUCUCCACAACAGCUUGGUUCUUCUCCGUUGAUGACAUGUCAAAUCUGUGGCAAGCAUAAUCAUCUUGCAGACACUUGUCGAUUUAGAAAUGCUCUUGGUUCUCCAAGUUGCCAAAUCUGUGGAAAACAUAAUCAUUUUGCUGAUACUUGUCGGUUUCGAAAUACUGAGGUUAAUUCAGGCUGUCAAAUAUGUGGGAAUUCUAACAAUAGUGCUGAUUUUUGCUUCCAGAAUAAUUCUAAUGUUUCAAUGACUACCAUGUAUGCUCACACCAACUCUGGUCCUCAGUCUACUACUUCCCAGUCAUCUAUUCCAUCUCAGCAAGUUUGGCUCACUUACUCGGGAGCAACAAACCACAUGACAACUGAGUUGCAGAAUCUGUCUCUUGCAACUCCUUAUCCAUCCAAUGAGACUAUACAAGCUGUUAAUGGUGAAGGUUUAACCAUAUCUCAUAUUGGCUCCAUCACUCUUCCCAUAUCUCAUAUUGGCUCCACCACUCUUCAAACUCCAUUACAUUCUCUGAAAUUAAAUUUUGUUUUAUAUGUCCCGAAAUUAACACAGAAUCUGCUGUCAGUUCAUCGAAUCUGCUUGGACAAUAAUUGUUGGUUAAUAUUUAAUGCAUUUUGUUUCUGGAUCUAGGACAAAACCACAUGGAGGAUACUCUACAAAGGGCUGUGCAGUAAUGGGGUGUAUCCGAUUAUCUCACCAACAUCCAGUGCUUCUUCAAAACGUGUCUAUGCUGCUACUUACCUUGGACAACAAAUUAAUUCAAGAUUAUGGCAUAACAGACUAGGUUAGCCUUCUAAUCCUAUAGUAUCUCAAAUUUUAAGAAAGUCCAGAUUGUCUUAUAGUCCUGAUUCCUUGCCUAUGUUGUGUUCAACCUGUUUGGAAGGAAAAUUUACAAAACUUCCUUUUCCUGUGUCUCAGUCCAAGUCUGUAAUAUCAGAUAAGAAGAAGAUUGAUAGGAAGAGAGAGAUGAGAUUGAAUGAAUACUUAGAGAGCAAGAUAUUUCUGAAUUGUAUUGUAUAUUUCUUAUUCUUCACCCAACUGUUUCAUUACAAAGGAUAUUUAUACUAUCUUUGACAACUUCCUAACUAAGCUAUCUUAUAACAGCCUUAUAACUGCAAUACUAAUCUCUUGACAUUUGGCCCGCUCCUUGUUUGUCCAUUAAAGGGUUCAAGUAUUAUGUAACCUUCAUUGAUGAGUGUACACGUUAUACUUGGAUUUUUUCAAUAAGCAAUAAAAGUGAUGUUUACCCUACUUUUGUUUCUUUGUAUCAAUACAUUACAAAUCAAUUUGAUGUCUCUGUGAAAACAUUACAAACCGAUGGGGGAGGGGAGUAUAUAGGGAAAUCUUUUCAAGAUUUUCUUUUGAAUAAAGGGAUUCUUCACCAUAUGUCAUGUCCUCAUACCCCUGAGCAAAACGGCUUAACCGAGCGAAAACAUAGACAUAUAAUUGAGACUUCCAUCACACUGUUACAAACAGCUUCCCUACCACCUUUUUUUUGGUCCUAUGCAGUUCAAACUUCUGUUUAUCUUAUCAAUAUGAUGCCAUCUUCUACAUUGGAUAACAAAUCCCCAUUUGAGCUCCUCUUUCAUGACAUUCCAGACAUUCAACACCUUAGGGUUUUUGGUUGCUCUUGUUACCCACUACUGAGACCUUAUAACAGUACCAAACUUCAACCUCGAACUACAAAAUGUGUCUUCUUGGGGUAUGCUUCUAAGUUUAAAGGGUACAUAUCUUUUGAGGUGGCUAAGAAACGGGUUUAUAUAUCAAGACGUGUAAUUUUUUAUGAAUUUGAAUUUCCUUAUUCCAACCUAGUGUCUUUUGAUCAACCAGUCAUUUCUCCAGUACUUACCUCACAUGGUUCUCAUCCUGUUUUAGUACCAAACAAUGAUAAUGUGAUGGUUGUGCCUUCUGUUUCUUCUCCUAGUCUGAUGCAGUCUAGUUCCUCACAGUUUGCUCCAAAUAAUUCAUUAGACAUUAGGAGUCACCUUAUCACUACCAAUAGUUUGUCCAAUGGAUCUAGUCUGUCUAUGCCAUCUGCAACAUCAAGUUCCCAUACUCUCACUGGUGAUCUCAAUGAAGUUGCACCCAUUACUAGCACUGCAGAUCAGUCCUUAUCCUCUUCUGUCUCUGUGGUACCUGAAUUCCAGCCUGACCAACUUCAAGUAGUCAUAUCUGUUCCAUCAUUCAAUUUGCAUCCAAUGCAAACUAGAUCGAAGAGUGGUAUUUCUAAGAAGAUUGCAUUCAUGUCUGUGAUACAUGAACAUGGAGGGGCUGAUCUCACUAAAGUAGAACCUGCUACCUAUAAAUUUGCUUUGACAUCUUUUGUGUGGUGUGAAGCGAUGAAAGAAGAACUUUCAGCCCUACAUAAUCAAGGUACUUGGUUCUUGGUACCUCUUCAUCCUCACAAAAAUUUAGUGGGCUGUAAAUGGGUGUUCAAAAUAAAGAAGAAUGCUGAUGGAUCUAUAGGAAGAUACAAGGCCAGAUUAGUUGCCAAGGGGUUUAAUCAAGAAGAAUGUAUCGAUUAUGGGGAGACUUUCAGCCCUGUGGUUAAACUAACCACUGUGAGACUAGUUAUUGCUUUGGCUGCACACUAUGGCUGGUGUUUAAGACAAUUAGAUGUGAAAAAUGCCUUUUUACAUGGCAUUCUUCAAGAAGAGGUAUACAUGUCUCAACCUCCUGGUUUCCAUGAUUCUAAACAUGAGGAUUAUGUUUGCAAGCUCCAUAAGUCCUUAUAUGGUUUGAAACAGGCCCCUAGGGCAUGUAAUGAUAGAUUUACCACGUUUCUACCUUCAUUGGGAUUUCAGUUCACUUAUUCUGAUUCUUCACUAUUUGUCAAGCAUGCUGGUGAUUAUAUUGUGAUUCUUUUAUUGUAUGUUGAUGAUAUAAUCAUCACAGGUAGUGCAAGUCAAUGUGUUACUGAUGUUAUUCAUGUUUUGGCACAUGAGUUUGAUAUUAAGGACUUAGGACCAUUGCAUUACUUUCUGGGUAUACAGAUUGUGCAGCAACCAAAAGGGAUUUUUUUGUCUCAAGAUAAGUAUGUCACAGAUCUUCUCACCAAGUCAGACAUGUUGUCUUCCAAGCCCUGUGCCACUCCCUGUUUACCUUACAAUCGGUUAUUGAAAGAUGAUGGGAAACCAUAUAACAAUCCAGCAUUGUAUAGAAGUCUAGUGGGUGCUCUUCAGUAUCUCACUUUCACACGGCCUGAUAUUGCCUUUGCAGUUCAUCAAGUGAGUCAAUUUAUGCAGGCACCCAUGAAAUCUCAUUUUCUGGCCGUCAGGAGAGUUCUUAGAUACCUUCGGGCAACACAGGGAUGUGGUCUUCGAUAUGUUCACGGCGGUUUGGAUCUUACAGCUUUUAGUGAUCCAGAUUGGGCAGGGGAUCCUAAUGAUAGGCAAUCCACCACUGGUUUGGUUGUUUUCCUAGGCUCGAAUCCGAUAUCCUAGUCUUCCAAGAAACAACAAACUGUCUCUCGGUUAUCCACAGAGGCUGAGUAUAGGGCAUAGGGCAUUAUCUUCUACAACAGCUGAGAUUGAUUGGAUUAAACAGUUGUUGGCAUUUCUGUAGGUUUCAGUAUCUGAUACACCAACUUUGUAUUGUGAUAAUCUUUCAGUACUAGCCUUAACAUUGAAUCAUGUUCAGCAUCAACGGACAAAACAUAUAGAGGUUGGCAUACAUUUUGUGAGAGAAAGGGUUGCCAAACAACUUCUGCAAGUGCAUUUUGUAUCCUCUGGUGAGCAGUUUGCAGAUAUUUUCACAAAGGGGUUGUCUGCACCUUUGUUUUAGCGCCAUUGCAACAAUCUCCAGCUCAGUUUCUCUGCUCCUGAGCAUGAAGGGGGAUGUUAGGAGUAUUAUAUGAAUAGCUAAGAUGUUGCCAAAUAUCAAGGGAUUAGUAUUGCAGUUAUAAGGCUGUUAUAAGAUAGCUUAGUUAGGAAGCUGUCAAAGAUAGUAUAAAUAUCCUUUGUAAUGAAACAGUUGGGUAAAGAAUAAGAAAUAUACAAUACAAUUCAGAAAUAUCUUGCUCUCUAAGUAUUCUUUCAAUCUCAUCUCUCUUUUCCUAUCAAUCUUCUUCUUAUCUGAUAUAUGUGUAGAUUGGUUUACAUUAGUCACCCUACCCUUUGAAGUUCAAGGUGAAUUGCAAAAUCUAUCAAUUUAAAUUUUUUCUGUAUGCUGCACUAGCCUUUUAUCACAUGGCUAUAUAUGACAAUAUGUACUUUUACAUUUUAUUUUAUUAUUUAAAAAACUGAAUUUACAUAUUGUAGACAUCGAAAUUUCAGUAAAUAAAUGUUGACCGAUAAAUCAAAGUUUCAACGCUCAUGUAUUACAUAAAUUUUACACGUAGCGUGUGUCUAAACAAAAAAUCAAGAAUCAUCGGAAAAGUCAUUAAACAUGACACGUGUCAACACCUGGCAGAAACGACUUAUUUCAUCUGGAAUAUUAUAUUCAAAAUUAGGCCUUGGAAAAUUCUAUAAAUAGAAGCCAAUUUCAUUCAUUUUAGAAGACCAAAAUCAUUAGGCAAAAUUCUUGAAGCUCUGAAGCUCUGAAACUCCGAAGCUUUCAAGCAUCCAGGUUCCCGAAGAAUCAAGAAAGCUCUCUUCGUUCUUCGUUCUUCGUUCAUCAUUAUUUCAAGAUCAAGCCCCGACGGCCCUUGGAUCAACAUCCACCAAUUAAAGAUCAAGCCCCGACGGCCCUUGAAAAAAGUGUUAUUCGUUCUUCAUUCUUCGUUCAUCGUUCUUCCAAGAUCAAGCCCCGACGGCCCUUGGAUCAACAAUCAUCCACCUUCAAGAUCAAGCCCCGACGACCCCUUGAAGAACUUCCACCAAUUCAAGAUCAAGCCCCGACGGCCCUUGAAGAAAGUGUUCUUCGUUCUUCGUUCAUCGUUCUUCCAAGAUCAAGCCCCGACGACCCUUGGAUCAACAACAUCAACAAAUCCACACAUCCAACCGUUCUUCAAGAUCAAGCCCAAAAGCCCUUGAAGAUCCGUUCAUCACUGUUCUUCAAAGAUCAAGCCCAAAAGCCCAUUGAAGAUCCGUUUAUCACCGUUAUUCAAGAUCAAGCCUCAACGGCCCUUGAAGAAACGCUCAUCCUCAAGAUCAAGCCCCAACGGCUCCUCGAAGAUCCGCUCAAAUCCACCUUCAAGAUCAAGUCCACGGCCCUUGAAGAACGUUCAUCCUUAGAUUCAAGCCCAACGGCCCUUUGGAUCAAUCGCACAUCCACAAAUCAACACCUUACGGAGAUCGAAUCAGAGGAUCAAAUUUAAGAGAGAUUGUAACCCAAAAUCAUCAAAUACAAAUAUUAUUUUGUGCACGUUGUUCUUGUCUCUUUCCUUUCAGGAAAUUUUUGUGUUCACAAAUUUGGCACGCCCAGUGGGACAAUCUCUGCCUCUCAUCUCUUUCUCCGUUCAAAAAAUUCAAGCACACUUCCAAAAUCAAUGGCAUCAAGCAAAGGACAAGCCGUUCUCACAAAGGGAAGAAGCCUGAGCACUUCCGCCAUGAACAGAGCAUCCAUUGGCGCCACAACCACUCCUCAACAUACCACUUCAAAGUUGGUGCCGCUAAAGGAGCAAGUGGAGCAUCAAAGACGCAAGCCCGUUAUCAACCUAACCUCGCUGGGGGCAUCGAAGCAUGCCGUUGAGGCACACAAGAUGACAUCCCAAAGCAGCCAACGACGUUCUUCGUCAGCAUCCUGGAUGUCUAAAGGAAAGUCACGUCUAUUGGUUGCACAAGUCAUGACCAUCGGCGUUACCUCCAUCGAAGAACAAUUGGCUCAAAUGAAUGAAGCGAUUGCAAGGCUAACACAGAUUGUGGAAGAAAAAAACUUGCAAAUCGCUGCACUCGUCAGCCGACUAGAGCCACAGGACGGCGAGAACCCCAACCCAGAAGAUGAUCUUUUAAAAAGAGGAGCUGGUGAAGAAGAUGAGCCACCAGUGGAGAGAAUCGAUGUGAAGCCGGAGCCAGACCAAGCAGCGGCACUCAUGGGAUCUCUUUCUAUCCAGCAGCUACAGGAGAUGAUCACCAACACCAUCAAGGCACAGUACGAAGGGAGCUCAAAUACCUCCGGGUUGUACUCGAAGCCGUAUUUAAAGAAGAUUGACGCCUUAAGGAUGCCGAGGGGUUAUCAACCGCCAAAGUUCAUGCAAUUUGAUGGAAAGGGAAACCCGAAACAGCACAUUGCCCACUUUGUUGAAACUUGCAACAACGCAGGGACCAAAAGGGACUACCUCGCCAAGCAGUUUGUGCGCUCGCUGAAAGGAAACGCCUUUGAGUGGUACACGGACCUAGAGCCUGAGUCCAUCAACAGCUAGGAGCAAUUAGAGCGGGAAUUCCUCAACCGCUUCUACAGCACAUGCCGCAUUGUGAGCAUGCUAGAGCUAACGAGCACAAAGCAGUGGAAGGACGAGCCAGUCAUUGACUACAUCAACAGAUGGUGCACUCUAAGCCUCAUAAAGACAGGCUCUUGGAAACCUCUUCAAUCGAGAUGUGCAUCCAAGGCAUGCAAUGGGGUUUGCAAUACAUCCUUCAAGGCAUCAAACCACGGACCUUCGAAGAGCUAGCCACCUACGCCCAUAACAUGAAGUUAAGCAUCGCCCAUCAUGGGAAGAAGGAACCGAUCGCCGACUACAAGAACGACAAAGUUCUUGAGACAAAGGUGGAGAAGGCUGCGUGGAAAUCCACCAAGGAAGCAAUGACGGUCAACACAGCUCCCGUCAAAAUCCUUACACGAGGCAAGGCGAUUCAAGCCGAAGCUUUUCGUGAUCAAAAGAUGCGUAGACGCAUUUUGAAAGAGCUUGAGGAGAAGACUUAUCCAUUCCCCGACUCUGAUGUGGUUGCCAUGCUGGAUGACCUGUUGGACAAGAAGGUGAUCGGUUUGCCUAAGUGCAAAUGGCUGGAAGAGAUGAAUCGUACCGACAGUCCAAGAUACUGUAAAUUCCACCGCUUCAUCAGUCAUCCGACAGAAAAAUGCUUCGUGCUGAAAGAUCUCAUCAUGAAGUUGGCUCAGAAAGGAAUCAUCGAGCUAGAUGACGAUGUGGUGAAGUCAAACUAUACCACCAUCACUUCUGGCUCUUUCGACACAAAGUUUUCACCUCAACCGCUAGGGGCAUGCUCCAAGUCAAGCGAAGUUGAAGGAUGGACUCAAGUCACUCCUAAGAAAUUACACAAGAAGCAUACGUCUCCUCCACAAGUCCGCCAAUCGGAAAGGGGGCAAAACAGCUCUUGUCAACCUUCAAAGCAACAUGAACGUGUUAAAGAUGAUGAAAUUUCGACACAUAGAUCGUCCAUCCCCAUCACGAUGCGUGAUUUCUUUCCUGAAGACUUCUUCAAUCACUCGGUCAAGACUCCCUGUUAUGAAAAUUGCAAGGAAAGCCUCUCCAAGAUCGUUUGACAAAUUCACAAUGCUCCUUGUUCGCACGAGCCUAAACUGCACGAACCAAAGCUCCUUGUCCGCACUAGCCUAAACUGUAGGACAAGAGGCUCAUCACCUGCACGAGCCUAAACUGCAUGGCACAACGCUCCUGAUCUGCACGAGCAUAAAAGGCGACAUCAACGCUCCUGAUCCGCACGAGCAUAAAAGGCGACACCAACGCUCCUGGUCUGCACGAGCAUAAAUGGCAACACCAAUGCUCUUUGUUCGCACGAGCCUAAACUGCAUGAACCAAAGCUCCUGGCCCGCAAGAGCAUAAAUUGUGUAUGGCAAAAUCAUCAUCAAAAUCACUGUUAAAUUCAUCACUCAUUCGAACUACGCUUUGACUUGAUCUCUUUCUUUGGAAGGGUACGUAGGCAGCUUGAACAUUCAAUUUCGAGUUCAGUCACAUCAAAAUAAAAAAUAAAUGCUUUAUUGAAGAAGGUCAAUCUUAUUACAAAAAGAAAAAAAAAAAAAAAAAGAAAAGGAAUACAUACGUUUUACAAAAAAUAAUAAUAAUAAUAAAUAAAAUAAAAUAAAAUUAUGAAAAAAAAAAAAAUAUAUAUAUAUAUAUAUAAAUAAAUAAAUAAUUAAAAAAAAGCCAUCAGCAGCAGCUCGCUUCCUCUUCAGCCCACAAACCCCCAAAAGCCCAGGCCCCGUUCUUGGACCUACAUCUUUCAGUUUCUGCAACGUCCAGGCCCAACCACUCAUUCGACCACUUCACUGCCUUCAUCAGAAUCAAAUUGUGGUUGUCUAUUGCCGUUUCUUCCAGAGGGUUUCGACAUGCCGGUGAGUCCUUGUCUGUUUACACAAUGGAGAAACUACAUGAAGCCAACUAGAAGAGCAUCUGGAUCCAGAUUUGAAACGCCGGCUAUGGAAGCUGAUGUUCAACUUCCGGUCCUUCAACUUCCCCUCCUCCUUCUCCGACGCCUUCGGGCGGGUCCGAUCGAGCGUCGCCUACUUCCGGAUGAACUAUGCCAUUGUGGUGCUCCUGAUCCUGUUCCUCAGCCUGCUCUGGCAUCCGAUCUUUCUCAUCGUCUUCCUCCGCGACGAGCCGCUGGUACUAUUCAAAAAAAAAAAAACGGUAGACGACCGCGUCGUUUUGAUCAUGCUGGCGAUCGUGACGAUCGUGCUGUUGUUCUUGACCCACGCGACGGUGAAUAUUCUAGUGGCACUGCUGAUUGGGAAUUUGGGGUUGUGUUGGUGAUUGCACAUGAGGCGUUGAGGAAGACAGAUGACUUGCUGGUGGACGAAGAGAACUCUACGUUAUUGACUACGCCUGCAUCUUCCUCUGCAUCGUCCUCCAGGCCUAGUUCCUUUGCACCUCAUCAGCCCAAUAUCGCCUCUAAUCCGGCUAAAAAAGGCUCUAUUUCUCCAGCUGGAAAUACACUAGCACAUCAUCUCCAUGAUCCUCACCAUGCUCAUCACACUCGGUGCUCUCACUAUCAAGUCCAUCACAGGAUCACAUGGCAAGACGCCGGAAAAGAGGAGCUCAUCGAAUGGUCAUCCUACUUGGGCCUGCUGUGCCUCAAAUUGAUCUUGUGUUGCAAAGCGAGAGUGUACUGGAGGGUAAUUUGGUGCAGAUUGAUUUGGCUGCUUCUAAGCUUGGGUUUAGUUCCUCGCUCUUGUUCAGACAGACAACUUGUGCAAACUUCAACUUCACUUCUAAUGCUUAAGAAGUUAGAGGAUCUUAUGAUUCAACUGUUAUUUGUAAUUCUUUUCAUUUUGGUAAUUACAUUAUGAAUAAUGGUCAGGAUGAUUGCGAUUAAAAAAAAAAAAAAAAAGGCCACCGGAGCUACUAUAGCACUGGUAAAUGGAAGAUGUUGAGGAAUCCUCCAAUUUGUUCCUUGACGACGGGGUUGAAGAAAGCUGCACCACUUUCCGCUGUGACCCUCUUCCAUUUCUCACUUCCUCUCCUACCCUCCAUGGAAGCUCUAUGUGCCCUCCACUUCUACUGGUAAAAUAUCAGCUUGAGCAUCAUGUGGCGGCAACUACGACACAUGAAUGGUAUGCGUGAACCAGCUGGCGACGAAUAUGAACGAAACAAGGAAGUUCCGGGACUACAACUGCUUAGUCUUCUCCUCUGCAUGGCACAUCACCAUCUCGUCAUCUUUUUCUCUACAAGGCACAGCAACAUCUUGGCUCGUCCUUAAGCAACGGUGUGUCCUCAUCUUCGCAGGAAAACAGCAACGACAGUGCAAUGGCUGUGCAAUGGCGGCAGUGCAAGGCGACAAGAAUGCAGUGGCGGUGCAAUGGUUGUGUAGUGGCAGUGGCAAACAGCAACGACGAAGAACUUCAAUAACCGCCGUCAAACGACUAGCCGGUCAUGAAGCCUCGAUUGCAGCUCUCCGUCCGUCUUCAUCCUUUCCUGCAAAUUCCCCAUCCCGUCAUCCAAAUUUAUACAAAAAAAUAAAAAAUAAAAAAUAAAAAAAUAAUAAUAAUAAAUAAAAUAAAAAUAAAUAAAAUAAAAAUAAAAAUAUAUAUGGUGGAACACUGCACCAUGAUUAAAGAAAAAAUAAAAUAAAAUAAAACAAUAAAAUAAUAAAAAUGAUGAUGAGGGAACAUGGUGCGUCUGGCACAAAAGGAUAGUGGGUGCAUGAUUAAAAUAAAAAAAUGAUGAUGGUGCAUCUAGCACCAUGUGACAAAAAAAAAAAACAAAAAAAAAAAGGGAAGUGGUGGUGCAUCUGGCACCAUGAGAAACAUGUGAAAAUAUAUAUAAAGCAUUUAGUAAAGCCCAUCUUUUAUUUAUUUCUCUAAAAAAAUUUUACAUAAAUUCGCAUUCCACAUGCCAUAUAAAAAAAAAAAAAGACAAAUCAAAUUUACAGGAGGGGAUCUUCAAGGUUGAUCAGAUGGCGCCUCAGUACUCGGCGGAGCCUCAGAUCGAAGAGGCACCAGAGGGUGAUUAUUCAAAGCCUCAUCACUCGGCGAAACCCCAGGAGGAGGAGGCACCGAAGGUUGAUCAUUUGAAGCUUCAUUACGCGGUACAGCCCUAGAAGACGAAGGCAAAUGCUGUUGGAACAAACCCACAAACCUCUGAUGAUCAAGUAAAAUCUGACCAUCAGAUUCCUGCAUCUGGUCAAUCUUCCUCUUCAUGUUUGUAGCAUAGUUAUGUGCGAGCCUGUGCAACUGUUUAUUCUCAUGUUUGAGCCCUCUAAUCUCCUGUUUGAGACUCAUCACUUCAGCCGCCAAUGAUUCAACUUGACGGGUUCGAGCAAAUAGGAGUUGGGCCAUAUUAGAUACAGAACCUGCACACUGCACACUGAGAGCCAGAGAAUCCUUAACAGCCAACUCAUCAGACCGUUUGGAAAGUAGUCUGUUAUCUCUGGGAGUGAUAAGGUUCCGGGCCACCAUUGCAGCGGUUAUAUCAUUCUUCAUCAUCGAAUCCCCAAUGGUAAGAGGACCAGUAGGGGAUAUGAAAGAUGGACGCCAUAUGUUGUCUGGAGAAGGUAGGACUGCCUCUUCACCAAGGUUCAAGUUAAAACGACGGUCGGAGGUCCAGACAUUUUCAAAGGUGUUGAAAGAAAGAAGAGGUCGGACGAAUCAAUAUCUUAGAAGUGCAAGAAGGGAGUUUCUACAAGCGAAAAUUCAAGUGUGCUUUGAAACAAACUGCGUGCUUCUAUAAAAAAUCAACACUCGACGAGAUUUCAGAGAUCAAAGAGGCGAGCUCAGAAUUCGAAGAGGCCCAUUCAAAAAUCGAAGAGGCAAGCUCAGAAAUCGGGGAGGCAUUUUGCUUUUCCAGACGCGUCAGCACCCAUCACACGCGAACUCAGCUUUGCGGAAAUCACGGGUAAUUUAUCAAAGCACCGAUCCCAGAUAUCGAAGAAGCGCCAGUCUUUUUCAGCCUCGUCAACACCUGUCACAUGCACACUCAGCCUAGCGGAAAUUACGAACAAUUUGUCGAAGAUUUCUGAUAAAGAAGAAAGCAUGUGAAGUCAUACUGAUCAAUCACACAUUGGUUGCCGACACGAGUGAAAGAAUAGUACUUUUACAGGUAUUAAAGAACCUCCUAUAACUGUCCACCUUCACCCUCCAUAGCAAGGUAAACAUACAGAACCUUUCUUCAUCUCCGAGAAUGUCUUCCCAACGAAGCCUCUCGAGUCACUCAAUGUUCCUUAUUCCUUGGGGUAUCUCUGCAAGCAAAUGACACCAAAGCAAAAGUAUCUCAUAUCACCAGGGUAGAAAGCAAGAGUAUCUCAUAUCAUGUUUUCUCCCUAUCCUUUCCUUUGUCCUUGUUCUUACUUACAAAGACAAGGAUAAAGAAAACAAUAUGCCGAAACCUCCACUCAAACUCGGGUAAGGAAUCGACUACUUGGAACCUUUGCCUGGUUGCUUACCUGGCAUUGCUCUCUAGUACUCAUCUUCAGCUGCUGAUGUACUUCCAAAGAAGAUGCCACAUUUGCCUGGAGAACAGAUAAGGCAAGUGAAAAUGAUACCUUGCAGCAUGUGGAGACAACGUGCAGAAGAAACAAGCAGAGAAGAAUGCAGCCUGCACAGUCAACUCAGCAAAAGGAGUCUAAGUUGAGGAACUCAAGAAGCUGCCACAUCUGCUUGAAGAACAAAUAAGGAAAUGUGGCAUGCACAAUCAACUCAGCAGAAUGAGUCCGAGUUAAAGAAUUAGAGAGAAGAAGGGGUCUGAGUUAAAUCCAAAAGCUCGAGAAGCUUUAACGACAUAUUGACGGCACCAUCGCCGAAAAGCAAAGCCUCGCUGUGCAACGCUGUCAAAUCGCCACCACUUCUUCAAAAGCAAGAGUAUUUCAUAUCAUGCUUUCUCCAUGUCCUUUUCUUUGUCCUUGUUCUUACCUGCGGGACAAGGAGAAAGAAAGCAAUCAGCCAGCACUUGGUAUCAAUCUUCCGAUCUGGAACCGACUGCUUGGAAACCUUCCCUGAUUGCUUACCUAGCACUGCUCUCGAAGUACCCAUUAUCUCAACAUCUUAUGCUUCCAGAGAAGAUACCACAUCUGCCUGAAGAACAGAUAAGGCAAGGGAAAAUGAUACAUUGAAGCAUGUGGAGACAAGCACAACAAAGCACGUGCCGAUUCACCCGCUACUUCUUCAAAAUCAAAAGUAUCUCAUAUCAUCAGGGUUGUAAUCACUCUGGGUGGAGGAUUCGUUUUGACCCUCAAAUUCUUAGGUUUACUCACUAGGCGUUGUGGGCUGCACGUGCUGAUUCACCACCCUUGAAUCAAAUCCUUAAAGAUCAAGUCACCAACCGGAAGAAGAGCCCAUCAAUCUUGAAGAUCAUACCGUUGACCAAACUGCUCAGGUGUGAAUUAGAAAGAUUGAACAAAGCAACAAGUCGUCACCUUCACCUCAUGCCUGCUUGCCAUGUGUUCGAGUCAACCUUCAAGAAUCAAGCCUUAACGGCCCUUAAAGAAGCUUCCAGCCAAAGUUCAAGAUCAAGCCUCGACGGCCCUUGAGGAAAUCGCAAGUCCGAUUCAAGAUCAAGCAUCCACCAUAUUUGAAUCAAAUCCAGUUCAAGAAUAAGCUGUGGAAAAUCAACAAUUGGAGGAAUCCAGAAAAUCCUCCAACCCAGUUCAAGAUCAAAGCUGUGGAAAGUCAACAAAGCGCAAAAACAAAUACGUACCGAUUCAUCCACUACCAAAGCCAAAGAUCAUCUACCACAUGAAGCUCCUUGUGGUCCAAUUUCAACCUUCAAGAUCAAGCCUCGACGACCUUUGAAGGAAUUUCAAACAAAGUUCAAGAACAAGCCUCAACGGCCCUUGAAGAAAUCUCAAGCCCAAUUCAAGAUCAAGCCUCAACGGCCCUUGAAGAAAUCUCCAACCCAAUUCAAGAUCAAGCCUCGACGGCCCUUGGAUCGACAUCUACAUUAAGGGACUUCAAAACGCAUCUCCUACACGCGACAAGCACAUGUAUACAACGCGCCUUGAAGUGGGGGCAUUUGUAGACAUCGAAAUUUCAGUAAAUAAAUGUUGACCGAUAAAUCAAAGUUUCAACGCUCAUGUAUUACAUAAAUUUUACACGUAGCGUGUGUCUAAACAAAAAAUCAAGAAUCAUCGAAAAAGUCAUCAAACAGGACACAUGUCAACACCUGGCAGGAACGACUUAUUUCAUCUGGAAUAUUAUAUUCAAAAUUAGGCCUUGGAAAAUUCUAUAAAUAGAAGCCAAUUUCAUUCAUUUUAGAGGACCAAAAUCAUUAGGCAAAAUUCUUGAAGCUCUGAAGCUCUGAAACUCCAAAGCUCUCAAGCAUCCAGGUUCCCGAAGAAUCAAGAAAGCUUUCUUCGUUCUUCAUUCUUCCAAGAUCAAGCCCCGACGGCCCUUGGAUCAACAAUCAUCCACCUUCAAGAUCAAGCCCCGACGGCCCCUUGAAGAACUUCCACCAAUUCAAGAUCAAGCCCCGACGGCCCUUGGAUCAACAACAUCAACAAAUCCACACAUCCAACCGUUCUUCAAGAUCAAGCCCAAAAGCCCUUGAAGAUCCGUUCAUCACUGUUCUUCAAAGAUCAAGCCCAAAAACCCCUUGAAGAUCCGUUCAUCACCGUUAUUCAAGAUCAAGCCUCAACGGCCCUUGAAGAAACGCUCAUCCUCAAGAUCAAGCCCCAACGGCUCCUUGAAGAUCCGCUCAAAUCCACCUUCAAGAUCAAGUCCAUGGCCCUUGAAGAACGUUCAUCCUUAGAUUCAAGCCCAACGGCUCUUUGGAUCAAUCGCACAUCCACAAAUCAACACCUUACGGAGAUCGAAUCAGAGGAUCAAAUUUAAGAGAGAUUGUAACCCAAAAUCAUCAAAUAUAAAUAUUAUUUUGUGCACGUUGUUCUUGUCUCUUUCAUUUCAGGAAAUUUUCGUGUUCACACAUAUGUUUAGAAGAAUAAAAUAAAAAUAAAAAUAGAUAUGUUAGUAACUACUCCCUCCUAUACAUGAGGAAGUUUUUUUUUGUAUUUUUACAAUUUUUUUUACAGGGUGUUCAUGCUUUCCCAUUGGACAAAAAACUGAUCGAAAAUGUAUAAAAUUAGAAAGAGAGACUACAAAUAUUCCUCACCUCCUUCAUUUAGUGUUUUCAUGACUUCGUUCAGCUUGUGUGUGCGUGUCUGUACGUACUUGUUAAUAUAUUAUCCUCUUAAAAGAAAGGGAGUUUUUUAUUUUGUAUUUUUACAAUUUUUUUACAAGGUGUUCAUGCUUUCCCAUUGGACAAAAAACUGAUCGAAAAUGUAUAAAAUUAGAAAGAGAGACUACAAAUAUUCCUCACCUCCGUCAUUUAGUGUUUUCAUGACUUCGUUCAGCUUGUGUGUGCGUGUCUGUACGUACUUGUUAAUAUACUAUCCCGUUAAAAGAAGGGGAGGUUUUUUUUUUUUUUUUUGAGGAAUGUUGACAUGCUGUACCAGCUGAGUACAUGAUUGCUUACAAAUCGUAUAUGUGGAACACUGAGCACAAACAUUAUCACUGCCCAUAAUAUGAAGCACCAUGAAAUAGGGGUUGAGGUAUCUAUCAUUUUCCUUUCUAAGUUUGAAGAAAUCCUCUGGUCCGACAAUCGGAUUAUGUGUUUGUGCGGCUCUACGAGUCUAAGACACAAAAAAAAAAAAAUGACUACCCUCUUCUUUGUGAAGAUAUGAAGGUAAAAGAGUCUCACAUCGGUGAAAAGAAAGGAUUUAUAAGAGAUUGAGAUACUCUUUAUAUUGCUAAUUAAUUUUAUGAUGAAACUCCAACUUUCUUAACCCUCAUAAUUUGUUAUGCUAUAAGUUGCAAACCUUGAUUCACUCUUUGGUCCUACCUCCCUCUCACAUGCCCUAGUCCGGCUUCUCCACACGAGACCCUCUCCAAAGUUUGAGUAUCAUAUACAUGAAAGGCCGGCUGGCGACUAGAUCCCAAGAUUAAUAUACAGAAACUCCAGUAGAGCCGAAAAGGAUGUGAUUUAUCUUUGACAGAUAUAGGAAAUUAAGCAAGUGAUUGGUUUAUAAAUUAGCGCCAUUAAUUUACGAUUCGAUAUUUUUAUCUUUUUUAUAUGGGACCUUUAAUGAAAAUAAUUUUUUCUAACUUUUUAUUAAAAAAAACUAUCUAAUAACUUUAUUUAAUGAAAAUAACUUAAACUUUAAUGAGAGGAACUUAAAUUUUAAUAAAAAAAUAAAUUAAAUUAAAAAGUAAUAAAAACUGAUGCGCGGGGUCUAGUGCGACCAUCACAAGAGAUUUUUUAGUGUAACCAGAACACGGGAUGGUACACCAUAUGUCACCAUAUAAAUGGUGGGAUAUGUGUGCUAAAAAGUAUGUCACUAUAUAAAUGGUGGAAUAUGUGUGCUAAAAAGUUAAUAACUUGAAAAAUAAAAUUUCCAACCACUUGAAUAAAAACACGUGGUGUACCAUCUAUAUUCCGGUUACAAUGAAAAAUUUCCCGUCUAUCACACACACUCUCUCCUCUUCCUCACUAUUUUUUAAACUGAAAGUUGUCUAUUUCUGAAACUGAACACUGGUACUACACUACUUAAAUUGAAUACUAACUAUUUCUGAGAAUUUAACACAUAUACUAUCUCUAUUUCUUAAACUGAAUACUGGUAUUAUCAUUUUUCUUAAACUGACUAUUGUGGAAUGUUUUGAAUGUCAUGGAACAAAUAGCUUAUGGAGAAUAUAAGAUGAGUAUAGAUGAAAUAAUUUUGAAUUUGUUACUUAUUUUGGGCACUUUUGGCUUGAUUGAAGAAUGAUUGUCCACUGCUCGCACGUAGGAAAUCCGAUGUGCCUCGAGGGUAAUUUUGUCAUUUUUAUUAAAAAUCCACGUGUCGCCUUGUGAUUAUUUUUGGCUCCACAACUAUUUCUGAAACUGAACACUGGUACUACACUAUUUCAUAAAUUGAAUAUUUCUAGAAAUAAAGACGAGCACUAUUUUUGAAACUGAACACAGGUUGGCUUGCGCUUUACAUACACUUUUGAUUGGUUUUUUUUCUUACUUUUGAAAUUUUUUUUCAUUAGUUUUUCUUUUUAUACUUUUUAAAUAAAUGUUUAACAAGGAAAUUGUCACGAUGACUUUUAUUUCCUAACUAUUUCUUAGACCAACUUAUGGGUCAAAAUUGUCUCACUAUUCACAAGAACUUGAUAAUUUCUUCAUUGAAAAUUUCAUAUCGAAUUAUUUGUUGUAAAUAUACUCUACAAGUUAAAUUAUGUGAUUAGGUCUAAUUAAUAUACGUCCAAUAUUAAAAAAGAAAACAAGAGUCUAACAUCUCUUUCCUUUUCUUUUGACUGACCAUGAGAUCUAUCAUGAGGUAACGAAGGUGUCGACGAAAUUGUGCUUGUACUUUUUUUUUUUCCAAUGGAAAAAUGAAUCCUGUAAAUUUGUAGUGAGAUUCUAAUGUGUGUGGUUAGGCCAAUGUUCCAAACUUUAAACAUCAUCUUUAAUUUUGAAGAAUGAUUAAUUCAUUAGCAUAUAUGCCAAUUUCUCGCACUUUAUGUAUUACUUUACGUAAUCACAGGUGAACUCCUUACAAAUUAAAAGCAAACUUCGCGGUAAUGUAUAGGUAAUUUCCUUAUAUUGUGAAAAAAAAACCCUAACAUUCUCCGAAUAUAUAGAGAGCAUUGGCCUAGCUUCAUGACUAUAAAUAUGGGGGUUAUCUAAGGUCUUGAAGCCAUAAUUAACACAUUGAAUGGAGAAAAAAAAAAAAAAGAUAUAAAAGAUGUUGAGGGAUUCAUGUCGUAGGAGAGAUGGCACGAGCUACGCUCUAGCUAGCAGAAUGUCCCAUCCUCCUGCAACAUGGAACCCUUUAUUUCUUUGUGCAAAUGUACUAAUUUCUUUAUUCUAUUGAAGAAAAAUGCAGCAUUCUCCAAAUCCAUUGAGAGGAAGGGAGAAAGGGAGAGAGGGAGAGAGGUAUCUCUAAAGAAGUGAUGAAUUAAGAUAGGUGGUGGAUUUAUGUUUGCAGGAGAGAUGGCACUAAUUGUUCUACAUCUAUUAGCAAUUGUUGUCAUCUCUCUUGUGACCAAAAGCUCUACACGACUUCUACGACUUUGAUCUUUCUCUACAACAUUUGUGGUUUUUUUUUUCCCACGACAUGAUUUUUAUCUUAUGGUUGUAGAUUAAUUAUCUGAAUAAUAUAUUAUCAAUUACUUAAGCUUGACUUUAUCAAGAUAUGAUUGUUUUUGCUAGGCAUCUAUUGCAGACACCUUAUAUUGUUAAUUAAAAUAGGCAUAUCGUGAUUAUGAUAAUCUGAUGAUCUAACCACACUAAAACGUGGAUUAAAAAAAAUCGUUCUAUUUGGAACUGUAAAUAAAAUAAAUUCGUAUAAUUUGUUAACUAUGAUCAAUAUUAUACAGUAAGGAAGACUAAGAAUGUAACAGACUUAGAGAGAGAGAGAGAGAAAGAACUUAGAGAGAAGAUGAAUAUCUCUGAUAUAUUUCUUAACUUCCAAGUAAUACAGUGUUGAGGUAUUUAUAGUCUUACACUUACACAGCUAACUUCCUUAACUAACUUCUUCUCUAAUCUAAUUACAAGUGGCAACAUCUUAUACACCAAUAUCUCUAUUCUAUCAUCCCCCCGCAAACACAUGAUUCGAUGCUCGAAGCAUGAGGUUGGUACAGUGAGUACGAAACAGAGGAGAACUCAACCCUUUAGUCAAAAUAUCAGCAAAUUGCUCUUUAGAGGACACAAACUGAAGAGAAAGUUGUCUUGGCAACGCGUUCUCGCACAAAAUGAACAUCAACCUCUAUGUGCUUAGUACGUUGAUGUUGAACCGGAUUAAAAGCCAAAGCAAUGGUGGACAAAUUAUCACAAAAUAAAACCGGAGGUGAUGUAAGAGGAACCUGCAGAAAGACUAACAGUUGCUUAAUCCAGUCUAAUUCAGCGGAAGUAGAGGACAAGGCUCGAUAUUCAGCCUCUGUGGAUGAGCGAGAAACUGUCAAUUGUUUCUUUGAAGACCAGGAUAUAGGAUUGUUUCCUAAAAACACAGCCAUGCCAGUGGUAGAACGCCUAUCAUUAGGGUCACCUGCCCAAUUAGCAUCACUAAAGGCUUUUAAUUGCAGUGGUCCUUGUGAAUAAGUGAGGCCAUGAUGAAUGGUACCCUUUAAGUACCUCAAAAUGCGUUUGACAGCAGUGAAAUGAGCAAUCAUAGGCUGUUGCAUGAAUUGACAUACUUGAUUGACAGAAAAUGCUAUAUCUGGCCUUGUAAAUGUGAGGUACUGCAAUGCACCGACUACACUCCUGUACAACGUUGGAUUGGUAUAAGGAGCACCAUCAUCUUUGAGAAGCCGGUUAUAGGGCAAACAGGGAGUCUCACAUGACUUGGACUCAAGCAUCUCAGUUUUAGUAAGGAGAUCCAAAAUAUAUUUGGAUUGAGACAAACAUAAGCCAUGUGCAGUGCGAGAGAUUUGAAUGCCCAGAAAGAAAUGCAGAUCCCCCAGAUCCUUGAUAUCAAAUUCCUUGGUUAAAGCACUAAUAACCUGUUGCAUAGCUGCAUCUGCAUUCCCUGUGAUAAUAAUAUCGUCCACAUAAAGCAGCAAGAUGACAAUACCAGAGUCAACUGUCUUGACAAACAGAGAGGAGUCAGAAUAAGUGUGUUGAAAACCCAAAAGAGGCAAGAACUUGGUAAAUCGGUCAUUCCAAGCUCGAGGGGCUUGCUUAAGUCCAUAUAGGGACUUGUGCAACUUGCAAACAAGGUGAGAAGUAGUGACAUCAUCAAAACCAGGAGGCUGGGUCAUAUACACCUCUUCAUCCAAAAUGCCAUGUAAAAAGGCAUUCUUGACAUCUAGUUGCCUAAGGGGCUAAUGAAAUUGAGCUGCCAAAGCCAAUACUAGGCGAACCGUGGUAGGUUUAACCACAGGACUGAAGGUUUCCCCAUAAUCAAGACCCGGUUCUUGACUAAACCCUUUAGCAACAAGCCGAGCUUUAUGGCGAGCAAUAGUGCCAUCAGAAUGUUUCUUGAUCUUGAAUAUCCAUUUGCAACCGACCAAGUUCUUUGUAGAAGGUAAUACCACCAAACUCCAAGUACCUUGUUUAUGUAAAGCACUGAUCUCCUCUUGCAUAGCUUUCAACCAAGUAGGAUCCUUCAUUGCUGUUUUAUAAGAAGUUGGUUCAAUAAGGGACAAAUCAGUGCAGUCAGACUCCUGAAUAGUAGCUAAUAAAGCUUUGGUCUUGAUAAUACCACUUUUGCUCCGAGUUUGCAUAGGAUGCAAAUUGAGGGGUGGAACCUCCAACACCACUUGCAAAGUAUCAGGACCAAAGGACACUGCUGGAGAAGCAUCAGAACCAGGGACAAGUGCCACAGGGACAGGGACAGGGACUAGAGAAUGAGAAGUGGAAGAACCAGUAAUGGAUGGAACAGAUAGGGGUGAAGAAGGAAUAUGAGAGAUGGAUAUGGGAGAAGGAGCAGGUGAGGAUGAGGAGGCAGGAUUGGUAUGAGAUGAUGGUGAUCGAAAUGAUGAAUGAGACAUAGGUAACACAACAUUGUCAUUAGAAAUCACAGGUGCGGGAAGUGUGAAAGUAGGAACUGAAGAAGAGUUAUAUGAGUUUGUAGAGUGGACCAACACAGUUGUGUAAGGAAAUUGAUCCUCAUCAAACACAACAUGUCUCGAAAUAUAAACUCGCUGUUUAGAAACCUCAUAACAUAUAUACCCUUUAUAUUUGGUAGCAUAACCCAGAAAAAUACACUUGGUGGUCUUGGCUUGUAAUUUAGUAGAAUUAUAAGGCUUUAACAAAGGAUAACAUGCACACCAAAAAAUUCGGAGAUGAGAGAUAACAGGAAGAUGACCAAACAAAAGUUCAAAAGGAGAUUUAUGUCCUAGCACAGAAGAGGGCAUUCGAUUAAUGAGGUAGACAGCUGUUUGACAAGCAUACGACCAAAAACUAGCAGGUAACCUAGCUGUUUGUAAUAGGGUCACAGUAGUUUCAAUAACAUGCCUAUGCUUUCGCUCGGCUAGACCAUUUUGCUCGGGUGUAUGUGGGCAAGAAAGUUGAUGAGUAAUUCCCUUAUCAAGAAGAAAGGACUGAAAAGCCUUACUAACAUACUCACCCCCUCCAUCACUCUGUAAGGUUUGAAUAGCAGUUGAAAACUGAGUAAGAACAAAUUAAUAAAAUGCAACAAAAGUAGCAAAGACAUCAGAUUUGUUGAUCAAAGGAAACAGCCAACAAUGUCUUGUAUAUUCAUCGAUAAAGGUCUCAUAAUAUCUGUAACCAUCAAUGGAAAUAGAAGAAGCUGGACCCCAAAGAUCACUAUGAAUAACAGCAAAAGGUUUUACAGACUUAUUGGUACUUAGGGAAAAGGGAAGUUUACAAAACUUGCUCUCCAAACAGCUAGAGCACAUUACAGGUAAUGAAGACUUGGAACAAGGAAUAUUAGCUUGCUUUAGCAUCAAAGAACCAAUGUUAUUAGAUGGGUGACCUAGUCUGUUAUGCCAGGUUGUAGAAUGAACAUGCUGACCAAGGAAUGCUUUAGCUGGAAAUGGAGCUGAAUGUGUAGAAUGAGAUGUGGCAGAAAGACAAGGGAUGGGAUAGAGGCCAUUACUGCAUUUUCCCUUGUAAAUGAUCCUCCCUGUGGCCUUGUCCUGAAUCCAGAAGCAGAAAGCAUCAAAAAUUAGCCAGCAGUUAUUAUCUAAACAGAUUCGAUGCACAGAUAACAAGUUGUGUGUCAAUUUCGGAACAUAAAGCACAGAAUUGAGCUUAAUUGGAUGCACAGAAUUCAAUUUGGAAACAUUGAGAACUGUGCUACCAAUAUGAGACACAGGCAAACCUUCACCAUUGGCAGUUUGAAUAGUCUCAGAUGUAGGAUAUGGCGAUGCCAAAGAGAGGUUACUGAGAUCGGCAGUCAUGUGAUUAGUGGCUCCAGAGUCAGUGAUCCACACUUGAGGAUCGGAAUAAGAAGGAGACGGUGAAGAUGGUGACUGAGUCAUCACAGUAUGUAAUGCUUGUGGAGAUUGUUGAUGAGGAUGAAAAUUUUGAGAUUGCAUUGAUGAAUGCUGAAAUGGAGCAUUAUAGCUUGGAGCACCAUAUGUGGAUGGGUGCACUUGAGAAGGAUAGAACUGUCGGGUAGGACCACCAAAAUUAGGACCCUUGUCAUUGAAAAAACAGUACCAUGUGCUGUGAUUGUGCUUGCCACAUAUUUGACAUGGAGCUUUAUCAGGAGGUUUAGACUGGCAAUAUAGAGCAGUGUGUCCUUCAACAUUACACGUUUGACAAGUAGGCAGCAAUGGUGCACUUGGAUGACCAAAAUAUGGUACUGGUGAUUGACCAAGUAUUCCUGGACUUGGUGUAGGGAGCACAUGAGUUUGAGUAUACUGUUUGGGUGAAUAGAACCAAGCCCCUUGAUGAAACUUGCCUUUCCCUUUGUUUUUAUUCCCAUUAAACAGCUUGUAACCUCCAGAAAAGAAUUGAGACUGCCCAGAUGCAAGAUUAGGUGAGUGAUUCUUGCCAGAAUGAGAGACAGUAUUAGCAACCAUGGCAGUGAUAUAAGGUGCAGUUGUGGAAGUUUCGACAAUGACCUCUUCAGCAAGCAACUGAGAUCGAAACUCCUUAAGAGAGAUCACAUUCUCACGACCCCGAAUAACACAGCGAAAAGUGUUAUAUUCAGAAGGUAACCCAUUGAGAGCAAGAAUAACUAUAUCCUCAUCCGCAAAAUAAACCCCAGCAGCAGAUAAGUAAUCUCUAGCCUCUUUAAUUCUAUAAAGAUACUGAGACACCGAAUCAGACCCUUUCUUUAUCGUCUGAAGAUUUGACUUCAUUUGAAAAAUGCUAGUCUUAGACACUGUAGAGAACUGUUCUUUCAGACGAAUCCAAAGAUCCUGAGAACUCUUACUACCAAUAGCACAAGACAACGCAACAGGAGACAAAGUGGCUGUGAUCAAUUGCAUUAUAGCCCGAUCAUGCAUUUUCCACACCACAAAUGCAUCGGAUUCAGCAGAAGUACAAGAGCCAGAGUCAGUAGGAGAAACUGCAAAUUGAAGUGGACAAGGGUGCGAGCCAUCAACAAACCCCAUAAUACCAUUGCUUUCCAACAAAAGUUGUAUCUGAAAAUUCCAAUUGAGAUAAUUGGAGUCAUCCAAUUUGACAUUAACCGAAGUCGAGAUUGUGGAGAUUAAAGCAGUAAUCAGAGAUUGCAAAAUUUGAAGUUGCGUUGCAGUCACCAUUGAAAUUUCGUCUGAAAAACUCUCAGAGGAAUAAUAGCAAACAGUUGAUAUGCAAGACGGAAGGAAGCAGAAAAGAUGAUCGAAGAAAGAUCACGACCACCCAAGAAACCUAGAAAUCCAAAUUAGAGGAAGACGAAGAGAAUCAGAGAUCAGAAAAAACACAAAUCAAGAAGAACGAAUACACCUUCAAUCGGAGCGGAAGCAGAGGAUCGAAGAUUAUGCGCAGGCAACAAUGGCAAUUGAUACCAUGUUAACUAUGAUCAAUAUUAUACAGUAAGGAAGACUAAGAAUGUAACAGACUUAGAGAGAGAGAGAGAGAGAGAGAGAGAAAGAACUUAGAGAGAAGAUGAAUAUCUCUGAUAUAUUUCUUAACUUCCAAGUAAUACAGUGUUGAGGUAUUUAUAGUCUUACACUUACACAGCUAACUUCCUUAACUAACUUCUUCUCUAAUCUAAUUACAAGUGGCAACAUCUUAUACACCAAUAUCUCUAUUCUAUCAUAAUUAGAUGAUGGAAUUGCAUGAUGAUCUCAUAUAUAUUUAAGUUUCGUCAAUCAUUCAGACUACAUCAAGAGAUUAGGUCAGUAACUUUUAUAUAUAUUUAUAAAUAAAUCUGUACUAAAUAUAUGUGUUAUAUAUUCUGUGUCCCUUAUCCAUGACCAUGAGGCUUUAUUUUUUGUGAGAGCGAAAUUUGAAGUUAAUAUGUUUUUACCUUAUGAUCCCAUAGCUAGCUAGCUAAUAUAAUUUGUGAAUUAUAGUAUUUACAGAACUAGUACCCACUUUAUUAAAAGAAACAAGGAAAAUUGAAGAAAUACUUUACUGGCUCUUUCAUGCCUCUAUAUAAUGCUGCAUCAUAAGCAUUUCGGAGAAGAGAUCUAGCCAGCGGAUCGAAAAACAGUACUAAAAGCGAUCGGAAUAUCAAAGCGUAGGGACUUCGGUCGUAGGUGAGAUGCAGCCGAAUGCCUUGUAUAUUGGGUUGCUUCGGUUUCAAGCUGUAUAUAUAUAGCUAGCCAAUUCGUGGCACCGAGCUUCAUCUGUCCUCGACUGAAGCCUCUCAAGCUUUGUUUCCACAGAAAAGCAACCCAUCUUUAAUUUCUUUGCAAGCUUGGAGAAUGAUCAGGUGUAGUAUUAUUUUACCCUUUUUUUGGCUGUAUUUUGUUGUCUGUUUUGAGUUGUGGCUUCAUACGUAUAUUUUUGUACUAUAAGAUUUUGUUUCAGAACUAAACCUAUGUUCUUGGAUCAAUGGAUCAUGGUAAAUGCUUAUACGCAUGUGCUAGGGAUCGAAAGACAGAAAGUAUGUGUCUGUAAAAUGUGCCGAAAAAUACAAGAAAAAGGCACCAAAAAAAAAAGAAAAAGAAAAAAAAGAGAGUACCUAGCAAAUGUUUUUCCAAGAUCCAGAAGUAAUGCACAUUUGUUUUCCCUCUCCUACCUAGAUCCGGCCACCUACGACGUCUACUUCUACAUAGGCAACGGAGAAACGCAUGGCCUGGUCGGCAGGGGUGUUGAUCAUUAGCUAGCUAGUGAAGGACUCGAACACAUGAUUUCUUCUGAGAAGGGUAUAUUUGUCAAGAUGAAGGCUGAAGGAUGACGAGCUAAUUGGAGAUCUUCUGUUCACAAGGUUCACCGCAAGUUUAGUCAUUUUACAUGUCAUUGCAGUAUUAAUUAGAACAUAGUAAUCAUCGUAAGCCUGCAACUGGUGUUUUUAUCUUGUGCUAAAUAUUCAAGCCAGCUAUGUUUGGAGAUAGCAACAAAUUAGCCUAUUUUCUCUUAGUUUAAUUGAUUUGACUUUAAUUUUACUGGUCCAGAAUAUUAUUUAACUUAUAUAUAUUUGUGUGUAUGUAUAUAUUGUUAAACAAUUAUCUUUUCUUUCCAGUGAUGUGCUCCAUAUAUUCAAUCAACUAAUGAUCCCUGAAGGCAUAAUUUCUUGCAUAGCAAAUGAUUCAAUUAAAUAAUGAUCCAAUGUGGGGUAUAAAUGAUUUCAUGAUAUAUGCUUUUAGGAGUUUCUUUUUCUAGGGUUGAGAGAUUCUCCCUCUGUAGAGCACUUUAAGGCCUCAUUUAGCACGUUGUAUAAAGUAUUGGAUAUGACUAAUAGUACAAAGCCAAUUGUUUGAUGCAUUUUCGUAUUAAAUAGCCAACUGACUAAUUAUUCAGACUCAUUUAUUUUAUCCGGUCUACACCUGCUAACUAAUACACUCCAAAAUGAAGGAUAAUUAGUCGGCUUAUCUCUCUCUUCGUUCCUCGUUCUUCUUCCUCCAACCAAGGUGUUUCCUUCUACCCAACCAACCAUGGCAGCAAUCGGAGUGAUCCUGGAAGUCAUUCCAAAGCCAAUCGUCGCAGACCCUAGUCUCCUAUCCCUCUAUAUUUUUCUUUCAGAUCUUCGCGAGCCAAGAUUAUCCAGAAUGUUUGGGGAGACUUCAAAGAGAUUACCUAGUGCAGAGCAAUCCUUCUCUUUUUCCUUCCAUAUUCUCACCUUUCAUCUAUUCUUUUUUUCUAAUUUCUACAACAGAAUAAAAACCAGAAGAAAAAAAGAAGGCCAUGCCUUGCCUGCGCAAUUUUUUUUUUUAUAAAUUUCGUUCAAAUUUGUUUGAAAGUUCAAAAUCCUUGUUCAAUCCAUUUUCAAUUAGUGGGCAAGAGGGUAAGAUUUGUAUGGGAGGAUGGGAUUUAAUGCGUAGGGAGGAAGAUGGUGAAGAAAUGAAGUAGAGAAAUCUGGAUUCUUUUUUCUUACUUUCUUUUUUUUUUCUUUUUUUUCUGUUUUUCCUAAUUUUUUUUUUCAUUUUAACAUCAAUUAUUAAGUUAAAAUUAUUAUAGUUUGACAUAUUAUCCGAUGUAAAAAUUAAUUUGACACUGCAUCAAACAUUGAAUUAUUACUUAGAAUUAUCUGAUACAUAGAUUAGGAAGUUUGAUUAAAAUAGUUAAUACAGUUCGACGUACCAAAUGAUGUCUAAAAAGUGGUGGUAGUGGUUUCAACCGUCAAUUCAUACAUUUCCAAUCAGUUAAGUUUAUCAGUUUAUGUUUACUGUUUUUUUAAUUUAUAAGCAUUUAGUUGAUCUUCAUUACAGUUGCACAAUAGAGUUUUUCUUUAGAUUAAAAGAUGGCAAAGAGGUAAAUCUGGCUGGCCAUGAUGAGGUUUUGACGAGGCAUUUACUUUGGGUUGAUUAUACCCUUGUGUGUGUUAAUGAUCAUCAUAAAGAUGUGAAGCACUAACAUCUUGCAUUAACUCACCUUUUUAUCCUUAGUAGAUCUACUAGAUUACCUACCGUAGCAAAGGUUUUUGUGAGAUUUUUCUUUUGAUAUGUGCCCCCCUACUAUGAGACUCAUGUUAACAACUAUUUGUACAUGUCGAGAACUUAUGACAACAACCUCCAUCUCCUAAUCAUGAAGACCCGAUGCAACUACUUCUUAAGUUGUACACGAUAGAAUAUUGUAAUUAGUGUGUUUAUUUGGGAAUGUGAUUGUGUAAACUUAAACAAGAAUCCCAAUAGGAGUUGGAGAUCGAAUCCUCAUAGACCUAGUGUUACUUAUUAGGCAAGAAGAUAGGGCCAAAGAAGGUGAUAGCCCUGUAGAUUCGUUCCCAUGGUUCGAUCCUUCCUAGUAAAACGCGGCAUGUUCGAAUUCUGAUCGCUUUUUACCCGAGAAAGGGGGACCUCCCUUCUUUCCGCCCCUAUCCCUUUUUAUCAACUUUUGUGGAUCGCUCAUAAAUAAACAUACAAGAUCAAGAGAUAAACAUACAAUUCUCAUACAUCUCAGUCAUUCUCUCUCUCUCUCACCACUUUGAAAGUUAGCUUUACAACAACUAACUUUUUUUUUCCUUAAUGAGCUUUGAUCAAGAGAUAAAUAUUUUUACACUUCUUUUAUAACGUAUAUGGGUUCUGGAAUCUAAAUAGGGAAAAUUUAUAUGGAAAAAAAAUAUAAAAACUGGAAGAGAAAUAUCAUGAUAAAGAUUUAAGCAAUAGCUAUCGAUAUUAGCACAUCGUGGAAUUAUAAAGUAAUUUCAUUAUGAUAUAAUUAUUAAUUUUUCUGGGCUAAGAGGAUCGGCAAGAACGAAAAGAUGGAGCAAAUAGCUCAUAAUUAACUACAUCAUUUGCUUCCACGAUUGAAGAUUCUGUUAUUGAAGUGAAUUUAACUUACAAAGUUUUUUUGGUCUUUUAUGAAAGUGUUGAUCGGAAAAAGUUUAUAUGGUUUUCUUUUAUUAAUUAUGUGGAGGACCACAGGCAGCAAAAUAUGGCAUACAGGAAAAAAAGAGAGGAAGAAAGUGGGUUGUGGUCUUAUAAUUUUAGCAUAAUAUUAUUUUGAAUUUUUAUUACAAAUGAUCUCUGGAAUUUAUCUAGUUCAUCAAGAUGGUCCCUGAAUUUGAAAAUGGGUAAUGCUAGGGAGACUAAAUUUGGAUACUAAAUUUGCAAACCAAAUGAUGUGUCACUAAUAGGAAUAAGCACAUUUAUCAACAUUUAAAUAAUAAACCAAUUAUCAAUUUACAUAUUUUUUAGUUUUCAAAAUUUUGUCUUUAAAUUUAGUCUCCCUAACAUUACCCUUUGAAAAUCAAUCAAUAUGAUCCCUGAAAAUGGAUGAUGCAAAUCAAUGUCGUCCUUCUGUUUAAAUUCCGGUAAAAAUUAUGUUAGUGUGCUAACGUCGCACAUUGUAGGCCCCAUACUCCAAUACAUGGUGCCAUGUGAAUUAGAAAAAGUUCAUUUUUAAUUAAAAAAACAAGAAAUGUGUUUAAAAAUUAAAAAAAAAAUAUUCUAAAAAAAUAUAUCUCUAAUAUCUCAAAUUGUCGUCGUCGUCUUCGUCUUCGCACCCAGCCAAACCCAUAUUCUGUCUCCUUGACUUCAACCGGUAGUUUUUGGUACCAAUCAGUGAUUUGCUGCUUUACUUUGUCACCUCCAUAACCUUUCCAAAAACUAGAUUGCUUCGACUAACAUAGAAGACACAACUACAAAAACAAUCUUCUUCUCCAACACUACGACCACGACCACCCUUCUCCGAUCGCACCACGAACAAAUCCAUGGCCGACCGAGGAGGGGAUGCGGCACCAACAAUCAAAUCAGCGAAGUUGAGAGAAGAAGAAGAAGCAAAGCAGCGGCUCCACCGCCCGAGAAGCCGGAGCUGCACGAUUGUUGCGGCAAUGGAUGAUUCCGGUGUGUGUGGAAUGUGUAUUCUGAUAGGAUCAUACAUGGAAUAAGGAGGAAAUGCAGGGAAUUAACAUAAAGUAAAGAGACAAUUGCAGGAAAUUAACAUAGAGAGAAAGGGGGAUCGCGGGAAAUUAAAGAGUAAGGGAAAGAAGCAACUAUGUUCAUUCAUUCAUCCACCCCUUUGCGACGGUGGAGAGAUUGAAAUUCGUGUGCUCUAGCUUUUUGGCGACUCUUGACGGCCCCAACGAGAAAGGAUGGAGUCGAGUUUUUUCUUUUUCGUCUUUUACUUUUUAUUUUUUUAUUUAAAUAAAAACUUAAUUUUAAUCCACAUGUCAUAAAAAUAUUGGAUAGUGGGGGCUCACAAUGUGCCAUGUUAGCACACUAACACAAUUUUUAAACGAAAUGACGACAUUGAUUUGUACUACUCAUUUUCAGAGAUGGCAUUGAUCGAUUUUCAAAUUUAGGGACAAUCUUGAUGGAUUAGGUCAAUUUCAGAUACUAUUCAUGAUAAAAACCUUAUUAUUUUCUGAGCACAUAUUUUAUUUCAACCCAAAAGAUUGAGAGGAGACACGUGCCCCUUGGUCCUCUAUUAGCUUAGUCAUUGGCUAUGUAUCAUAAUCAAGGUAUUAAAUAUCGGUAAUAUCGGAAAUAUCAGUAGUCCGAAAACACGGAAAUAUCGAUGGAAAUAUCGGGAUGAUAUCGAUAUCGAUAAAAAUUACAUGAAAACCACGGAAAUUGUAAGAAAAACUUGGAAAUUUUUAUUGAAACUUUGCAGGAUGUUUAUUUAGUCAAUUAUCUAUUAGUUUAUCACAAAAAAUUGGAAGGAAAUGCAUUGCAUGAUGGAUUUAACAUUAUCAAGUUGAUUAUAUAGCGAGCUGACAAACAUUGUGAGUGUAGAAAAUAUGUAGUAAUUAAUGAAAGAAGUCUACACACCAUAAUCAUUUAUAUAUAAUGAAUUAGUACAAUAUUUUACACUUUAGUACCACAUAGAGUUCCUAUGAGGUUCAAAUUUUUCACUAUCUUCAUCAUCUCUAUGUGUAGAGUGAGUGUAUUGUGAAGAGUAGUUAUCAAAUGAUAAAUCCCCAAAAUAGUUUUGCAUGUAAUUGUUAACAUGCCACCCAUAUGGAUCCGAGAUUGGUUGAGGUUGUCCAUAAGCAAAAUCAUUUGAAGAUUGAGUCUGGGAUUGUUUCCAUGAGUCGCUCGAUUCCAUCCUAACAGGAAUGGGAUAUGAAGGGUAGGGAAAUGGUUGGUUAUGAGUAUAACCAUAGUUACUACUUCCCACUCCAACAAAGUCCGAAAUUCUAGAUAACGAGUCAUCUUCUUGACUUGACAAAAUCCCCUUGCCUCUUUCUCUACGAGUAUAGUCCUUUCCUAUGGCACCAAUUCCUGGUCCUGCCCGCCUACUGCCAUGGUCAUCAUCCUGUGUUGCAUGCGUGAUGUUUGCCUCACCAGUGAAGGGGGUCAUAAAUCCGGGAGGUGGUCCAUAAUAGUUUCCAUAUCCACCACUACUACCUCCAGCUCCACUACCUCCAGCUCCACUGUAUCCUUCAUCAUUCCCACCUCCAGUGGUAGGUGAGUCUCCUGAUCUUGUACUAGAGCUAUCAUUAGUAUCAGCACGAUGUUGUGGUUGUGUAGGAUUGGACGAAGGUGGAAUUCCAGUGUUUCUUGGUCUUGGGUGCAAAAGUUCUUCCAAAGAGUCAGCGCUGCUAGAUCCCACUUCCUCCUCUAAUACUCUUUCUACAUUUAUCCCUUCAUUACGUGCUUCUUCAGCAACUUUGGGAGCUGGGUUGCCUUCAUCAUCAUUUAAAUGAAGAGGUCUAAUCCAUUGAUAAAGUUGGUUACCCUCUGUAUCAUCAUCUUCACCAACAAUAUCAAACACAUCUAGUGGGUCACCACGGUUGACAUGAUCUAUUUCUGCUUCCUUAUCUCGAAUUUGAAGCUUCAUGUUGUAGUAGCAAUAAACUAAUUUUUCCAACCUACUAUGAGCCAACCUAUUUCUUUGCUUUGUGUGUAUGAGUGCAAAUGUGCUCCAAUUUCUUUCACAAGCAGAUGAGGAAGCUGUUUGUGAUAAUACUUUGAUUGCUAACUUUCUCAUAGUUGGUGCAUCGGUCCCAUACAUGAUCCACCAUUCAGCUACAAUGAAAAACAAUGUUGAUAAGCCUAAUAACUCGAACAAAUUCUAUUAUAAACUUAUAGUGAAAUAUGUUUACACUCACUAGGAGACAUUGUUGUUCGAGCAGCAAUUGAUGUUGGUUCUCCAAAAGUUCUUCUUGCAUCUUUAAACCAUGUUAGCUGAAUUCAAUAAAUCGUGUUAGUUUAAUCCAACAAAGUAAUUAUUAUAAUUUAAGUAAUUGUGUACCUCAUUUCCAAAUUGGCCAACUUCUGGUGAUGCAGGGUCCAAUUUAGAGUAUACAUUAUGUACAGCACGUAUAAGGGCACCAUCAUCUCCAACACCGGGUCUGUAUUGGUAUCGAGGAUUCAAAUAAUAUGAUGUUCAAAGAAACACAUACGCUAAUAAGAGAAAAAAUAUUUAUGCAACUAAAGAAAUGAAUUGCAAAUUAUGACAUAAUUUAUACCUGCUGCAUGCAAAUCGUGGUAUAAUGUUUUAUACCAUCGGUCAUCAAUUAUCUUUAUGGCCCACCUUGCACCAGGUUUUCUUUCCAAUUCCUCCUUCACUACACGCAUCAACUCAUAUAUUGCCCCCAUAGUAGGAUACACUUCUGUGUCAACAAUCCGUAAAACUUUGUAAAGAGGUUCUAACACUUGGCACACAUAUUCUGAUUGAGUCCAAAAAGCAUGAUCAAGCACUAUACUUUCCACCAUACGACCUGCAUUUGAGCGGCUCAAAUUGUGGUUGGCCCAAUCUUCACUAGUGAAUAAUUGCUUCAACCCUGCUUUCUUCUUAAGUAGGUUGUCUAAUGCAAUAUAGUUGGUGGCGAAUCGAGUGGUAGCUGGACGAAUAACUUCUCCUUUGCAAAAUUCACGCAUCUUUGCCAACAACCAACCGUGGUUGUAAAUAUAAUUUGUGAUCGUUCUAGCUCUUUUUACAACAUUAGCAAUAUUCUCUCUUCCCCAUUGCCUCAAACAUGAGAUCAAUACAAUGUGCUGCACAUGAUGUCCAAAACACAUUAUGAUGCUUCAUUAACUUUUUUCCAGCUUUAACAAAUGCAGAACCGUUGUCGGUCACGACUUGGACAACAUUAUGCUCUUCCACCUCCAUGAUUACAUCCCUCAAUAACUUGUAAAUAUACUUGUAGUUCUUUAUAUGGUCUGAAGCAUCAACGGACUUAAAAAAAAUUGUCUUUCCCUUGGAGUAUACCAUGAAGUUUAUGAUAGACAAUCUGGUUGGGCCAGUCCAUCCGUCACACAUGAUUGUGCAACCAUUAGUUUCCCACUUUGACCUCAACUUGUUAACAUACUCGUCAAUGUCUUUAUGCUCCAUUUCCAAAUAUUUGUUUCUUACCUCAUAGGGAGUGGGAGGUUGUACUCCAACACUGGCCUAUUGACAUCCCAAUACCAUAUUUUUGAAAUGAUGUGAUGAUGCCUUCUCAGCAAGGACAUUUUCAUAGAUAAAGAACUUGCUAAUUAGACGCCCCAUUCCCUCCUUCACAUUACCUCCCUUGAAAUAACUCCAAACACUCUUUUGACGUGCUUUGGAUGAGUUAUAUAAACUUGGGGCUAUUGGUGGUGUUGGUUGUAAUUCUCUAAGACUGCCUCCCCGUCUCAUUUGUGCACCAUCACUUGUCCUGGAACCUUGUCCUCUAUUAGGAAUUUUAUGAAGGUGUUCUCUUUCCCAUGCUGACUGUUUGGAGGCACGUAAUGCUUGUUUGAAAUUGCGCCGUUCUUCAGGUCCCAUGUCAUCAUCACAUUCGUCCUCAUCGUCAUCAUCAUCACUAUCAACCGCUUGGCCAAUGACUUCUUCUCGUAGCCCAGCUCGAAUAUUUUCCAUUCCAUAUGUUUUCUUUUCCUUCUGGUGUUUUUUAUUUUUUAAUAAUGUGGUGAUGAAUGCCUUCACUUCUGGGGGGACACUAUCGCAUCGUUGGACAUUAUAUCCUGGAUCUAAUCCACUAAGAUGGUGCUUAAGUCGUGUCACUCCGCCACUCUUCAUUACAUGACCACAAUAUUUGCAAAUUGUGCCAUGUUUGUUUCCGUCUAUUGGGUCUCCAUGUUCCCAAGCUGGAUCACGUUUAGACAUCUUAAACGUACCUGUAUUUAUUUUGCAUGGAAAUUAUGCAAUUAUUUUUUGGCCAAAAAAUAUAGUAGUGACGGUUAUAUAAGAGAACCUAAAUAAUAAAGUUAUUCUACAAAAGAAUUAAAUAGGAAGUAAACAAAAUGAUUGUAAGGUGUAGAAAUUAUAAAAAGAAUAUGGAAUAAUAAAACCUAAUAUUAAUGAAUAAUAACCAGUUUGAUAAUAAAAUAAUAAAUAACAUUAAACAUAUUAAAAUUAUCCUAGGGAAUAAUUAUACAACAUUACUUAAUUACUUCAAAAAAUUAACAUAUUAUUUGGUUCUUAGAUCACAUGCACAGGUCCACACAAAUUUUUUUGUAUAAUUAACCUCCUUAUAUAUGUACAUUAUCUAUAUAUCCAACUUAACUAGUGUUUGUAUUAUAUAUUAUUACAAAUUGUUAAGAAUUAAUAAAGUGUUCUAGACAAACUUCUUUCUUUUUUAGUGUUUUAAAACCUUUUUCUUUUUUUUUCUUUUUUUUUGAGAAAAGUGUUUUAAAACUUUUUAAAAUUGUUUAUUCUUUCCUUUUCUUUUCCUUGCCGUCUCUUUUAUAUUCUUUGAAAAUGGAGACUAAAAGGAUUGAUUAUGGACCCUUUUCGUGGGAGGUAUGUAGAAAUUGUUUAAUCAAAAUGGAUAAUCAGGAGCAAACGAGUUCGAACAAAGCCAUAAAGCAAAGUUAGUAAAUGUUUUGCCCCUCUUUUGGUGUUGGAAAGUUCAUUUACGAUAGUGUGAGGAUGUGAAAAUUAAAUAAUCUCAUGCAUGGGUCCGCACAAAUUUUUUUGUUGUUGUAUAAAUUACAAUAAUAUAAAUGUAAGUUUGUAAACUUACCUUAAAUGUAACAAAUCUGGAACUUUCGAUGUCGUACGUAGCAGCAGCAAAACCUCGACGAUCCUCUGCAGCUUGCCGUCUGUGAAUAAAUGAGAGAGAAAAGGUUUUGGAAAGGAUCUGAAAGGGCUAAGGGAAGAAGAAGAAACGGAAAUGUGUAAUAAAGGUUUUUCAAUUUUCGAAGGGUCAAAAAAUGUGUGAUGAUCUGAUACUCCACCUCUGGGACGCACACGGUUUUGAACUUUUGGCAGUGUUUUUUUUUUACACACACACAUGGGUUUGACAGUGAGAAACCACUCCACCAUACAUUUUUGUCUUGUCACUGUUUUUUUCACACACGGAUAUAUCUUUUUGUCUUAUCAAGAUUUUUUUUCACGGAAAAUGAUUCUCAUGUGAUUUGAAGGUGUAAGGCUACAUGCCUGUAUGGCAGUAUGGGCAUAUGACAGUUUGGUUCAGUUUCAGUGGGUUUUCUUUGGAUUUAUUUGCAAAAUUAUUGGCACACACACACUCACACUAACCUAACAUCUCACAGUCACAGGCACAUUAUUUUCACAUCUUUUCACCUCUGGGUGCAAAAUUAUUUUCACCUAUUUUCACCUCUGCAACACUCUGCAACACACACAUUCACCUAUUUUCACCUCUGCAACACUCUGCAACACACACACACACACACGAUGCAACACGCACACACGCACACGCAACAAGCACACACACACACACGCACACGCAACAAGCACACACGAACACGCACACACGCAUACCUUUCUGGAUCCUUCUCUCUCUCCCUCGGUCUCUCCGUCUCCUUCUCUCCCUCGGUCUCUCCGUCUCCUUCACACGCACACGCAACAAGCAGAGAACACAGAGCCUUCCGUCUCCGUCUCUCCCUCGGUCUCUCCGUCUCCUUCUCUCUCUCGGUCCGGUCUCUCCGUAGUCCGUCCAAUAUGUUGGGUCACCUCAUCACCUCAGACUCUCUCGAAUCUCGAUCUCGAUCUGGAUCCUUCCCUCAGUCUCUCCAUCCUUCUUCUUCUCCCUCAGUCUCUCGAACUCGAUCCUUCUCCGGUUCUCCCCCCCUCAUCUCUUCUCUGCAACUCCGCCGAGUUGCUUGGGGCCUUUUUACGGUCUCUCUACACCCUGGGGGACGUGAUUUUGCUGUUGUUCAGCUCGUACCCACCACCUGUGGUUUCCUCCUCCCUUUCUCACCUCCCGGCGGCGGCGACGACGACGAAUAUCGCGAUAUUUUAAAGAUAUUUUAAUUUUACUCAAAAAAAUAUCGGCCGAUCAAAAAAACAAUAUUAUCGGCGAAAUAUCGCCGAUAAUAUCGAUUUUUAAGACAUUGAUCAUAAUGCAUCUGUUACGAUGACGAGAGAUAUAGAUACAAACUGAUAUAUUCUUGACUACACAAGACAUGAUACAGUUAAAAAAAUAUUUAUCACCGACUACACAUCAAAUUUCUCUCGAACAAAAACAAUAGAAUAUAUGCAAUUGACGUGAAUUGUAUGGAAAACAACUGUGGGAUGUGGGGCCACUAUUUGAUUCAAUACAUGUGUGUAAAUUGCCCUUCAUUCAUAGACCAUAAAAACAUGUAAAAUGUUUUGGUGCAAUCAUUUUACAUGAGUCCACAACUUUGUGUUUUACUAGUUGCAGCAAAUUACCCUAAUGUUGAUGUCAAGUCCCUUUCAACAUUUACCACCAUGCACUAGAGUGCUUAAUUCACUUCCAUCAAUGAGAGAGAACCAAAUGUUAACAAAAAAAGAGAAAUACAAGUGUUUUUUGGUCUAAUUAUUUUUUUUUUCUUUUUAGAGUUAAUAAUUUUUGAGGCAAUAAGGUUAGCCGACGGUGAGAGUGGAUGUAGAGUGAUGGGUAAGAGUAUGCUAGAUCUAGAAUUCAGGAUCCUACAAUAUAACCAAAAUUAAAAUUUCGUAGAGGCAACAAGCUAGUUUAAAAUCUUUUGGUGGACGCCAGUAGGGAUGACCUAUGGGUACCCGUUUAGCUAAAUGGAUGUUCAUUUAAGUGUGAAAUAUGUGCUAAUUGUGGUGGCGAAUGGUAGUUUUUGUGCUCGUGAUAAUGAAAUAUAUAAUGCAUCACUGAAGGGAUCACACCACACAACUUGAAGAGUAAUGUUUAUAAAAUAAGUACUUACAAAAUUAUAAAAGUUUAGGUAAAAAUAAAAAGAAAGAUUUUUUCCCCUGGGAUGGGCGUAAAUUCUUAGGUGUAAUCGAGCUUAUCUCUCUCAUGUGAGAUUUUUUGGUGUAAAUUGGAUGUAAGGCCGCCAUGUGAAAUGAGAUCCGAAAUAUAGAAAAGGGAAUACUCUUUAAAAUAAAUAUAGAGAGAGAGAGAGAGAGAGAGAGAGAGAGAGAGAGAGAGGGGAAUAUAUUUUAGAAUCUCCAUCUCCACGCGUGGGGAAUGUAUGGAUGGCUCCAAAGCUGAUAGGGUCAUGGGCUUCAAGGCAUUGGCAUAAACCCAAUGAAAUAUAUCCAAUAAUCCAAAUGAUGGCAAUCAAGGAAAAAGAAACCCUAAAUAUAAUAUGACGUGCAAAACAAGUUCGAAAAUCUGCAAUAUUAUUACAUAGAUGUAUGAAAAAAAUAGCUAUAUUUGAUCCAAAAGUUGCACAGAAUCAAACAUGUUUUCUUUGGAUUUCCUCUUUCAAAAUAUCCAUCUUUCCAGCAGUUCUUACUCUCCCAUCAGGCCAUCAACAUUUCAAGACACUUUUACUGAAGCAUACGAAAUGCUUUUGGAUCAAAAUUGUCUCACUUUUCAUGGGAAGUUGAUAAUUUCUUCAUUGAAAAUUUCAUCGCUAAGAACCAUGCAUUUUGUUGUAGGUAUACACUACAAGUUAAAUUCUGGGAUUAGUUCUAAUAUACGACGAAUAUUAGAAAAGAAAACAUGAGUCUAACAUCUCUUUCCUUUUCUUUUGACUGGCCAAUGGAAAAAUGAACCCUGUAAGUUACUAGUGAGUUUCUAACGUACGUGUGUGUGGUUAGGCCAGUGUUCCAAACUUUAAAUAACAUAUUUAAUUUUGAAGAAUGAUUAAUUAAGUUCAUUAGAAUAUGCCAAUUUAUCUCACUUUAUGUAAUCACAGGAAAAUUCCUUGCAAAUUAAAAGCAAACUUCGUGGUAAUGUAUAUUUAAUUUCCUUAUAUUGUGAAAAAAACCUAACAUUCCCCCAGUACAGAAAGAAACAUGCAUGGCUAUAAAUAUGGGGUUAUCUAAGGUCUUGAAACCAUAAUCAACACAAAACAAAGAAGAUAUAAAAGAGGUUUGAGGGGUUCAUGUUGCAAGAGAGAUGGCAUGAGCUACGCUCAAGCUAGUAGCAUGUUCCAUCCUCUUGCGACAUGGAACCCUUUAUAUCUUUAUCCAGAUGUAGUAAUUUCUUUAUUUUAUUAAAGAAAAAUGCAGCAUUCUCCAAAUUCAUUGAGAGGAAGGGAGAGAGGGAGAGAUCUCUAGAGAUAUGAUGAAUUAAAAUUGGUUGGGAGAUUUAUGUUCGCAGGAGAGAUGGCACUAAUUGUGCUACAACUACAAGCAAUUGUUGCCAUCUUUCCCGUGACCAAAAAGCUCUACACAACUUCAACGACCUUGAUCUUUCUCUACGACAUUUUGGGGUUUUUUGAUUCCGACAUGAUUUUUAUCUUAUGGUUGUAGAUUAAUUAUCUGAAUAUAAUAUAUAUAUAUAUAUAGUAUCAGUUACUAAUUAAGCUUGACUUUGUCAAGAUAUGAUUGUUUUAGCUAGACAUCUACUGUACUGUCUCUUUCAUGCCUAAAUAUAAAGCUGCCUCAUGAGGAUUUUGGAGAAGAGAUCUAGCCAGCGGAUCGAAAAACAGUUCUAAAAGCGAGAUCGGAAUAUCAAAGCGCAGGUCGUAGGUGAGAUGGCUCCGAAUGCCAUGUAUAUUGGUAGUAGCUGCGGUUGCAGGCUAUAUAUAGCUAGCCAAUUCGGGGCAGCGAGUUUCAUCUCUCCUCGACUGAAGCCUCUAGCGUUUUGAUUACGCAGAAAAGAAACCCAUCUUUAAUUUUUUUUGCAUGCUUGGAGAAAGAGCAGGUGAAGUAAUAUUAUUUUACCCUUUUUUCUGUAUUUUGUUGUCUGUUUUGAGUUUUGGCGUCAUGCGUAUAUUAUUGUACUCUAAGAUUUUGUUUAAGAACUAAACCAAUCUUCUUGGAUCAAACCUUCAUUGGAUCAAUGGAUCAUGGUAAAUGCUUAUAUACAUGCUAGGGAUCGAAAAGACAGAAAGUAUGUGUGUAAUUUGUGCCGAAAAAUAGAAGAAAAAGCAAAAGUACCUACAAAAUGUUUUUCCAAGAUCCAAAUGCACAUCGGUUUUUCCUCUCCUUUUAGCUAGAUCUGGCCACCUGCGACGUCCACUUCUACACAGGCAAUGGAGAAACGCAUGGACUGGUUGGCGGGGGUUUUGAUCAUUAGCUAGGUAGUGAAGGACUCAAGCACAUGAUUUCCUCUGAGAAGGGUAUAUUUGUCCAGAUGAAGAGCUAAUUGGAGAUCUUCUGUUCACAAGGUUCACUGCAAGUUUAGUCAUUUAACAUGUGAUUGCAGUAUUAAUUAGAACUUAGUAAUCAUCGUAUGCCUGCAACUGGUGUUUGUAUCUUUUGCUAAAUAUUCAAGCAAGCUAUUGUUUGGAGAUAGCAGCAAAUUAGCCUUUUUAAUCUUAGUUUAAUUGAUUUGACUUUAAUUUUUCUAGGCCGGAAUAUUAUUGAACAAAUAUAUAUGUGUAUGUGUAUGUACAAGUUGUUAAACAAUGAUCUUUUCGUUCCGGUGCUGUGCUCCAUAUAAGAUUCAAUCAACUAAUGAUCCCUGAAGGCACAAUUUCUUGCAUAGCAUAUGAUUCAAUUAAAUAAUGAUCCGAUUUGAGGCAUCAAUGAUUUCAUGAUAUAUGCUUUUAGGAGUUCUUUUCGUAGGGUUGGGAGCUUCUCCCUCUAUCUAGCAUUCUAGGUGGUGGUGGCUUCAACUGUCAAUUCAUAAAUUUCCAAUCAGUUAAGUUCAUGUUUACUGUUUUUUUAUUUAUAAGCAUUUAACUGAUCUUCAUUGCAGCAGAAAGUUUUUUUUUUUUCUUUCUCAUUACAGUUGCAUGGUAGACUUUUCUUUAAAUUAAUAGAUGGUAAAGAGGUAAAUCUAGGUUGGUCAUGAUGAGGUUUUGACGAGGGAUAUAUUUUGGUUUGAUCAUACCCUUGAGUCUGUUAAUGAUCAUUCUAAAGAUGUGAGAGACUGACAUAUUACUGCAUUAACUCACUUUUUUUUACUUAGUCUAUUAGAUUACCCACCGUAGCUUUCGUUUUUGUGAGAUUUUUCUUUUGAUAUGCACCCCUAAUAUGAGACUCAUGUUAGCAACUAUUUGUACAUGCCGAGAACUGACGGCAACAACUAUCCUCUCCAAAUCAUGAGACUUGAUGCAACUACUUCUUAAGUUGUACACAAGAGAAUAUUGUAAUUAGUGCGUUUAUUUUGGAAUAUGAUUGUAUAAACUUAAUUAAAGGAGAAUCUGAAUAGGAUUUGGAUCAAAUCCUCAUAGAUUUUGUGUUACUUGUAAUGCAAGAAAAUCCAUCAUGAUUAGUAUAAAUAAAGGUUCAAGGCCAGAGAUGAACAUACAAUUCUCAUACAUCUGAGUCAUUCUCGCUCUCUCACCACUUUCAAAGUUAGUUCUACGUACAAUGAAUAACUUUUUUUUCAUAAUGAGCUUUGAUCACGAGACAAAUAUUUUUGUUGACGUAUAUGGGUUCUGGAAUCUAAAUAGGAAAACUUUAUAAGGAAAAAAAAUAUCAAAACUGGAAGAGAAACAUCAUGAUAAAGAGUUAAGCAAUAGCAAUUGAUACUAGCACAUCCUGGAAUUAUAAAGCAAUUUCAUUAUGAUCUAAUUAUUAAUUUUCUGGACUAAGAGGAUCGGCAAGAACAAAAAAAUGGAGCAAAGAGCUCAUGAAUUAACUACAUCAUUUGCUUCCACCAUUGAUUAUUCUGUUCUUCAAGUGAAAUUCACUCACAAGGUUUUUUCUGGCCUCUUAUGGAAGUGGUGAUGGGAAAAAAGUUUAUAAGGUUUUCUUUUAUUAAUUAUCUGGAGGACCAUGGCAUACAGGGAAAAAAAGGAAGAAAGAGGCUUGUGGUCUUAUAAUUUUAGCAUAAUAUUAUUUUAUGAGCACAUAUUUUAUUUCAACCCAAAAGACUGAGAGGAGACACGUGCCCCUUGGUCCUGGACUACAGAAAACAUGAUACAGUUAUAAAAAAGGAGUAAUUAGGUUUUCAUCCUUAUUUUUACUACUCUAUUGAUUAAAACCUUAUUACUUUUCAAUUUUUGAUCAAGGUCCUUUGUAUUAAUAAUAUCAUUAAUUAUUUCAAUAAUAAAAUAUUUUUUAUUUCUAAAUAUAUUCAUUUAAUAUUAAAAAUAUUACAAUUAGUAUAUUUAUAUUUAUGGCUAAAUUUUUUAUCAUAUAUUUUUAUUUUUAGUUUGUACCCAUUUUUAAUUUGCAACCCUUUUUUAAUUUGUACCAAUUUUCCUUUCAGUUUUAAUUUGUACCCAUAUAUUAAUUUCUUUUUGUGCCCAUAUUUUUUAAAGUUUUAUUUGUAUUGUACCCAUAUUUUUUUAUUUAUUUGUACCCAUUUUUAUUUUUGCUAAAUGUACCCAUUUUGAAGAAUGUAUCCAUGUUUUGAUACAAUAAUUUUUUGGUUAUUUUUUAUGAAUGUACCCAUGUUUACACACACACACACAAUAGUAUAUUUAUAUUUUAAUAUUUUUAAUCCCACAAAUUAUGGUUUUUUAUUUAAAAUCUCAUUACUAUAAAUGACACACCCCGUCCCGAAGGAGGGCAUGCUGGCCGUCACGUGAGAGUGACGUAACCAUUUGCACAGUACGGAAGCUUUAAGAUACAAUUUAUAAGUUGAUACACCCGAAGGUGAGUCCUAAUUUUGUCCAAUCUGUCAGAACACCGUCGAAUUCCUCGUAGUCACCACACCUUUGUGAUUCCUGAACCUGGAGGGGCGCAAAACCAAAAUUGAGUGGGUCAGUAAAACAAUUCUUUUCCAAAUCCAAACAUUUCUCAAAACGUUGUAACCCCUCUCCGUAAAACCUGUAUACUUUCCCAGAAAUGUAAAAUAUAAAUAUACAUAUAUAUUCUCAAAACUUCAUUUUUACUAUCUCAACAUUAUCUCUUUAUCAAUCAUGCCAUGCCAUGUCAUCUCAACAUUUCUCAUAUUAAUUAUGCCAUGCCACAUCAUCUCAACAGUAAUAAGGUAUGAAUGCAUCAACAUAAUCAUAUCAGGUGCAAGAAAGUAAUCAACCGUAGGCCCUCUAAUAGCCCUAUACGGUUGAACCUAGAGCUCAAAAUCUAUCAUUAUCACUCUACCGGAGUCACCUCUGUGACCCGUCCGGCCUUCUGCACACAAGUUACGCUCUAGUGCUUCUCAUAAAUCAUCUGUGCACAUAAUCUAAGGUCACCCACCAGUCGGAAUCUCACUAACACUCUCGCGACUGGUCUGUCGUACCCACUCCGCGUGGACUGUACGACUAGCAUCUACUUGGAUCCAAGGCGAGCGUGCGAUGCGGUGAAUACUAUAAGCACUAAACCAUGGUGCAGGAUUUGAGCUCAAUAUAUAUCAUCAUCAUCAUAACAGUAAUUAAAUACUCAUCUGUGCGUCCACCGCACCAUUUCAUACAUAUGCAUCAUAAAUCAAUUCUUACCUGUGCGUCCACCGCACCAAUUCAUACAUAUGCAUCAUAAAUCAAUUCUUACCUGUGCGUCCACCGCACCAAUUCAUACAUAUGCAUCAUAAAUCAAUUCUUACAUGUGCGUCCACCGCACCAAUUCAUACAUAUGCAUCAUAUAUUAAUUCAUGCAUGGCAUUUCAACUCACAUUUCUAUAUACUUUUCAUAUCAAUUCUAUGCAUGGUAUUUCACUUCCCGUUUUUCCACAUAACUCAUAUGCAUUUCAUUUUAAACAUAUUUUCAUUUCAAUUCAAUUUCUGGGAAACGUCAAGUAUAUAUAUAUACGGAAAACAAAACUGCCCACUCACCUGGAGUUCGUCCAACAACUCCCUAGCACCACACAUCAAGGCGUCAUGACGAUCGCCGCCUAGAAUAGUAAUCAAAUCCAGGCUCAGAAUUCAUAUCGAUAGAAUAACAUAACUUAUAUAAAAUACGUCACUACGUUGAUCGAUCCGGAAGAUCUGCCACUCAGAUUUUAAAAUCCAUAACUUCCAGAGGUCCACACUAUACCUCUAGGACAACAUCCUAAAAUUUCAUUACCAUCCAACGGUCGGAUCUCCGUCAAUUUCCAAAACUAAGUGACGGUUAACAUUUUAUAUUAUGGACUUACAAUUCCAAUUCCGGAAGAUCCGUAACUCGGAUUCCCAAUCCGUAAGUUCCAAUAAUCCUCAAAUAUUACGUAUUACAACGUAUCAAAUUUUGGUGACGAUCCAACGGUCGGAUCAUCAAUUCACAUUUUCACCUAAAUGUGAAAACUAUAAAACGUUAUUUGAACACCUAACCAACAAUCCUCAAUAACUUUCUCAUACGGUGUUCAAUUUAGGUAUAUGAAUAUACCACAGUGAUCUAAUCGACGUCACGGACGUCGACAUAUUUUUAAAAUAAUUUUAUUUUUAUUUUUUAUUUUUACUGUAGCACCUUCUUCUUCCUUGGGUCGCCGGACUGGUUUUUUCCGGCGGCCGUUUUUCCGGGCAGUUUUUCAAAUUGCCAUAACUUUGUCAUUUCUCAACGAAAUCAAGUGAUUCAAAAACGAAAGUUGUAGCCCUUGAAGAGACAAAGAGAAUGGUACCUUGAAAAACACCUAGUUCGCCGUGGUUUGGCCGGAAACUGCCUCGAAAGCCUCGGAGGUCGCCGGAAACUGGGUAUUUUUCAAAUGAGUAUAACUUCUUCAAUACUCAACGAAAUUGAGUGAAACAAAAAGGAAAGUUGUAUUACUUGACGAGACGAAGAGAUUGAUACCUACCUCGACUCCUAAAUCGCCGGGGAUUCGCCGGAAAACGCCUCGAAAGCUCCGGCCAAACUUUGAACUUGUCGAUCUCCGUGUUCUUACGUCCAAAAACUUCCAACGAAGCACUCUGAGCUUCCUUGGGACCUUACUAAACUCGCUGUGAUCUUGUUUUAGCCUAAAACGUAACCAAUUCAAAGCUCAUGAACAGUGUCAUCUCACGGCAACUUUAGAACUAGGGUUUUCGAAGUGAAACUCACCUGAAAUUGGUAUCCCCGUGCUCGUGAAGUCCCCAGGAUCACGAUGGUGGUCUUAAAUGGAACGUUGGUACAAGAUUGUGGUGGUUCUUGGUGGUUGCCGUGAGUUCGAGAGUAAGAGAGAGAAUGAGAGAGUUUUCAGAAAAGAAUAAGAGAGAGAGUGAAAAUCUGAAAUGGAAGAAGAAGAGAGAGAAGGAAAGGUUACGGAAAAUGGGGAGGAAAUUAGGGUAUAGGACCCUACCUAAAGUCCAACACAACAAUAGCUUAGAAAUUUUAGGUAAAACAAACACCAAAAUUACGCACCUUAAUCCCGUUUAAGGGCGUUUUUGUAAUUUCACGUCCUCGGAAUUAAAAAUUCCGGGACGGGCUGUGACAAU
rnacentral:lncRNA from 1 species